rnacentral:lncRNA from 1 species
UGGUUUAACGGUGGGCGGUUUCGUGGGUGGUUUCGGGGUGGGAUGAGGUUUGGUAGGGGGUUUCGGAUGUGGGUGUGGUUUGACAGUGGGCGGUUUGGUAGGGGGUUUAGGGUGUGGGUGUGGUUUGACGGUGGGUGGUUUGGGAGGUUUUACUGCCGGUGGUUUAGGCGGUUUGCUAGGAUGUUUAGGCGGUUUGUGGGGGUGAGGUGAUGGUUUAGGAGGGCUACAGUCGCAAGCGAAGGAGACGGCAAGAAAGCCAAGGAAGAGGAGGAUGAGAAAAGAGAGGUUUUGUGUACGAGACCCCAUUUUUCUAGAUUGAGGGUGUGGUUUACCCAAAGGAGUGAGUAAGAAAGAUAUAUGAGUGUAUCAUUUUAUAGAAAGAUAUUAAAAUAUAUUUUCUAUAUAUAAUUUUCAAAUAUGCAUUUUGUGACUAGAUUAUUGAAACUGAAUUUCCGUUUUUGUUUUUGUGUUGAAAUCUAGAUUUUGUAGCACGUGUAAGUCACUUAGUUACAAGUUGUCAUUUCCUGAGUAGUAAAAAAAUAGGACAACAUUCGUUAUAUAUAUACUUCCAUAGAAACUCUAUUGUGGAUCAACCUAUGUGAAGAGGAUACAAAAAAUAAGCUUUAAUAGUAAGUUAAAAAAAAAAAAUUGUAUUCCUCGCAAGGUUUCUGCCAAAUCAUUUGCUCUAUCCUUCUCCCUCUGAGUUUUUUUAAUCUAGGGAGAUAUAUAUACCUUGUUAUUCAUAGUCUACUUAGAACAAGGAAGCAGAUAUAUAUUAGAUUUCUAAUAUACAACCUCUGAGUAACUCGGAUUCGGCCACCUCCUCGAAUCAUAGGAUGACUCUAUCCACUCUUCAAUGUACAUAAUAUUAUUUGAUCAUCCAUGUUUUUGCACUCGGUAAUUUCUAGCUAUAUAUUAAAACUGGAAAUUGUUUUGAGUAAAUUCGAUUAUGAAUAGUUGGUAAACGUACGUUUAAAGGAUGGUUUUAUGCUUCUGCCACGGUUGUUUAAAUAAAGGAAUAAAAGAGUGCAAUUUUAACCAAAAGAGAGAGAGAGAGAGAGUGCAAUUUCAGUUCUACGAGACCUUGAUCUGAAUCCAAAAUAUAUUAUGAUAAGAAAAGAAAAUUCAUGCUUUGUCCAUCCACCAAAAAUAUUUUUCUUAAAGAAAAUAUGAUCAUUGGCCAAAAACCAUGAAAUUUGUGGUUGUAAAAGUAAGAGACAUUCAUAACAUUCACUUAAAGUCCUUUGUUUUAAUUUCUUGGACAUGAUCAUAAUGGUUUAGCCAAUAUAAAACGUACAAACAUGAAAAUGUUUGACCAAACGACCACCGGAGAUAAAUUGUCAACAUGCAUUGAAAAACAUAAACUUUCGCAAAGGUAGGCACCAUUUUUUUUUUUUGAAUUGAAAAGGUAGGCACCAUUAUCGUACGUCUUUGUUUUCUAUUUCUUUCUUUUGUUCUCGUUUCCAAAAAGCUAUUGUCACCAAGCUUUUCCAUUACAUAUUUUCCGUAAAAUGAUCGAUAUUUUCAUAUAUGGGUAAAACUUAGCUUUUCCAAAUAUGCCUUCUCUUUUUAUAAUCCUGUCUAAUAGUGUCUUGCACCCUGGUUUGUUAAAUCGGAGAUCCAGUUGGUCAAAUAUCUAAAAUCAAGGCGUAAAUCAGGGAAAUGUCCCGAUAUUGCCAAGCUCUAGCUAGUACUCUAGCAUAAUAGCAUUUUAGAGAAUGCCCAGUCUAUCAGCGUUUAACAGUCACUAGAUUAAAACAUUUGUUAUGUUAUUGCAUAGAUUUUCUUUUCUAAAAAAACUUUGGGCAGACAUAUUUUGUAAUUACUAGUGAAAACAAUGGGAGUAACCAGAGGAUUUUGUAGUGUAAUGGCAAGUGGGCAGUGGGCAGUGGGCAGACAAUUUAUGAAGGGAUUUUGUCAGCAUUACUUGACUUAAGACACACCUCCCAUCUUCUAUAGUGACAAGAUAUAAUUAAAGACAUCCUUCUCACUCUUCUUUUUUUCUAGUUCCUUCCGUUUUAGGUCCACUUUUCGAGAAGCAUAUUAGGCAAGUUCAGAACUUCUCUUGGGUUUUAGUUUAUGUUUUUACCUACUCAAAAAGGAGGAAAAGAAUCAGUUUUGGUUUAGCAUACCAAACCUACGAUAUAAAGUAUUCAAAUGUUCAGUAUUCAUAUAAAGUAUAUAAGUCGAUAUAUCUUGAGCCAAGGUCCCAGUUAUUGGGAUUUCGUAGGUAGAUGACAGGUUAAAAAGUAUUCGUUUAUAUUGAUGAAAUCACUCCCCCACCUCCAUAACGUGUUUCGGCCGUUCAGUCAUUUACAUUUUUCAUAUAACCAAUCUAGGCUUUGGAUCAUAUAUUAUCCAUCCAUAUGAUUUGUUCAAAGCUUUUUCUUUAGUUUGUUUUUGUCUCCCGCGUUUGAAAGAUACGAGCUUUGUGCGCCUUUUAUCAGAUCUUUAAGUGAUUGAAUAACGUCCGUGAUUGAUGAUUCUCUUUAGAAUUUUUCCAUUAAAUAUUAAUUUUAAAAUAUAUAUUGUACUACUAUUAUACUAGUGAUGAUUCAGAAUAUGAUUUCAUUGUGUAAAUAGGUCAACAUAUACUAAUUAAAGCUAAAUCUAGUAUCUGAUUGGUAAAAUUGAAACGAUAAUUUGGUUAACACACACGUUCACUGCGUUUAAAAUAACAAAACUGUAAAUUUACUUUCUUCAGAACACGAUUUAUAGUUAUUUUUCUCCCAGAUUCUUUCACAUGGCAUCGAAAGCUUAUUUAUUAGUAUUGUUGGGGAUUUUUGUUAUUCAAAUUUCUAUUUGUCCUGGAUAAAUUUAUUAUUGAACAGUUUUCACCAUACUAUUCGCAGGUGUACUAAGAAAAGGUAGAGUGAAAGUUGUACAAAAUCCCACUGUGUUUGAGGAAUAAAGGUUUUCUCUACCACUUUUUCUCUGAACAACUUUUCUUUGCCAUAUUCACUUUCGCAUCUCUAUUGACAAUAUCGCAAAAACAUUGUGGUUUAUUUUCUAAUUCAGUUUAUCAAGAACUGUUUAAAAUUAUUUUAGUUAUAAACCUACUUUGUAUGAUAAAUUAUGAAAUUAAAAACUUUUAGAUUUAUUCACGGUGAAUAAAACAAAAUAAAGUUUAGACGCCACUACAAGGUGGCGGGUAGGAUUUGGCGGGUAGCAAAAACAUUGUAAACCCGUGAAGUCUGUCACUUUUAGGAUUUAAUUUUUUUAAAAAACCAAAAAUGGGAAAUGGAUAAUGUGACGUGCUGAAUGCAUCUCAUGCAUGCAUGUGACUCCACCAUAAUUUAAGAAAAAACAAACUUAAAAAAAUGUGGUCUGACUGUCUGAGUACUCAUGUACUAGUCGUAAGGACACGUCAGUCCAUGACCAGCCGGGGAAAAAAAUGUACACGAGAAAAGAUAUCGUUGUGAUAAUUUGUUUUGCGGAAGCUUGAUCAUUUCUUUACUGAUAGAGAGAUAAUAGUUAGAGAAAAUUGGCCCAUGACAGUAUUAGUUUUAUUCUGACAUUAACCUUACUUCCUCAUUGACGGCCUUAGAUGAAGUUGUGUCGGUAUGCUCUGUGCAUGUCGAAACUAUGUAGCAGAUGGAAAAUUCUUUUCUCGUUCUCUUUCUUCUCGUAAUCUCUUUCUUUUCAAAGUUCUUUUUUUUUUCUUUUCAUUUCUCUAUAUUUACAAUUAAAUGUGUGUUUUGCACUGUCUUUCUUCUCUCUCCUUCUCUAUUUUCUUUGUAGUUUCUUUAUUUUUGUUUCAUUUUUUAAAUCUAUAGAUCGUUAUAAUUAAAAAAAAAAAGAGAAAGAAAUUUGUUUUGCACUACUUUUUCAUAUUAUGUUCUUCGUUUGGAUUUUUUUGGUUCUUUUUAUUUUAUUUUCUAUGUUUGAUUUUUCUCAUUAAUAUAUUUUAUCUUUAAUAAACUCUCUUCCCAGGGUUGGGAAGUUGCUGAAGAUCGAAGAUGAAUCCAGAGUGAUGGCUAGCAAUUUCGUGAUGUUUGUUGAUAUAUAUAGCAUUUAUGUUAGCAGCCAUUUUACUGGUUACCCAAUAUUAUUUAUGUUUAUUAGUGUAUCUGUUGUUUUCUAUCGCCAUUUGAGAUAAAGAUUUUUAGAUGUUAGUAUUUAAUUGUCGCUAACUGAUAAUAUGUGGUAAAGUGUUAUAAGUUACGUGUUGUUAGUAGAUAUAUAGUUGGUUAAAUGAUAUAUGGCUUGUUAGGCGUUAAAUUUUUCUUGGUACUUGAUUUAUUAGCUAAUAUAGUAUUUGUUAGCUGAUAUAUAUUUUCGCAGUAGAUACAUUUUUUUUAUUAUGUAUGUUAUUGAAUCUUUAAACACUCUAGACAUAAUCAUGAUCAGCCAACAAAGCAUAUUCUAUGGUUUGUUAGCUGAUAUAUGAUUUUCUGAAUAGACAGCUUUGUUUUUGGUUUGUUAGAUGAUAGAUGGAUUGAUACAUAUUUUGUGAGUUAAUACAUUGUCUGAUAAAUGGUUUGUUAUUUGAUAAAUGAAUUUUUAUAUGGUACAUGUUUUCUUAGCAGUGCAUAGUUCAUUAACCAAAAAAUUGAUAUUUAAUAUUAUGUAUAUUAUUGAAUACCUAAUCUUCUUUAUCAUCAAUUUAUACGAUAUACUGUAUAUAGAAUUAGAAAAUAUUUCGCAAUUGUGUAAGAUAUUUUGUUAUUAAUACCAUUCAAAGUUCGUUGCUACUCUUGUUUGAUAAAUAGUUUGUUAUAGGAUACAUGAUUUAUUACCCAUCACAUAUUUUGUUAGCUGAUGAAUAGUUGAUACAUGGUUUGUUUCAUGGUUCGCAAUUUAUUAAAUGAUACAUACAUACCAACUAACACAUAUGUUAUCAAGAACGGGUUCUUCUUAAUUUUUUGAUACACCACGGCACGGAUUAUGAUUGAAGAGAAAGACCAUAACACAGAAUCGCUAUUAAUAUGAUUGGAAAUUGAAAGCAAAUUAUGAUUUGAAACAGAAAGGGGUAAGAACAAAGUUCACCGGAGGGGAUAAAACCCCUGCAACCUGUCAUAUCGGAGUAUUUAAUGUUAAAUCCUUCAGUGAGUUUAAUGUCAUAUCGGAGUGUUUAAUGCUAAAUUUUUAAUACAAACAUAAGAGCAUCAUUAGUGGUAUGAUACCCAUUUAGAGUAUCUAAUUUAUAUAAUAUUAAUAGUUUUAAUUUUAUUAAAAUUAUUAAAUUUCAAACAAAAUAAAAGUCCAACCAAUGAAACAACAACAAAUAUUACCGGAGUCUAUAUCAAAUUGUGUGGAACGUUUCUUUAUAAAGGUACGUUAUCUUUCUAUUGUUUUGAUAUUUUUAUUUCAAGAAACCUAUUCAGAAACUACUACGCAAGUUCCCUAAGAACAGUUUUAAAAAAAAUGAUGUACUGAAUAUCUAUUUAUUAAAUAAAAAUAAAAGGGAAUAGAGAACUAGAAAAGUUCUUAAUUGAGAAAUUUAGAGAACCACAUAACAACCUUACUGUCCAAAUGUCAAUUUUAUACUGGUUAGAUUUUUAAUAUCAAAAUUAAAUUUAACUAAGAAAUUAAGUUCUAUUUAAAAUUUAUAUUUUGUUGCUGUAGAAAACCCAUGUGGAUUCUUCUUACCAAUGGUGUUGCUCUAAUAAGACUAUCCACAUCAAAAAUAUUUCAAUUAGAAUAUGUCACCAAAAUAAUAAUAUUUUAAUUCUUUUUAAAGAGAUUCAUGCUGAAAGUCGUCAUUAGAGAAUUUUGGACAUGAGUCUAUCAAAACAUUUGUAAAAAGAAAUCAUUAAAAUAUUGUAUUUUGUUGAGAGAUUCAAAUAAUAAUGUCCUAGCGAAACAUACUGAUGCAUGAGUAUGAUUUCUCAACUUUGUUUGCUCUUUGGUUAGCUAAAACUACAAAGAAAUAUUUGAUAAAAUAUCAGUAUUUGUGAUCGGAUAAGAACGGAUAUCCAAAUUAAUAUUAGUAUUUGUGAUUUGUUGGGAUCGGAUUUUUGGAUUAAAUAUUACUAUUGAUUUCGACACGUCUACUAAUAAUUCCCAUCGUUUAGCACCUCAAGACGUACAAGAAGACAGUAACAUACUGGGAAUAUUAUAGUGGCACAAAUAUAUCAGAACUCAACUGUAUUGUGACACGAUUGAGGGUACAAAGAAAAAUUUAUUAUGUCUUAUUUUUUCAACUUAUCUUCUGCUACAUUUUGUCUGGAUUUGAAACUUUAUUAUGCUAUCUUUAGCUAAUUCAUGCAAUAAUAGAUUUCCUUGGGAUGAACUGGCACAAUUUUUUUUUAACACAGAGAUGAACUGGCACACAUAUUAAACAUUUGUCGGUUAUUUCGUACGUAUAUUCCAGAACAAAAACAUACUAAUGUAUGUUGAUAUGUAUUGCCAUUUACAAGAAUAACAUUGACAAAAGAAUACAGAGUAGAUGUUCAUACAUUUUCAGUGUCACAUGAAAACACAGUUAAGUAAGUUUGGGUUGACUCAAAAUAGUCAAAGCAAGUUAAGCGAUCAUUGAGGCCGAAUACUAUAGAUUAUAGACACAUUCCCUCUCUUUUUUUUGAAUGGUUUUUCCUUUAAAGUAAUGCAAUCGGGAAUUUUUUUUUUUUUUUUUUUCACUAUGGAGAAAAAUUGUGAUCCUAAGAAAACAACAGCGGUUCUUCAAUCAACCACUUUUAGAAUGGCUGUAUGAGAAUCUCACAAACGAUACGUCGGCUAAUGGAGAUCAAUGGCCCAUAAUGUUUGCGUUGACUGUGUGGUGGUGUUGGAAAUGGAGGUGUGGGUAUGUCUUUGGUGAAACUGGAAAGUGUCGAGAUAGGGUGCAGUUUGUUAAAGAUAAGACUCAGGAGGUGGUACUAGCAAAUAAGAAAAUGCGACCCUGCUCGACCAUUAGUACGCGUGUGGAGAGACAGAUCGCAUGGUGCAAACCGGGUAAUGGCUGGUGUAAAUUGAAUACUGACGGGUCCUCUAAAGGGAAUCCGGGACUGGCUACAGCAGGUGGGGCCAUGCGGGAUGAAUAUGGAGAGUGGAGAGGAGGCUUUGCGAUCAAUAUUGGUAUUUGCUCAGCCCCAUUGGCGGAGUUAUGGGGUGUUUAUUACGGCUUAUGUAUAGCAUGGGAUAAGGGGAUCCGACGACUAGAGGUGGAGGUUGAUUCCGAGAGUGUGGUGGGUUUUCUUACGACAGGUAUCCAGGAUUCUCAUCCUCUGUCAUUCCUAGUACGUUUGUGCUAUGGCUUCAUAUCAAGAGACUGGUUAGUCAAGAUUUCGCACGUGUAUAGGGAGGCUAAUUGUCUAGCAGAUGGAUUAGCUAACUAUGCUUUUUCUUUAUCGUACGGUUUACAUUACUUUGAGUUUGCUCCGGAGCAUGUUGCUUCUAUCUUGUCAGAUGAUAUUCAUGGGUUUGCUAGAGCUAGACAGAUUUUCUUGUAACGCAAGUUUGAUUUUGAAUAAAAAGUAGGAGACUAUCGUCUCCUGCCAUCUACCAAAAAAAAAAAUCACCAUAAAAAUCAAACAAUUUCUAGAUAGCAUCACUCACAGUUAAUUAAUUUACAUAUACUCUCGAACAAUCAGUGGUGAAGGCAGUAAAAAGAUUAAUAUGUAUCAGUGGCACACAAAUGACCUACAUGCUUUGAUGAUUUAUACACUGUAAGUGGUUGCUCAAUCAAGACAAAAAUAACACAAUCAAACACAUGCAUAUCAGAAAUUUUUUGAAACAUCUUCCGAGCUACACAAAGACGGCAAGAUGGCGACAAACGCUCUCAACUCUUCUUGCUACAAACGCCGUGCGCCAUCGUGUUGCUCCGGUCCGGCAAGCUUGCUGGUGCCGGAGGCCCUUUCUCCUCUCCUCUUUGCUCUUCUCCCUUGUCUCUUCCAUGGUUUCCUUGCUCAGAUCUGUGAGUGGGUCAAAGGUGGUCAUCGGCGUUCCAGUCUAGAUCUUGGUGCACGGAGGCCAGAUCCGGUGGUUAUCUUACUUGCUUGGAGUGAUGGCGAAGUCUGGGAGCGGUGAGGUGGUGAAGAGUCGGCUUUUAGGGUUUGUGACGGCGGAGCGAGUUUUUCAGAUCUACGGACUGCCGCUCUUCUCCUCCGUCUGAGUUUGAGGCAAUGUGUCGGAGGUCUCUCUUCUCCUGUUGUUCAGAGUCGCAGUCGUGGUGGCUGUCUCUGUUUCUCCAGCAAGUUGGGUCGGUGUUUGCGGUUUGUUCUUGGCCUCUGUCCUUGGCGUCUUGGAGAGGUUCUUCUUCCGCUUCCGGCCAGGAAAGUCACUAUUGGUCUCAUCCUUCCAAUGGUGGCGCCACCAGAGAGUGGUAGGUUUCGCGUGUCUCCUCCUUCUCAUCCGGUUUCAAGCGUGUGGACUGUGGGCUGGUGCUGUCUCUUGACGUCGUCUAUGGCGUUGUUGACAAUCCCUUUCAUGUCGACGCUUUCCUUGCUCUGCUCUGGCACUGUUCUUGCUCGUGCUUGGAUCCCAAUCUCUCUCUGAUUUGUUCUCUCGGAGGCCUUCGCGUGAUUCAGGUCGCUUGAGAAGCUGUGGAACCGAGUCCCGGUUCUCGGUCUCGGCGUUUGGCAAGUUCUCUUCGUCGCUUGCGGUGGUCAGCAGGUUCCGGAGAAACUUGAAGGCUUCAGACGUUACGCCAUGAUUUCGCAGUGCUGCGGUUUGUUUCUUGACUAGCUGCAGUAGUUAUGGCUUUUUCUACAGCUUAUAGGUUUUGAUUUGAGCUCUUUGCAAGGACGCCUAUAUCUCGGCCCGUCUUGUCCUUGUUUGUGUCGAGUCGGGGUGCUCGUACACGUUAAGAUCGGUGCUUUGAAUGUUCAAGGAUUUCGCUGGGUUCGUGUCUUAGAGCGUCGUCGGUUUUCGCUGGGUUCGUGCUGAGGAUAAGUGUCGUCAGUCUCUGCUGGGUUCGUGCUGAGAGUAUGCUUCGGUCUUGCUCAAAGCGUCGUCGGGAGACUAGGGUUCGUACUUUGAAGCGUCGUCGGAAAACUAGGGUUCGUGUUCUAUGGCGUCGUCGGAUUUCCUAACCGGUUGUAGAUCAUGUUUUUAGCAUUAAGACUUGUAGUUUUAAUCCUAAUGGUUGUCCUUUAAGAUUUUUUCACUUUUUUUGGAUCUUAAAGAACUUGUAUCCUUUCAUUUUCAUUAAUGAACAUUUACAGUUUAGCAAAAAAAAAAAAUAUAUUAUGAUAAAAAAAGAAAAUUCAUGCCACCAAAAAUAUUUUUCUUAAAGAAAAUAUGAUCAUUGGCCAAAAAUCAUGAAAUUUGUGGUUGUAAAAGUAAGAGACAUUUCAUAACAUUCACUUAAAAUCCUUUGUUUUAAUUACUUGGACAUGAUCAUAAUGGUUUAGCCAAUAUAAAACGUACAAACCAUGAAAAUGUUUGACGAAACGACCACCGGAGAUAGAAUUGUCAACAUGCAUUGAAAAACAUAAACUGUCGCAAAGGUAGGCACCAUUUUUUUUUUUAAUUGAAAAGGUAGGCACCAUUAUCGUGUACGUCUUAUAUGUUUUCUAUUUCUUUCUUUUGUUCUCGUUUCCAAAAGGCUAUUGUCACCAAGCUUUUCCAUUACAUAUUUUCCGUAAAAUGAUCGAUAUUUUCAUAUAUGGAUAAAACUUAGCUUUUCCAAAUAUGCCUUCUCUUUUUAUAAUCCUGUCUAAUAGUGUCUUGCACCCUGGUUUGUUAAAUCGGAGAUCCAGUUGGUCAAAUAUCUAAAAUCAACGCGUAAAUCAGGGAAAUGUCCCGAUAUUGCCAAGCUCUAUUACUCUAGCAUAAUAGCAUUUUAGAGAAUGCCCAGUCUAUCAGCGUUUAACAGUCACUAGAUUAAAACAUUUGUUAUGUUAUUGUAUAGAUUUUCUUUUCUAGAAAAACUUUGGGCAGACAUAUUUUGUAGUUACUAGUGAAAACAAUGGGAGUAACCAGAGGAUUUUGUAGUGUAAUGGCCAGUGGGCAGACAAUUUAUGAAGGGAUUUUGUCAGCAUUACUUGACUUAAGACACACCUCCCAUCUUGUAUAGUGACAAGAUAUAAUCAAAGACAUCCUUCUCACUCUUCUUUUUUUCUAAUUCCUUCCGUUUUAGGUCCACUUUUCGAGAAGCAUAUUAGGCAAGUUCAGAACUUCUCUUGGGUUUUGGUUUAUGUUUUUACCUAUUCAAAAAGGAGGAAAAGAAUCAGUUUUGGUUUAGCAUACCAAACCUACGAUAUAAAGUAUUCAAAUGUUCAGUAUUCAUAUAAAGUAUAUAAGUCGAUAUAUCUUGAGCCAAGGUCCGAGUUAUUGGGAUUUCGUAGGUAGAUGACAGGUUGAAAAGUAUUCGUUUAUAUUGAUGAAAUCACUCCCCCACCUCCAUAACGUGUUUCGGACGUUCAGUCAUUUACAUUUUCAUAUAGCCAAUCUAGGCUUUGGAUCAUAUAUUCCAUAUGAUUUGUUCAAAGCUUUUUCUUUAGUUUGUUUUUGUCUCCCGCGUUAGAAAGAUACGAGCUUGUGCGCCUUUUAUCAGAUCUUUAAGUGAUUGAAUAACGUCCGUGAUUGAUGAUUCUCUUUAGAAUUUUUCCAUUAAAUAUUAAUUAUACUAGUGAUGAUUCAGAAUAUGAUUUCAUUGUGGGUCAACAUAUACUAAUUAAAGCUAAAUCUAGUAUCUGAUUGGUAAAAUUGAAACGAUAAUUUGGUUAACACACACGUUCACUGCGUUUAAAAUAACAAAACUGUAAAUUUACUUUCUUCAGAACACGAUUUAUAGUUAUUUUUCUGCCAGAUUCUUUCACAUGGUGUAGAAAGCUUAUUUAUUAGUAUUGUUGGGGAUUUUUGUUAUUCAAAUUUCUAUUUGUCCUGAAUAAAUUUAUUAUUGAACAGUUUUCACCAUACUAUGAUACUAUUCGCAGAUUUACUAAGAAAAGGUAGAGUGAAAGUUGUACAAAAUCCCAUUGUGUUUGAGGAGUAAAGGUUUUCUCUACCACUUUUUCUCUGAACAACUUUUCUUUGCCAUAUUCACUUUCGCAUCUCUAUUGACAAUAUCGCAAAAACAUUGUGGUUUAUUUUCUAAUUCAGUUUAUCAAGAACUGUUUAAAAUUAUUUUAGUUAUAAACCUACUUUGUAUGAUAAAUUAUGAAAUUAAAAACUUUUAGAUUUAUUCACGGUGAAUAAAACAAAAUAAAGUUUAGACGCCACUACAAGGUGGCGGGUAGGAUUUGGCGGGUAGCAAAAACAUUGUAAACCCGUGAAGUCUGUCACUUUUAGGAUUUAUUUUUCUUUAAAAACCAAAAAUGGGAAAUGGAUAAUGUGACGUGCUGAAUGCAUCUCAUGCAUGCAUGUGACUCCACCAUAAUUUAAGAAAAAACAAACUUAAAAAAAUGUGGUCUGACUGUCUGAGUACUCAUGUACUAGUCGUAAGGACACGUCAGUCCAUGACCAGCCGGGGAAAAAAAUGUACACGAGAAAAGAUAUCGUUGUGAUAAUUUGUUUUGCGGAAGCUUGAUCAUUUCUUUACUGAUAGAGAGAUAAUAGUUAGAGAAAAUUGGCCCAUGACAGUAUUAGUUUUAUUCUGACAUUAACCUUACUUCCUCAUUGACGGCCUUAGAUGAAGUUGUGUCGGUAUGCUCUGUGCAUGUCGAAACUAUGUAGCAGAUGGAAAAUUCUUUUCUCGUUCUCUUUCUUCUCGUAAUCUCUUUCUUUUCAAAGUUCUUUUUUUUUUCUUUUCAUUUCUCUAUAUUUACAAUUAAAUGUGUGUUUUGCACUGUCUUUCUUCUCUCUCCUUCUCUAUUUUCUUUGUAGUUUCUUUAUUUUUGUUUCAUUUUUUAAAUCUAUAGAUCGUUAUAAUUAAAAAAAAAAAGAGAAAGAAAUUUGUUUUGCACUACUUUUUCAUAUUAUGUUCUUCGUUUGGAUUUUUUUGGUUCUUUUUAUUUUAUUUUCUAUGUUUGAUUUUUCUCAUUAAUAUAUUUUAUCUUUAAUAAACUCUCUUCCCAGGGUUGGGAAGUUGCUGAAGAUCGAAGAUGAAUCCAGAGUGAUGGCUAGCAAUUUCGUGAUGUUUGUUGAUAUAUAUAGCAUUUAUGUUAGCAGCCAUUUUACUGGUUACCCAAUAUUAUUUAUGUUUAUUAGUGUAUCUGUUGUUUUCUAUCGCCAUUUGAGAUAAAGAUUUUUAGAUGUUAGUAUUUAAUUGUCGCUAACUGAUAAUAUGUGGUAAAGUGUUAUAAGUUACGUGUUGUUAGUAGAUAUAUAGUUGGUUAAAUGAUAUAUGGCUUGUUAGGCGUUAAAUUUUUCUUGGUACUUGAUUUAUUAGCUAAUAUAGUAUUUGUUAGCUGAUAUAUAUUUUCGCAGUAGAUACAUUUUUUUUAUUAUGUAUGUUAUUGAAUCUUUAAACACUCUAGACAUAAUCAUGAUCAGCCAACAAAGCAUAUUCUAUGGUUUGUUAGCUGAUAUAUGAUUUUCUGAAUAGACAGCUUUGUUUUUGGUUUGUUAGAUGAUAGAUGGAUUGAUACAUAUUUUGUGAGUUAAUACAUUGUCUGAUAAAUGGUUUGUUAUUUGAUAAAUGAAUUUUUAUAUGGUACAUGUUUUCUUAGCAGUGCAUAGUUCAUUAACCAAAAAAUUGAUAUUUAAUAUUAUGUAUAUUAUUGAAUACCUAAUCUUCUUUAUCAUCAAUUUAUACGAUAUACUGUAUAUAGAAUUAGAAAAUAUUUCGCAAUUGUGUAAGAUAUUUUGUUAUUAAUACCAUUCAAAGUUCGUUGCUACUCUUGUUUGAUAAAUAGUUUGUUAUAGGAUACAUGAUUUAUUACCCAUCACAUAUUUUGUUAGCUGAUGAAUAGUUGAUACAUGGUUUGUUUCAUGGUUCGCAAUUUAUUAAAUGAUACAUACAUACCAACUAACACAUAUGUUAUCAAGAACGGGUUCUUCUUAAUUUUUUGAUACACCACGGCACGGAUUAUGAUUGAAGAGAAAGACCAUAACACAGAAUCGCUAUUAAUAUGAUUGGAAAUUGAAAGCAAAUUAUGAUUUGAAACAGAAAGGGGUAAGAACAAAGUUCACCGGAGGGGAUAAAACCCCUGCAACCUGUCAUAUCGGAGUAUUUAAUGUUAAAUCCUUCAGUGAGUUUAAUGUCAUAUCGGAGUGUUUAAUGCUAAAUUUUUAAUACAAACAUAAGAGCAUCAUUAGUGGUAUGAUACCCAUUUAGAGUAUCUAAUUUAUAUAAUAUUAAUAGUUUUAAUUUUAUUAAAAUUAUUAAAUUUCAAACAAAAUAAAAGUCCAACCAAUGAAACAACAACAAAUAUUACCGGAGUCUAUAUCAAAUUGUGUGGAACGUUUCUUUAUAAAGGUACGUUAUCUUUCUAUUGUUUUGAUAUUUUUAUUUCAAGAAACCUAUUCAGAAACUACUACGCAAGUUCCCUAAGAACAGUUUUAAAAAAAAUGAUGUACUGAAUAUCUAUUUAUUAAAUAAAAAUAAAAGGGAAUAGAGAACUAGAAAAGUUCUUAAUUGAGAAAUUUAGAGAACCACAUAACAACCUUACUGUCCAAAUGUCAAUUUUAUACUGGUUAGAUUUUUAAUAUCAAAAUUAAAUUUAACUAAGAAAUUAAGUUCUAUUUAAAAUUUAUAUUUUGUUGCUGUAGAAAACCCAUGUGGAUUCUUCUUACCAAUGGUGUUGCUCUAAUAAGACUAUCCACAUCAAAAAUAUUUCAAUUAGAAUAUGUCACCAAAAUAAUAAUAUUUUAAUUCUUUUUAAAGAGAUUCAUGCUGAAAGUCGUCAUUAGAGAAUUUUGGACAUGAGUCUAUCAAAACAUUUGUAAAAAGAAAUCAUUAAAAUAUUGUAUUUUGUUGAGAGAUUCAAAUAAUAAUGUCCUAGCGAAACAUACUGAUGCAUGAGUAUGAUUUCUCAACUUUGUUUGCUCUUUGGUUAGCAAAAACUACAAAGAAAUAUUUGAUAAAAUAUCAGUAUUUGUGAUCGGAUAAGAACGGAUAUCCAAAUUAAUAUUAGUAUUUGUGAUUUGUUGGGAUCGGAUUUUUGGAUUAAAUAUUACUAUUGAUUUCGACACGUCUACUAAUAAUUCCCAUCGUUUAGCACCUCAAGACGUACAAGAAGACAGUAACAUACUGGGAAUAUUAUAGUGGCACAAAUAUAUCAGAACUCAACUGUAUUGUGACACGAUUGAGGGUACAAAGAAAAAUUUAUUAUGUCUUAUUUUUUCAACUUAUCUUCUGCUACAUUUUGUCUGGAUUUGAAACUUUAUUAUGCUAUCUUUAGCUAAUUCAUGCAAUAAUAGAUUUCCUUGGGAUGAACUGGCACAAUUUUUUUUUAACACAGAGAUGAACUGGCACACAUAUUAAACAUUUGUCGGUUAUUUCGUACGUAUAUUCCAGAACAAAAACAUACUAAUGUAUGUUGAUAUGUAUUGCCAUUUACAAGAAUAACAUUGACAAAAGAAUACAGAGUAGAUGUUCAUACAUUUUCAGUGUCACAUGAAAACACAGUUAAGUAAGUUUGGGUUGACUCAAAAUAGUCAAAGCAAGUUAAGCGAUCAUUGAGGCCGAAUACUAUAGAUUAUAGACACAUUCCCUCUCUUUUUUUUGAAUGGUUUUUCCUUUAAAGUAAUGCAAUCGGGAAUUUUUUUUUUUUUUUUUUUUUUUCCUGCAAAUACCGUUUAUAAAUUUGUGUUCUCCCUUGAAAAGAGAUUUUGGUUACAAAAAGCAGAUAAGUAAAGCGUACGACAAGACACAUGUGAGAGAAGACUUUGUGAUGAUAAUUAUGCUAUGACUGGAAAUAUUGAAACCAAACAGAAAGGUAGGAUUCUUGGGAAAUUUGAGGUCGUGUUGAACGCUGAAUCUGUGAAGUGCUCCGGUCUAUUCCAAUAAUCUUUGCUUUCAUGACCAUUUGACCGUCUCUAAUCAGAAGAUGAACUGAUCUACUUGAUGAAUUAUGCAGUCUCAGGUUCAUUUGAGUGUAGCAUACGGCAUGUAACAAAAGCUUGCAAACUAGCUUAACUCUCUUAUUUGGAGAAGCCUGUAGGACCCAGUUGAGAGAACCAUCGAAAGAGAGGGGCGGAUUUAGACUUUGAUAAGCAAAGAAAGACGUCCACACUUCUCUUGAGAUCGAGCAGUGAAAGAACACGUGUGAACGUGAUUCAUCUGCAUUACUACAAAGAAGACAUACACUUGGAACAUUCAUACCCCACCCCAGUAGCCUGUCCCUUGUAGGAAGUCUAUUGAGAGUUGCAAUCCAUGCCAAGAAAGCAUGUUUUGGGAUAUUAGAGCUAAACCAGACUGACUUGAACCAUGGAACUGGAGGAGGGCUUGGAUAAAGAGAUUCCCAAGUCUUUGUCGAUGAGAAUACUCCAUGAAUCGAGUCAAGUGAAUGGCGCCACUGAAAAAAGUCUUGUACCGAAGAAUCCAUAGUUGAGGAGACGCCAGCCAAACUAGCUCGAAGAAACUGGUUUAAAGGAUGCCUCCCUCUUGGAAGGCGCCAGCCAUCAGACGUCGUUGCCUCAGAAACUGUGGCCGAGUAACUAAUACCUGAGACCAUAGGUCCUGACCCUCCACAUAUAUCAAACAGAGGCCCUAGCCCUGUCCAGUUAUCAUGCCAGAAGAGUGCCCUUGUUCCAAAUCGUACAUUACAUACCAAAAAGGCACGUGCGGUGGAUCUGAGCUUCAUCAAACUCCUCCAAAUCCAAGAGCCAAUGUUCUGGAAAUCUGUGUCCCAAAACACUCUGGAUCCAAUUAAAUGCUCUUGUACCCAAGCAACCCACAAAGACCCAUUUGCUGCAAAGAGAAGCCAAAUUAACUUUAACCCGUAGACUUGAUUGGAAUCAGCCAUUCUUCUCAAGCCUAGUCCUCCUGAUUUCUUUGGCGUACAGACCGAAACCCAUGAUACUUUUGCGCCUUGUGCUGAGUCUUGUGUACCAUUCCAAAGAAAAGCAUUACACAUUCUUUCCAGAGAAUCUGUGCAAGCUUUUGGCAGAGGGAAUACUGAUGCCCAGAAAAUAAAAAUUCCAUACAAGACAGAUUGGAGAAGCUGCAGUCGCCCUGGAAAUGAGAGCCUCUUGACUGUCCACGAAUUGAUCCGAGAUCUGAAUUUAUCCAAAAGGGGCUGGUAAUCUGGAGCUUUUAGCUUGUUGGGCAUGAGAGGGAGCCCGAGAUAUCUUAUCGGUAGAGAUCCAUGAGUUAGGCCAAAUCUUCCUGCAAGAGACUGAGCAAAAACCAAGUUCCCACCAUCAACAAAUAAGCAUGACUUUGACAGACUUAGUCCCAAUCCAGAAACAUGAUGAAAUUCAGUGAGCGAUUGCAGAAUAGCAGCCAGUGAACUCUCUGACCCGUCAAAAAAUAUAAGCAUGUCGUCCGUGAAACUUAGGUGCGUGAUAAGAGGACUAGAACACCUCGGAUGAAGGGAGAAGUGGUUUGCCAAAGCAGCCUGGUCUAGCUUCUUUGACAGAAUAUCCAUGACUAAAACAAAUAAUGAGGAAGAUAAGGAGUCCCCUUGCCUCAGACCCUUCUUUCCUGGAAAGAAGCCCACUAGCUCGCCAUUUAGACAGACCGAAUAGUAUGGCGUCAUAUAGCAAAGCCGGAUCCAUUCAACAAAAACUUCUGGUAAUUCAAGAGCCUUGAGAAUAUUGAGGAGAAACCUCCAGUCGACAUUGUCGUAGGCCUUUGUGAUAUCUAUUUGUAAGCAUCCCUGCGUUAAUUGUCCAGGUUUGUUAAAAUCGUCAACAAGCUCUGCUGCCAAAAGAAUAUUUUCACAGAGCUGACGACCCUUUACAAAAUCCACAUGAUUCCUUUGUACUGCAAGAGGUGUUAUGCACUUAAGUCUUUCACUGAGAAUUUUUGAUAUCACUUUAUACCCCGUGUUGCAUAGAGAAAUUGGUCUAAAAUCUGAGAGCUUUGCCACUCCUGGAGAUUUUGGAACGAGGGCUAUGACCGUUGCAUUGAGUUGAUGAGGCAUUGAAGGGUUUCUGAAAAAGUCUUGGACUGCUGAAAUCAAAUCUGGGCCUACAACACUCCACGAUGAACAGAAAAACUCCGAUGAAAACCCGUCCGGUCCCGGUGUCUUAUUUUUUGGAAGAAUAAAGACAGUGUUUUUAAUAUCCUCGACAGACGAAAUUGAGCAGAGAUAGAAUGACAUGGAAGCUUCACAUCUAAAGGGAUGCAACUGCUGAAUUUCAUGAAUAGAGAGGGGAACCACAUCAUCAUUUUCAGAUCCCAAAAGGUUAGAGAAGUAGUCAGUGGCCAUCUCCUUUACUGCUGCUGGAUCAUAUAUUCUUGUAUCAGCUCCAUCUCCUUUACUGCUGCUGCUGGAUCAUAUAUUUUUUGUUUGUUACUGUUCAAAACCAAUAUAAGAGCUAUAAACCCAAUCUUUAUGAAAAAAAUAUCAUGAAACUAAUAAAGAAAAUUGACCUUCCAAUAUAUAAUUAUGGAAUAAUGGAUUUCAAUUUCAUGCAUGCAUGCAUGUCCCUGCACCAUUCGUUUCUUAAUUUCCUCUCACGACCCAAUAAUUCGAAAACCAAGUAAAUUAAAAGAAAUAUUGGUGGUCGUCUGAGUACUUGAGUAUUAUUCGCAAGGACGUGUUGUUGGUCCAUAACCAGCAGAAAAGACCAAGAAAACGAUAUUGGUUUUGAUGUUGAAUACACGUCGGUCCGUCGACAGCAGAAAAGAAAAUAAAAUCCAGAUGCCAUAUGAAUUUGUUUAUGUCGGUAACUCAAUAGCAGAAAAUAGCAAUAUAUAUAUUGAAUCAAAAAGCGAUCAUCGUUUUGAUAUUUUAAUUUACGCAUGUACCUACAUCUCCACUAAAAAUAUUGAAAUAAAAAUAAUAAUUUUAAUUUUGAUUUUUUUGAGGAAAGUAUCUUAACAUUAAAGUAGUGAUAUAUUGUAAUAUAUAUAUAUACUUUCUUAAAACACAUUCAUUAGAAAUACUCUUAAAAAAAUAAAAAUAAACAUUUUUAUUGAUUGCAGAUUUUUUUUUGUAAAACAGAGGUUGACUAGCGGAAUGGUUGGUUUUCAAGUUUAUCAAAAUUGAAGUGAAAUCAUAGUUAACUCUGGAUUUAGCUAACUUUUAAAUUAACAAAUCGUUUGAAGGAACUCCACAUGUCCUAUUUCUUAAAUAUGCCUUUCAGCACAAAUAUAUCUCUGAUCCCCAAAUUCUCUGAAGCUUCGAGAGUCUCAGAAUACCACCCUAUCUCCUGUCUGAAUAUUGUAUACAAGGUCAUCUCGAGGCUUCUAGUUUCAAGACUCAAACCUAUUCUACAGCACCUGAUUUUCCCGUGUCAAACUGCAUUCGUUAAGGAUCGCCUGUUUGUUGAAAACACAGUACUUGCUAGUGAGCUGAUCCAUGGAUACCAUAAGAACAAGGGAUCAAAAAAAUUACCAUAAAGAUGAACAUAGCCAAAGCUUUCGACACACUAUCAUGGGAAUUUCUCUUCUCCUGUCUUGAAGGUCUUCACAUCCCUCUUAAGUUCAUUUCAUGGCUCGGGGCCUGCAUAUGCAUGACAUGACUGGCUACAAUGGUACAGUCUCAGGUUAUUUUAAAGGCAAAAGAGGCUUCAGGCAAGGUGACCCACUGUCUCCUUACUUAUUUGUGAUCGCUAUGAACUGCAUAUCCUUUAUGCUAAACAAUGCAGCGGCUCAUGGGAACAUUCAGUACCAUUCCAAAUGCAGUAAGAUGAAACUAACACACCUAUCAUUUGCCGACGACUUACUGAUUUUCAUAGAUGGGUCUUUGGAGUCGGUCCAGAAUGGCAGAAUGUGCUUCAAGUCCUCAAUGAAUUUGAGCAACAGUCUGGCUUGGCGAUCAGCUACCAAAAAACAAGUUUUUAUGCAUAAGUCUGUCUCCUCAAGAAAUUGAAACAAUACAGGCAGGCAUCUACUGGAAUGUCUUGUGGGACUCUACCUGUCCGCUAUCUUGGAGUACCGCUCAAUUCAAAAAAACUGAACCUUGCCAAUUGUAAGCCUCUCAUUACCAGAUCAAGUCAAGACUCUCCUCUUGGUCAGUGAAGUCACUCUCCUUCUCAGGCAGGCUCCUCCUCAUUAAAACUGUGAUUGCGGGAAUCACAACAUUUUGGUGUUCAGCCUUCAUCCUGCCAAAAGUGUGUGUUAGGCGUAUCAACUCUAUGUGCAGUGUGUUCUUAUGGAAGGGAGAUAUUGAUAGCCACAACUCUGCAAGAGUGGCUUGGGAGACAGUAGUACUUACAAAAGAUCAGGGAGGCUUGGGGAUUAGGGACCUCCAAACUUGGAAUAAGGCUUGCUGCUUAAAGCUGAUCUGGAUGUUGUUCUUUCGUGAUGGGUCUGUGUGGGUCGCUUGGUUCAAGGAGGUCAUUCUAAAAGGGUCCAUUCACAACUACUGGACAACUAAACCAAGCAUCUCCUACUCAUGGCUAGCCAACAACCUCCUCAAGCUAAAAGAUGAAGUCUUCCCACUCAUCAAAUUGCGGCUGGAGAAUGGUGUCUCUGCUAAAUUUUGGUUUGAUAACUGGACUCCCUUUGGAAGCCUUUCGACUUUCCUCAGUAACUCCUCAUCAAGAUUGGGUAUUCAUGAAAAAGCUUAUGUAGCCUCACUGUGUAGGAAUGGAUCAAUUUGGUGGCUUCCACCUGCAAGAACAGAAGAACAAGUUCAGUUACAGACAUACCUCACUACCGUCACUCUCACUCAGGCUCAGGACUACUAUGAAUGGGAGCUGGAAGGUAAACCUACUCAGACUUAUAGCACCCGAGAUGUUUACACUUACUUGAGAGGAGAAAUCAAUUAUGUGAUUUGGGCUAACACGGUUUGGUCUUCCUAUGAGAUCCCAAGACACAGCUUCCUUGUUUGGUUGGUAAUCGAAAACCGAUGUCCAACUAAAGACAGACUGCUCGGAUGGGGCCUUCAGGUUUCGCCACUAUGUCUUCUUUGCAACUCAACUAUGGAGUCUAGAAAUCAUCUCUACCACGACUGCCCCUUCAGCUUUGAUCUUUGGUCCUUAGCUGCUUCGUGGUGUAGGAUCACCCCCACUAGAGAUUGGAACGAUACAGUCUCUCAGAUGAUUGGACUACCGAGAAGCAAAUCGAAGCGCCAUCAAACUCUCCUAACUCUCCUAGCUUGGAAAUCAACAAUAUACUGGACAUGGAAUGAAAGGAAUGCUCGGCUUCACUUCAAUGUAUACCGAUCAGUCGAUACUAUCUUUGCAGUCAUUGAUCGUCAACUGAGAAACAAGAUUAUGAGCUUCAGAGAAUCUAAUCCGGUUCUCUCCUCAGCGAUGUUGCAAGCAUGGUUUUCAGUGGGUUAGACUUCUCUCCAUCGACGGAUUCAUCCUCUCCUACCUCUCAACCAUUGUGUUUUUUGUCACAAGAAAGCUGAUCGUCUUUUCUAAUCUGGGUAUGUGGGUUCUUUUUCUGUUUAGUUAAUGGGUCAUGAAUUAUUAAGGUUUUUUUAUUAUGAGUUUUAAGUCUGGGCUGAACCCUCUUAACUAAAGCCAAAAACUUGUAAACAAUUUUAUUUUCUUUUUAUUUAAUGAAAGCCUAAGUUACAAAAAAAAAAGAAACAUAUUCAUGUAUUUCAAUACAUAACAAAUGUACUGUAUUCCUUGACAAAAGAACAAAAGUAGAGUAAUUAUUUGGUAUUAUUACAUAUUAAGCAAAAAAAGUUUUGAGGAUUUGGAUUUGGGUUUGUCACAUGGAAACCCAGUUAACAGCCUGGGCCGAUUUAAAGAACUCAAAGUAAACCUGAGCCAAUUAUAUUAGAUUUCACGGCCCAUUAUAUAAGCUUCUUCUGGUCCAGUGGAUAGGAUGGUCUCAAUUCUCAAAAUAUUCGAGGAAAUGAGAAAAUGUAUAGCAUCCAGCCUUGGAAUGAGCACUAUUGCUGUAUAACAGACUUGUCAGGGAGAGUAGACCGCGUUGAUGAAGCCUACGAGUUUCUUAAAAGACUUGGUGAAGAAGGCAGGUGAAUGUAACUGAAUUUACACCCGACAAUUUCAUGUAAACUCCGUUACAAAAAAAAAAAAAUCAUGUAAACUUUUGUAAGAUAUAAUCACAUAAACGUAAUAAUGUUACUUGCUUUGAAUUAAUAAAAAGUUAUUACCAACAACAAGCCAUUGGCCAAACGAUAACCAUAACCUUAUGAAUAUCAAAAAUAAAUUUUAUAAUGUAUUUAUUAGUGAGGUUGAACUUUAUAGUAGGGUUUUUAUUUUGGUUUGUAUAUGAUGAUCACAUUAGAUAUUACAACUACCAUAUGCAUGGAGAUUGAAAAUUGCAUGAACAACCGAAAAAAAAACUUACUAGUCAUUAAACUCAACCACUAGUCGUCCACCACUAAAUAAACUCGUAAGAAAUAUAUUUAUACACACAGUUGUACUUUUUUAUAAAACUACAAAAAUGCUAGGUGAAAGGAUACUAGAAAAGUUUGUUCCAGCCUAUCAUUUGAUGUGUGUUUACAACCCUAUAUAAUGUGAAUAUAAUUUAAUCAUAAUUAACAUUAAAAGUUAUAAAAUAUGAUUGAGAGUCUUGAGCUGUUUUGUUAAUUGUAAUUGGAAUUUAGCUCAAAAUGCAUAUUGAGGUUAAUGGGACUCGUAAUGUUUUUAGAUUCAUCCCCUCUUCCUAACCCAUUUCUCACUCGGUUUUAUCAUUUCGUCAAUGUUUGGCUUUUGUAUUAUAUUGGCCAGACUCGAUAUUAACGUCGAUCAACGUCAAAGACCCGUCUCAGGCAAAAUCGCAAUUACAGUAAUAACUGUAACUAGAUUUUAACCCACCCGACUGGUCUUUGUUUUAAUGAUAUAUAUAAAUAUUUAAAAAUCUUAAUUUAAUUGAACGAAUUUGUAUUAUCAAAGUUGACUGUUUAAAUUUUGUAUUUCGUCACUGUAUUGUGUAAUAUUAGAAUGUUGAGAGCAAACAAUAUUUUAUUAAGAUUGUUAACAAAUUUACAGGUUCAUAAAAAUAAAUAUUUUAUUUUAUGUAUAUUCAUUUGUUUAGAUUGGGUAUUCAUGAAAAAGCUUAUGUAGCCUCACUGUGUAGGAAUGGAUCAAUUUGGUGGCUUCCACCUGCAAGAACAGAAGAACAAGUUCAGUUACAGACAUACCUCACUACCGUCACUCUCACUCAGGCUCAGGACUACUAUGAAUGGGAGCUGGAAGGUAAACCUACUCAGACUUAUAGCACCCGAGAUGUUUACACUUACUUGAGAGGAGAAAUCAAUUAUGUGAUUUGGGCUAACACGGUUUGGUCUUCCUAUGAGAUCCCAAGACACAGCUUCCUUGUUUGGUUGGUAAUCGAAAACCGAUGUCCAACUAAAGACAGACUGCUCGGAUGGGGCCUUCAGGUUUCGCCACUAUGUCUUCUUUGCAACUCAACUAUGGAGUCUAGAAAUCAUCUCUACCACGACUGCCCCUUCAGCUUUGAUCUUUGGUCCUUAGCUGCUUCGUGGUGUAGGAUCACCCCCACUAGAGAUUGGAACGAUACAGUCUCUCAGAUGAUUGGACUACCGAGAAGCAAAUCGAAGCGCCAUCAAACUCUCCUAACUCUCCUAGCUUGGAAAUCAACAAUAUACUGGACAUGGAAUGAAAGGAAUGCUCGGCUUCACUUCAAUGUAUACCGAUCAGUCGAUACUAUCUUUGCAGUCAUUGAUCGUCAACUGAGAAACAAGAUUAUGAGCUUCAGAGAAUCUAAUCCGGUUCUCUCCUCAGCGAUGUUGCAAGCAUGGUUUUCAGUGGGUUAGACUUCUCUCCAUCGACGGAUUCAUCCUCUCCUACCUCUCAACCAUUGUGUUUUUUGUCACAAGAAAGCUGAUCGUCUUUUCUAAUCUGGGUAUGUGGGUUCUUUUUCUGUUUAGUUAAUGGGUCAUGAAUUAUUAAGGUUUUUUUAUUAUGAGUUUUAAGUCUGGGCUGAACCCUCUUAACUAAAGCCAAAAACUUGUAAACAAUUUUAUUUUCUUUUUAUUUAAUGAAAGCCUAAGUUACAAAAAAAAAAGAAACAUAUUCAUGUAUUUCAAUACAUAACAAAUGUACUGUAUUCCUUGACAAAAGAACAAAAGUAGAGUAAUUAUUUGGUAUUAUUACAUAUUAAGCAAAAAAAGUUUUGAGGAUUUGGAUUUGGGUUUGUCACAUGGAAACCCAGUUAACAGCCUGGGCCGAUUUAAAGAACUCAAAGUAAACCUGAGCCAAUUAUAUUAGAUUUCACGGCCCAUUAUAUAAGCUUCUUCUGGUCCAGUGGAUAGGAUGGUCUCAAUUCUCAAAAUAUUCGAGGAAAUGAGAAAAUGUAUAGCAUCCAGCCUUGGAAUGAGCACUAUUGCUGUAUAACAGACUUGUCAGGGAGAGUAGACCGCGUUGAUGAAGCCUACGAGUUUCUUAAAAGACUUGGUGAAGAAGGCAGGUGAAUGUAACUGAAUUUACACCCGACAAUUUCAUGUAAACUCCGUUACAAAAAAAAAAAAAUCAUGUAAACUUUUGUAAGAUAUAAUCACAUAAACGUAAUAAUGUUACUUGCUUUGAAUUAAUAAAAAGUUAUUACCAACAACAAGCCAUUGGCCAAACGAUAACCAUAACCUUAUGAAUAUCAAAAAUAAAUUUUAUAAUGUAUUUAUUAGUGAGGUUGAACUUUAUAGUAGGGUUUUUAUUUUGGUUUGUAUAUGAUGAUCACAUUAGAUAUUACAACUACCAUAUGCAUGGAGAUUGAAAAUUGCAUGAACAACCGAAAAAAAAACUUACUAGUCAUUAAACUCAACCACUAGUCGUCCACCACUAAAUAAACUCGUAAGAAAUAUAUUUAUACACACAGUUGUACUUUUUUAUAAAACUACAAAAAUGCUAGGUGAAAGGAUACUAGAAAAGUUUGUUCCAGCCUAUCAUUUGAUGUGUGUUUACAACCCUAUAUAAUGUGAAUAUAAUUUAAUCAUAAUUAACAUUAAAAGUUAUAAAAUAUGAUUGAGAGUCUUGAGCUGUUUUGUUAAUUGUAAUUGGAAUUUAGCUCAAAAUGCAUAUUGAGGUUAAUGGGACUCGUAAUGUUUUUAGAUUCAUCCCCUCUUCCUAACCCAUUUCUCACUCGGUUUUAUCAUUUCGUCAAUGUUUGGCUUUUGUAUUAUAUUGGCCAGACUCGAUAUUAACGUCGAUCAACGUCAAAGACCCGUCUCAGGCAAAAUCGCAAUUACAGUAAUAACUGUAACUAGAUUUUAACCCACCCGACUGGUCUUUGUUUUAAUGAUAUAUAUAAAUAUUUAAAAAUCUUAAUUUAAUUGAACGAAUUUGUAUUAUCAAAGUUGACUGUUUAAAUUUUGUAUUUCGUCACUGUAUUGUGUAAUAUUAGAAUGUUGAGAGCAAACAAUAUUUUAUUAAGAUUGUUAACAAAUUUACAGGUUCAUAAAAAUAAAUAUUUUAUUUUAUGUAUAUUCAUUUGUUUAUGAAAAAAUAUACGAAACCAAGUGUAUCAAUGGAAAAAAAAUUGUUCAAAACGCAAUCUAUAUUACAUCAGAAAUUGUUUGUUCUUAAUAUAUGAUAAAUGCCAUUAGAAUAUUCGGUUAUUAUACUUAAAAUGGAGUUUUGAUAAUUUAUUAUUUGAAAAUUGGAUAAGGAAGGUGUGAAAUGAGGGAAUCAAGUAAUUAGGAUUAUUGAAAGAUAUGUUAGUUUGUAAGCUCGAUAUAUGUGGAAUUAAUGUGUUCGAAUUAUGUUUUGUUAAGUUUAGAUUUUGUGUAUAUUUUUUGGAAAUAUAUGCCGCAUUUUUAACUUGGAAGUUACUUUUUGUUAACUUCAAAGUUUGUCUUUAUUUUUUUAAAAACAUGUCAAAUUUUUAAGUUAACAAUUUAAAGUAUUAACUCUAUCUAUGUAUCCAAACAAAAUAGUUUUUAUUAAUCCUACUAUUCAUAUACCCAAACAACUCUCAAAUGUAUUUUAGCUUUAAUGAGAUAGAUAUAUAUAGAUAGAUUAACAUUAGAGCUAAGGAAUUGAAAAAAAUAAUAGAUAAACAAUAAUGAUCUUUAAUCUAGGCAUAGGCAUGUUAAGGGCAUGAUUAUUGGGGGUCCUUGCUCUUGGAUCCUUAAUACACAUAUAUUUAUAUGUAUAUAUUAUAUAUGCGUAUAUAAUUGCGGGCUAAAGACUUUACGGAAACCCAAACCGAAAGUUCUUUAAAGUCUUUAGUCCGCAAUUAUAUGCACAUAUAUAAUAUAUGCAUACAAAUAUAUGUGUAUUAAGGACCCAAGAGCAAGGACUAUACUACCUUCACCAAAAAUCUUCCUAGGCAAGUUUGAUUUCAACAUGAUCCAAUAGUCUCAUCCCCAUAUUUAUUGUCAAAAGACUAUUCUGGUCUUUCAGAAAAUUCUAUUAAAUGUAUUUCACUAAUCCAAAUUUUAGCAAUAAAAAACGAUUAAAAAAAAAAAAGCUAAAUUAAUUUUGUGGAAGGAAAAAGGCCAAUCACAGUUUAUUUUCGACUACAACUCAUAUAUGAUAGAUAAUAUCAAACCAUUAUGCCAUAAAAGAAGAAAAAUAUAAAGUUAUAACUUAUAUUUAUAAUUUAAAUUGAAAUUUUCAAAGACUGGUUUCAAGAGAAUUAUGGAUUGAAAAUUUAGAAUUCUCACAACCUUUAUUGAGCUAAUUUGGUAAAAUUGCAUUCACAUUAAGUUCGUGUUUGAGAAAAUGUCUACAAUCCAAUAAGAAUACAAAAGUUAGCGUAAGCUAAUUUGCUAAGCUAAUUUGGUAAGCUAAUUAUGGAUUGAAAAUUUAGAAUUCUCACAACCUUUAUUGAGCUAAUUUAGUAAAAUUGUAUUCACAUUAAGUUCGAGUUUGAGAAAAUGUCUACAAUCCAAUAAGAAUACAAAAGUUAGUGUAAGCUAUUUGCCUCGUGCAUCCUCCAUUCAUAUGCACGUUUUAUAAAAGAAAUUAUGAAGUUACAACUGAUAUUCAUAUUUCCAAAUCUAUCGAACUAAUGGUAAAGCAGCCAAAAGCUACUUUCAUACUAAUUUCAUGUUUGAAUGUCUACACUCCAAUAAGAAUAGAAAAUUGGACCUAGGCUAUUUGCCUCAUAUUUUCUGCAUUUUCUGCACGUUAUGUGUAUAUUCUAUGACUAAUAUUUGAGAAAUAUAUUUUUCACAUGCAAUUGAUUUGAACUUCACGUGAGGAUAUUUCUAUUAAUCGCUAAGGUAUGUGAUAUAAAUAUUAGUGCUUAAGAACAUUUAUUUUAAUUAAGCUACGUCUAAUAGAAAUAUGGGCUCCAUAAUUUUUGUCCGAUAAUUUAUUUUGGUAGAAAAUAUACACAUUUAUUUGGGAAACACUAUUUUAUUUUUCUUAUUGCCAAUUUGGAAAUUUGAAUGCAAGCAAUUAUGCAUGCAAGUCCAGUCACUGAAUAUUUGCCUCUCUAGGACCAUGAUAACGCUAUACCUUAUGCUUAAAACAAAUUAAAGAUGAUAAAAACUUAAAUAUGAAAUUGAAAAAACAAAACUAAAUAACAAAGGUCAAAGAUUUCAUUAUAUGACAGAGAAAGUCAGACCUAACAUUUCUGCUUUUCUGCGAAAAUAUAUUUUCAAAACGAAUCCAGUCGUUUUCUCAUGGCAGCUUCGAAGAAGACGUAUUACUACUAGUCCCCUCCUUAGACGACGGAGCCGAACCUCCUCCUCCUCCACCAUCCGCCGGAGGAACUUGUUGGGAAGAUCCGGCGGAUGGAUCCGACCCAAAAGCUAUAGCGGAUGGAGAUACCGUGUACUGCUGAACCACGGCGCGGUAAUUGGCUAGAUCGGUGGUGAUUACUAUCGCUGGUGUAUUACGGGGGGCUCCUGAUCUUUCACGGCCUGUUUCUUGACUCGGACGUGAGUUCAUUUUGUUGUGUGUCUCUGAAGCCGGACUGUGAGAGUUUGUAAGAAAGAAAAGUGCAUUUGCCUUCGUUACUUGUUUGUUUAUUUAUAGGUUUUAUUUUGAUUCGACUUAGUCAGACGAAGACUAUUCUAAAUCAAUCAUGACUGUUAGUUGAGUUUUACCAACAAACUAUAAGAAUUAAGUUUGGUAAUUGGUAAUUGGCUACUUUCCCAACAAGUUUACGAAAUUGAUCUAUUUCACUCUUAUGUAUUCUUUGAUUAAAGUAGUACGUAUAAUAAGUCCUUCACUUUACAUAAAACGUUACAGAGCUUACGACAUAUUUCCUGAAAGUUCUAACCAAAAUUAGUGUGAAUCCCUGAAAAAAAAGGUGUGAAUCCUGAUCCUGACGUGUGAUACAAACUACAUCAUCGUUCUCUUUUUGUUAAUCAAAAACAGCCAAUGACCAAGCUUGGUGAUAAUCAAGCCCUAGUUAAAAAAACACAGACGAUAUAAAAGGAAGCUAAUCUUGGGAUCACACAAUACAACCACAAAAAAAAAGUAUAGACCUUCUUCUUUCACGUAUCCUCUUCACUUGUUGGCAUUUUUUUCCAUGAACUCUUAUUAAUCACUUUGUCGUUUCGAAAAGAUGACAGGCCAAGUGAGACACUUAUUCUUUUUUUUUUUUUUUUUUGAAACACAAGUGAGACACUUAUUCUGAUAGUAAUAUUAUCACACUUUUGAAAUAAAAACUUAUACAAAUAUAACGUACUAUAUAUAUAAUCACAUUGGGAGGGCCAUGAGAAGCAUGGUCCGUUCUCCCAAAAAAAAAAAAAAAUCUGUUUCACAAAAUUAAACCCCAAUCACCUUACUUGAAUAAUAACAGUACUUACCAAUCCAUAUAAGGAAUCCACCAAGAACAAUGGACAAAAAGGAUGGCUAACUAUAAAUAACAGACAACAGUGAAGACGGAAAGACACCAAUACCACAGGUGUUCUCUUCUUGAUCAAUGUACAAAAGCAACUCUCUCAAGUCUGAAACCCAUUGUGUUCUGUUCUCCCAUGAUUGUGUCCCAGAAGCUGUGUAUAUGUACAUGAACGAUGGGAGAGGGAUUUGGGCUGAUGAUUCACAGAGACUUAAGCAGGGCAAUGCAAGCCUUUGUUUUAUUGGUUCUGAGUUGCGUCUUCUUUGGUUUUGGGCAGAUGUCUCCGUGAGUUUUCCCGCUCGGAUGACUUUAGCUGACGGAUAUCCUAAGGAUUUUCCUGCUCAAGAAUGAAUAUUCACAGUUUAGACUUAAAUAGGACAACCCGAAAUCUUUCAAAGAUUAAAUGUGUUGCUUCUCAUAGUUCCAAUGUCUAAUGCAAAUCUGGCUCUCUUAUCACCAUCACAACAUUGAUAAGACUAUUCUCUUAAUCAAGAAAAAAGUUUUUUAAAAAAUAAGUUUCCUAGAAAGAGAGAAAGAGAUCUGACCACUGUUUGGUAGAGAUAACCGUUCCUUUGGACUGCUGUGAGAUCUUGGAGCAGCACCAGGUCUUCUUGAGUUAACUUCAACAGCAAGAUCGUCUUUAGCAAGCUUUGACCUAGCCUUGGAUACCACUGGAAUGCUUCCAGGUGAAGAAGAAUCAUUAUCAGACAGAGAUGGCCCUGCUGCCUUCCCACUCGGAUACAAGAGUUGAAGUGUUUGGCAUCCUGCUUGCAGUUUUCAUCUGUGUUCUAUGCACAUUCUCACACUGCUCCAUAUUGUUUAAGUUUGCAACCUCUCUCUCUGAGGUUACUAGUGUCAAGAAACCGGUUCUCCCAUGGACGAACAGCCAUCCAUCUCUCCAGCCAGUUCCAUCCCCAGUUGUUUUUGUCAGGUUGAAAUUCACUGUGCGCAGACAGCUGCCGAGUUCCUGCUUGCCACUACAAGACAACAAUUUAAAUGUAAGAGAAAGAAUGAUCUAUUAACUAGCACAGAGGUUGUUGUGAGUAACCUGGUGAGUCAAACCAUAAUCCAUAGCCCUCUCACGCUUAGCUGCAGCUUCCUGCCUCUUUACCAGCUUUGCUUGGAUUUUCUCAACAGAUCCAUUGCUAUCACACCAACCUUCCUGAUAGAUGAAAAGACAUUGUCAACACAAGUCUAUAACUCUCUCAACAAAAAAUUAAAGUGAUUAUCACCUCUAUUUCUCGGACUCUGGCUUCAUUUGCUACCUGCUGCUGAAGUGUCUGCUGACCUGUUUCACAUUCCAAGGAGAGACGAACACGUCUUGCACGUGCACGAGCCUAACGCUUUUAUGCACCGAAGGGUUACAGCUGCUUGUUUUCUCACAACGUGUCCUCUAACAAGGGCUUGUAGUCUAACCAAACCCUUCAACGCUCUUAAAGCCCUUCUAGCAUAAAAAAUACAUCAUCCAUAAAGUAGAAAGCAAAACAAUAACAGAUUAUAGGACUUAACAAGGCUAAUAUUGAUACCAGAAAGGCUCGAAAAGCUUAUUGGAUGCGCGUUGCAGCCAUAUAUAUGAUCCUUCCUUUGUUCUUCAUAAGCUGCACCAUAUGAUUGUAGUUAAGUUGAACUAGAGACUCCAGCCUCUAUCACACUAUGCACAGUAUUUAAUUCUUCAAGUCCAUCUUGGAACUUUUCAGCAUCAAAACCAACUGAAUGCUUUCUCCCAAACCGGCUCUUGGUAGGAAUCUUGUUUGUGAUUUGGAGAGAAUAAGAGGAAAGAAGGAUUUUAUUUUACUUAUAUCUUUAGGUUCUUCAUACACUUACGUACGUAGAGCUGUUGGGAUUGAUGCAUCGAUCUUAUGAAGUCUUGCCAAUUCUUACUUUCAAUAUUUUCUUCAUUUCUACAUGUCAAUAUUUAGUGGUGUGAACCAAUCCUCUCAACUACUAACUAAUGAUCUUAUGACAUUAACCACUCGACCAACUAGAUUUUUCAUAAAACUUCUAACGUUUCGUUUCUCAUAAAAGAGGCUGCAAGCAAAUGCUAUCUUCAAAGCCUGUGCAACAAAUGAUGCUACAGAGAAAAUAUAUCAUGUAUGUGAUGGAUCAGGAUUAUACCCAAAUUUAGAAUUGUAAUUGAAAAAACGUCAGUAAAACACACAUGUGUGGCUACGAAAUCAACUACUUUGUUUUACCGAAAACAUAGUUCUUCAAAUACAGAGAAACAAAUAACAUAUAGGGAAUGGGAAACACACAAUGCUAAACAAGAAACACUAACUGUGAUAGUCCGAUCUAUCGAAAUACAAACACAAAUAAAAUAUUUUGAAUUAGCUGAAAUGAUAUCAGCCACAACCUUCUUUCUCAGAAGGCCGUCUGGUUUGGUUGCUUGAAUUUAUUCUUCUAGAUUCUUCGCCUUCUAUUUUAAAACGUAUGGAAAAAGAGAAACAUCGAUACAUUAAUUAUAUCAGUUAUUCAUUCAUGGUGACAGUUCUAGUAUAAUAUAAAUUUGAAAAAAAAAUUCAGAACAUCACCUUUUUAAUGAAUUGUGGUGUCUGCGUUUAUUUGGGACAAAAGCUUUCGUGAACCACUCUGGUUUGUAGGAAACCAGUACGUAUCCCAUCGUCAAUCCAAAGAAAACACCUGGUACGAAUCCUAUUGCAGCUGCUAUCCAACUCAACACCUCUUCGUCAUCUUCAUCUUCUUUUGGAUCUGGCGUUUCAGAUUGUUGACAUGUUGUCGCGUGGAUACAACCACAAACUUCAUUAAUUGAAGGACCAUACAGUCCCGGGUUAUCCUCGAAAGAAGAACAAGGCUGCGUCAGAAACUGAGUGCCCCCUGGCACUAGACCUAUAAGCUGGUUAUGAGAGAAGUUCAUGUAAGCAAGGAACGAGAGGCUCCCAAGCUCUUGUGGAAUCUCUCCUGAAAGCUUGUUUUGUGAAACAUCCAGUGACUCAAGCUCUGCCAGGUUUCCCAUUGAUGAUGGGAUGUGGCCAGUGAAAGCAUUGUUUGAAAAGUUGAGCACAUGAAGCUCUUUCAGUAGACCAAUGGACCUUGGAAUCUCUCCUUCAAAUUUGUUCCCAGAGAAGUCGACUGCUGUGAAGAUUUUUAAAGAUACGUUCCAGAUUCCUUUCUACACCUUUAUUCACCAUAACCACUGAAUCAGAAUAAUAGCUUGUACCCAUGUACCUCUCUGCAUAUCUAUCUUGAUUUUGUUCAAUGGUGGUAUACAUUGCCGUCCAAUUCACGAAGAAGUCCGAUGGCAAAGUUCCAUUGAAGUGAUUGUGGUUUAUGUCGAUGAUCCGUAACUUAGAAAACGGAGUUUGAUGUAUUAUUGGUCCAUGAAAUGCGUUGGAGCGAAGGACAAGAACCUGUAGCUCCGGCAGAGAACUCAACCAGAAAGGAAACAUGUCACUGAUUUUGUUGCUUUCCACAUUCAGAACUUGAAGAAAAGGGAUACUGAUGAAUGAUCUUGGAAGCUUCCCCACCAGACGGUUAUGACCCAAGUCAAGGGACACUAGACUUUGAGACAUGUUCUCUGGAAUAUCUCCACUUAGAUGAUUUUGUCUAACAUUUAGAACUUCAAGAAUUCUACUGAAAUUUCCCAGACAGCUAGGGAACGAACCACUGAAUUUGUUGCUAGACAAAUCGAGAGUGGUUAGAGAGCGCAACUCACAUAUGAAACUAGGGAUCUUGCCCGUGAAAUUGUUGUUGGCGCCAGACAAGUAACUCAGAGAUGUUUCUCGGACAUAAGAUAGCCCAUGUUUCUUUGGGGUUUGGAAACCAAUCAAUGUGUUGUUGGAAAGACUCACAUACUCAAGAAAUGGAAGCUCCCAUAACCAUCCAGGCACUUGACCUUUGAUUUUGUUGUUGGAAAUGUCUAGUGUCGUCAUGUUGUGUUGUGUUCGUAAGAGCUCCGGAAACUCGAUGAUACCGCAUCCUAACAAGUUCAACUCACGUAACAAUGGAGGAUCUGAAACCAAGCUACUGUUCUCAGUUGAAACAUGGUUUCCCGAAAGAUCCAGUGUAUAAAAAGUGACUUCAAAUAUGGUAAGAUUGCAUUCAAGUCAAGUGUAGUUGUGGUGUUCAAGUGGGAGAGGUAAAGACCAUUUAGCGACUUGAGACGAGAGAAGAUGGGAAGGUCAACUGAGCCUUGGGUGUUGAGUUGAGAAAGGUCAAGUCUCCAAAGGUUGACUAACUUGGAGAUUGAUCGGGGGAUUGAUCCGAUGAAGUUGUUAUCGCCAAGGCGUAAAUCUUCUAUCUUAGAGGAUGAAGAUAUAUUCCCAAGCUCAAGAGUGCCGUUGAGCUGGUUAUUUGACAAAUCAAUAUAAGUCGAAGAAGGGAUAGGUCCAGUAAAAGCGUUUUGUCCCACGUAAAAUAACUCCAAGUUGGAGACUGAGCCUAUGUUAGGUGGAAGCAUGCCCGAGAAUUGGUUUCCGCUGAUUGAUAUGGAAAUCAGCUUUGUUAGAUUUAGUAGUUUAAGAGGAAAGUUACCAUGAAGGAUGUUGUUUUCAACAUCUAUGUGAAUGAGAUGAUUCGAACUGCCAAAAAAAAGAUGAGAUUUCACCAACGAAAUUGUUUUGUGAGAGGUCCAGACCAGUGAGAUUCAAAAGAUUUCCAAGUGAAGAUGGAACUUUACCAGUAAAUUUGUUUUGGGAGAGAUUAAGAGUGGUGAGCUUAGAGAGGUUUCCAAGUGAAGAUGGGAUUUCACCACUGAAAUCAUUAGCUGAAAGGUCAAGAGUGGUUAGCUUUGAAAGGUUUCCAAGUGAAGAUGGAAUAUUACCGCUGAACUCAUUACUUGAAAGGUCGAGAGUUGUUAAAAAAGGAAGGCUUCGAAGCAGAAAGAUAGUACUGUUGGAGUUGAACUGACCACGGAGGCAACUGUCACUAAGGUUCAGCUUGAUCACAUCCCCGAAACUGGCAUCACAUCUGAUACCGUCCCAUGAACAACAAUCGCUGUUAUUCUCCCAUGACUUUAGAGGUCGGUCAAGACAAGGCUUUUGAAUCUGGAACUUGUUCUUGAAAUCCAGAAUCGCAUCCCUUUGGUCAGGAUGACACAAGUGUCUACCAGGAUCCGCAAACACAUCUCGAAAUAAAAAGAUAAAAGAAAUAAAAACAGAGAAGAGACUGAUUGAGUUCUCAUAGUCUUUCAUCUUCUUUACCUUCUUUUUUUUUUUGAUCAAAUCAUCUUCUUUACUUUCUUAUCGGUAGUUAUAAUCAAGAAAACAGUUUCACGUUUCCAUCAGCUUGACUGACUAACGAGUCUUUCUACUAACAUGAUUGGUCGAAUUUUUUUAUUUUUAUCAAUACUAUUAAAAGGAAAUGAAUCUUAAAAAAUCUACGUAUAAAAGUUGUUUGGACACUUUCAUUUAUCUCAUUAUUUUUUUGUUUUACCUUAAAUUUAAACUAACAAUAUGUUACCAUAUAUUUCUCUAACAAUAAUUUAUUCAAUUCUUUUAUUUAUUUAAAUCUCACUCCUAAAUCCUAAUCACUACUAUUACUAUAUUUACCAUUUUGAUUUUUAUUCGUAAAAGCAUUGAAACUAAUGUUUUAUAUUAUCACUUUUAUCGUAUAAUAUAUGAUUUAAAGCAAGAGAAGUUAGAUGACAUAUAUGUGUACAUUCUAACUUCUUUUUUCUUUUAUAAUAAAGUAAUCAUAUAAUAUAUAAAUUUUUUUACUAAAAUCUCAUAUCAUAUACUAAACUUUCAACCGUCUAUAGUUUGAUAGAUAUUUUCAUAUUUAAAAAUGAGUUUUCUGAAUAUUCAUGUUACCUUCACAAAAAAUGUAUAAACUCAUUGGUUCUGUUAAAGUUAACCCGACUUCGCGAUAUCAGUAUUGAUUAUUCACGAUUUUGAAAAUUAUUGGUUUAGAUAUUAUACUUUUAUAUACUUUUCACUUAAAAAUGAAUCAAUACUAUUAAAAGAGAAAUAGUCUUAAAAAAUCUAAUAUAAAAAAGUUGUUGGAGUCAUGUAUAACUAUUUUUUUUUUUUGGUAAUACCAUUAAUCAUUCUAACCAUACAAUAUUUUAAAUAUUUUUAACAGAUCCUAAUAUUAUUCCUUAUGAUACCUUUACUCAGAAAAAUAUUUCAUCAAUCAUGUUUUUGUACAAUAACGUUAAAAAUCUAUAUCAAAAGGUUGUUGGACCUGAUAUGGACGUAAUGGCUCCACAUAUGUUCGGAUAUUUAGGAUCCUAAAAAAAUCCAAAUAUCUAAAAAAUCUGAAAAAUAUUCGAAACUCCAAACAAGUACUCAAAAAUUCAAAUACCUAAAAAUUCAAAAUCUUAUUCAAAAUCAGACACGGUGAACUGAAAAAUACCCAAUUUUUUUUUAAUUUGAAAAUUUACCUGAAAUCAAAAACUAUAAUCGUAAGCCAAAAACUUAAAAAAAAAUAUCCAUAAUACCGGAAACAUAUUCGAAAUAUCCAAAUAUACCUAAUAAACACAACAUAUUUAUGAUCGGGUCUAGGGUAGGAUCCAGACUCAAACAAAGACCUGCGGGUCCAAAAAAACCCAAUAGGUUAUCUUCUCUGGAUCUGAACUAAACCUAUAUUUUCGGGUCGGUUCGAUUUGUUUUUUUGACCUGGAUAUAAUUCUCAUGCCUAAAAGAAACUUACGUAAAAGUGUACAUAUAAAAUCUCAAAUAAACUAAUUCAUAGAUUAUAUAACUGUUAAAAAUUAUAUUUUUCGAUAUAAUAAGACUUUGUAUUAUAAUAUAAUAAAAAACUCCGCGCUUUCCAAGCGCGGAUCAAAAUCGGAAAGCGCGGAUCAAAAUCUAGUUUACUUUUAAAACACUACCGAGCAUUUAGCUAGAACUUGGUAAAAUACAUUGCCAAACAAGUUAAAGGAAUAAACCAAAAAGAGUUAGGAUUUUAUUGUUCACCUAACAAUAGUUAAACUUUUCAGUUUUCUCUUUCUUCAACCCCUCUCUUCUCUCUCUCAUUACGCGAAAUUGUUCUCUUGGUUUUCUGUGUUCUUAGUCGGAUCUCAUCCCUUAGGAGUUCUUAGUCGAAUCUCAUCUCAUUAGCUAGCUUAAUCUUUAUGUAUCUUCUUAGUCUAUCAAUUAAUGAUAUCUUCCAUACGCUCUCUCGUCCUAUCCCCUUUGACGAUGAAAACAAGGUAUUUGUUUUUUUUUUCAUAUAUCUCCUUUGAAUUUUUAUUGUAUUAUUAGCGUUUCAAUGUGAUGAUAUAAAGUCUGGAACAUGUCUUUCCACCCAUCUUUCACCGACAGGGAGAGCCCAUUUAAGAAGUUUCCAUGAGAAGAGCUUAACUUUUGGCGCACAAGGCAUAGUCCAUACACUGUUCUUCCAUUUGAAACCCACUGCAGUAGGUGGGAGUUCUCUGGUUUCAUCAUUGUUAACUGCAGUGUAGUAGCCGGACUUGGUAGAAUACUCACCCAACUUUUUACCUAACCAAACAAGCUAAUCCGGAGUCCGGAGUCUGGUAGGAUGCGUCUGAUUUUCGCUACAUCCCAUUCCCCUGUUGCAGGGAGCAUUAGCUCGGAGACAGAGAGAACGAGGUGUUGCUCGUUUGGAGGGCCCAUUGGUCGCUGUUGUCCGGUUAAGCUCAGCCAAGGAUCGUCCCAGAUGCUGAUUGAUUCUCCAUUUCCUACAGUCGAGCUGAGGUUUUUAGCCAAAAUAUCUCUUCCCAAGAGAAUGCUUCUCCAUCCAUGUGAUAUCGAAGAGGUCUUUGUAGCGUGUAGAAUAUUGUUGUCCGGGCAGUAUUUGCCAAACAAGACCCUACCGAGGAGGCAUUGCGGGUUUUGGAGAAGCCUCCAGCUAAUUUUGACUAACAAGGAGACAUUGAAGUUUUGGAAGUCCUGCAGACCUAGGCCUCCUAGUGCUUUCGGUUUUGCCAUGCUGUCCCAGGAGACCCACGCCAUCUUUCUCGAGUUCUCAUUAUGAUCCCACCAGUAGCAUGUCACUGCGUAUUGAAUCCGCUUGCAGAGCGAAACUGGCAGGCUGAAGCAAGACAUGGGGUAUGAGGGAAUGGCUGAGAGGACACUUUGAAGCAUGACAAGUUUGCCCGCUGCAGAGAGGAAUUUGUUGGUCCAUCUCCUCGCUUUCUGCUUAAUCCGUUCUACAAUUAAGGAGAAGAGAUCCCUCUUACGCCUCCCAAAGUGUUCGGGCAAGCCCAAGUAUUUCCCCACACCACUUUCACUUUGGAUCUGCAGCACAUCUUUAUCCAUUGUUUUCAGCGAUACUGGCGCUUUCCGGGAAAAGGUGAUAGCAGAUUUGUCUUUAUUUAUUGACUGUCCAGACGCGUGUUCGUAUUUGCUCAAAUUGGACUUGAGGGCUGCACAAUUCUCUUUAUCGGCUUGGAGGAAGAACAUUGUAUCGUCCGCAAAGAAGAGGUGAGUUAGUCGAGGACUGCCUCUAGCCACUUUCAAACCUUGAAGUAGGCCUUCUUCUUGCACUUUGUUACAUAAUCCCGAGAAGACCUCACUACACAUAAUGAAUAUGUAGGGAGAAAGAGGGUCAUCUUGACGGAUUCCUCUACUUGAUACUAUCUUUCCUUUAGACAAGCUAUUAAUGAGGAAGGAAUAUUUAACAGAAGUGAUACAAUGCAUUAUGCAUCUGAUCAAGUUUUGGUGGAAUCCCAAUCGGUUUAAAACUAACGUGAUAUCUCUACUUUGAUCAUGAUUACAGUAGACAAGUUAUAGGGUAAUUUAAUUUUCAUGUACCAAAAAUUUGAGAACCCUUUUUCUCUUAACCAUUUUCACAAUUAAAACUUAAACUUACAUAUUCGUACAAUUACAAUCUUAAAAUUACACAACUCAAGUUUUGACUCUAGAUUACAUGACAAUUUCUCCUGACGUAGACCUUAUUUAAUUUAAAAGGAGUCCCAAUCCCACAAGAGAAAUCAACAAAAUCAGACGAGAAAAAAAAAAAAAAAAAAAACCAAAAAAGCAUACAAGUAAAACCCAGGAACGACAUAAAAUGCCAUGCACAUAUAUUCAUAUUCCUCUGGGUUAAAGAGGUUUUACCCUUGAAUCUGUUCUUAUUAUAGCCACGAAAUAGCAAGAAAUGUUUCACGCUGGCAUUGAUACGGGGCAUAUUUUGCAUACGAAUCAAACCAAGGUAAUUUUCAGAUGGUGAGGUUUUCUUUGAUCACAAAGCCUGUGUCUAUAAUGCUGCCACCAAGACCUGGGAAUGUCUCGCAUCCAGGAAGAGAACUCACUUUGCCUGUCCUAUCGACUUGAACGGGAUACUUUAGAAGAUGACUUGUCAUCUCCGUGACUUCCUCUGCUGCAUACUGUCUCCAGUUAAGCUCACUCAAUCUCCUAACUCGUCUCACGCAUUCCAUGUUCUCUGGCUCUUCGAAACCUUUCUCUAGAGACCCUAGAUGUUCCGCCCACAGCGACAUUCUGUAUCCAAAGAUCUGCAAGAAAUAGGAAAAUAUGCAACAAAACCAUGUUUUAGGGAAAUAUGCAACAAAACCAUGUUUUAGAGGAGCCAGAUUUGUAAAUUGGUGACUGUGAUCUCAAACUUUCCUAAUUAUAGGGAAAUAUAUUGGACAGAACUUAGGUGAACUUUUAAAUUCAUUCACCAUUUGAAUGACACAUAGAUUAUUAAUUAAAAAAUAUUAAAUUAAAUAAAAAAUAAUUACGAAAAAGAAAAACGCUAAUUUUAACGACGCUAACGCUUCCAGUUAAACCUUAAACCCUAAAUCGUAAAUUUUAAACCCUACACCCUAAAUUCUAAACCCAAAUCCAAACCCCUAAACCCAAAUUCUAUACCCUAAACCCUAAUCCUAGAUCCUAGACCCUAGACCCUAAGACCCUAGACCCUAGACCCUAAUUAUAUACCCUAAACCCAAAAACUAGACUAUAAACCUAAAUUCUAUACGCUAAACCCUAAACCCAAACCGUAAACCUUAAACCCAAAUUAUAUACCCUAAACCCAAAACCUUAACCAUAAGUCCAAACGGUAAAUCCUAAACCCAAACCGUAAAUCCUAAACCCAAAACCUAUACCAUAAACCCAAAUCCUAGACCUAAAACCCAAACGGUAAACCCUAAACCCAAACCCUAAACUUAGAUGCUAUAGGAUUUGGGUUAAGGUUUAGGGUAUAAGAUUUGAGUUUAGGGUAUAUGGUUUAGGUUUAUAGUCUAUUUUUGGGUUUAAGAUAUAUAAUUUGGGUUUAGGGUAUACGAUUAAGGUUUAGUAUAUAGGGUUUGGGUUUAGGAGUUGAAUUUGGGUUUAAAGUUUAGGUUAUAGGGUUUAGAAUUUAAGAUUUAGGGUUUAGGGUUUCGCUGGAAGUGUUAGCGUCAUUAAAAUUAGCGUUUUUAUUUUUUGUAACUAUUUUUUAUUUAAUUUAAUAUUUUUUAAUUAAUAAUCUAUGUGUUACUUUGAUUAUAAAGUGUGGGAUGAAUUUAAAAGUUCAGCCUGGAGUCUGAACUUAAGUUUUGUUCAAAUAUAUUCUAGGAGGUCUCAUAGUCCCCAAGAUCUCAUAAUAGACUGUGGUGGCUACUAAAGCUCCAAGCCUGUGAAGCAGAAGGAAAAACUCUCUAAAACAGAUUGGUGGGUUUCUGGUUUUGUGUUAUUUGAAUGCAAACUCAGAUUGAAAUUUUAUUACCUGCCCACGAGGAUGAGAACCUUUCUCAGCCCAUGAGUGGUGUGGUUGAUAUCCUCCCAUUGCGAUUUCAGUAUCCCUAGAUCCUUCCAGGGAUCUCUCGUUGAUAUUCGCAGAACCAAUUAAGACAAACUCAUCGUCCACUAUCAUACCUUUGGAAUGAACAUAUAUCAUGAAUCUUCGACUCUUCAAAGCUUCCACCUGGAUUAUUUUGUUGUUUUAGUGAGACAAAUGUUAUUAAAGCGAAGACUUCAACAAUCUAUAUGCAUAUACCUGUGGGGCAUCUUCUUCCUUUGUGUUGUUGUUAACGUUUCCAUCAGCAACCUCUCUGGUUCCAAGACAGAAGAAGUUCAAAUAGUCUUGUGGCUCAUACUGACUAUCAAGUUCAGCUUCCACAAGUGCCUUGUAGAUAGUUAGAUACAUCAUUUGCAUGGUUUUAUACUGCAGAAAUGAUGAAAAGAUUCCAGUCUAAAGGAUGCGAGAUUGUUAUUCAAGUCAGUUAAUAUUUAGCAAACUAAGUAUUUACCUGAUAUUGUAAAAUGCUCUGCGUAACGAUACCCGUUGGAUCACCUUCCGGCAGCAUUGGGAUGAGAAUAUAAGCAGCAAAAUUUUCUCUUGCUCUAAUUUUAUUAGCAAUCUUAAGCGCAAUUUCCAUAGGGAUUAGAUUAUUAGCACCUGCAUUUCAAGAAACCUUGUAGUAUUAUUGCACGAGUUGACUGAAUUGCCUUCAAAGGUAACAAUUUUCUUACCAACGAUUUUAUGUGAAUCCCAGUUAAAUGAUGAUCCAAAAAAAUAUUGGUUCUCAAUGUAAAUGAAACGCUGAGCAGAUCUUAUGGCCUUAACAUAAGCCGUGUGUAUGCUCAUGUCUAUAAGUAUAUUCUUCCCACAUUGAAGAUUCUGUUGACAUCUUAAUAAUCAUCAGUAAAUAGCUACAUUGGUGGUGACUGAAGAUGACAAGUUUAAAAAUGUUCAGAAUUGUGCUUACUCUUGCACUAGCUCCCUUUGAGUCCUCUGGAAACGCUUUGACUGAGGUUGAAUCAAUGGACCGAAAAACCUAAAUAAAUAGUAAAAAUAUAAAUAUUUCAAAACGAAUUGUAAGUAUUCCCUUUACCGUUCAUUAAAGUGUAUAAGUGUUUCUCUUAUGUUGUGGGGAUUUCGUUCAUACAAUUGGAAAAGUGUUUAUUAUAGGGUAAGGAACAAAUUUUUGACUUCAUAAUCAGUCUAAGACACUUAAUAAGGGUUAUAUAAGUGUUAUUCAAACCGCAAAACGUUGUUUUCGGUUUAAAAACCCUACUUCCUCGAAAAUUUCACGGAAUAUUCCGAGGGAAUUCCGAGGAAACCCUUAUCUUCCUCGGAAUUCCGUCGGUAUUUUUAUUAAAAAAAAAUCGAUGCUAGUCUGUUUCCGAGUCAUCAUCACCAGAUGAAUCUGAAUCUGGGAAUUUCCUCGGAAUAUUCCGAGGGAAUUCCGAGGAAACCCUUAUCUUCCUCGGAAUUCCGUCGGAAUAUUCCGAGGAAAUACCGAGGAAGUGUUUGGGGUUUCAAAACAUCGAUUUUUUUUGCCGUAUUUCAUUUCUUAUACAAUUGUAAUGCAUACCAUUGAGGAUUCUUUGUAUAGAUGAUCAUAAACCAUGAAAUAACAAAAUUUCAAAACGAAUUGUAAGUAUUCCCUUUACCGUUCAUUAAAGUGUAUAAGUGUUUCUCUUAUGUUGUGGGGAUUUCGUUCAUACAAUUGGAAAAGUGUUUAUUAUAGGGUAAGGAACAAAUUUUUGACUUCAUAAUCAGUCUAAGACACUUAAUAAGGGUUAUAUAAGUGUUAUUCAAACCGCAAAACGUUGUUUUCGGUUUAAAAACCCUACGGAAAAGUGUUUAUUAUAGGGUAAUGAACAAAUUUUUGACUUCAUAAUCAGUCUAAGACAUUUAAUAAGGGUUAUAUAAGUGUUAUUCAAACCGCAAAACGUUGUUUUCGGUUUAAAAACCCUACUUCCUCGAAAAUUUCACGGAAUAUUCCGAGGGAAUUCCGAGGAAACCCUUAUCUUCCUCGGAAUUCCGUCGGAAUAUUCACAAAAACAAUCUGAUAGUUCCAUAGUCCACAUCUAUUGAAUUAGGUUUUUAGUUUUAGGGACUUUUUCAAUUUACUAGGUCAUUAAAUUGGUGUAUGUUGUCUAGCCCAUUAAUUUACUUUAAGUUAAUAAAACAACAAAACCAAUGUGGGAUUUAUAUGUUCAAUAAAAAAUAUUUAAAUAAUUUAUUUGGAUUUUUGCUUCAUGAGGAUCUAUAAAAAUGGGAGCACGUAGCAAAUGUUUCAUCAAGCAUGGCCCGAGGCCGACCCUGAAGAUUGGACUAGUUUAUAAGAGAAACUAUUAAUAAAAGAGAGAAAGUUAAAAGAAACAUAAUACAUAGUUAGGCACUUACUGUUCUGUGCCCCAUAAAGUUACUUGAAGUUCGAUCAUCCCACACCAAUAGCAACACUCUAACACCUUCUUGAGAUCUUUCUUUAAGCAAAUCCCCUAAUACACCAUCAGUCGGAUCAUUAUUGCGACGAACCAGCCUAACCGGAUGGUAAACUGACCAUCCUGUGAUAUAAAUCAAGUUCUUUGCCUGUCUAAUCGCAUCAGCCAUAUCCUCCCAGCACUUUCCAUGUAUAUACUGCAUUCCACCAUCGAGAUCCACUCUCGGAAGUGUCCCGUCUUCAACAUGAGCAUCUUGAUACAAAGUAACUCUACCGCCUUUCCUCAAAGGGAAGUACGUACCGGGAACUCCUUCGCACUCAUUACCAACACCCAUUUGGUAAAUUUUCAUCAUUUCCACUGGAGUGUAUUGAAUAGCCAAACUCAACACAGCACCCUUUUUACAUGGCUUCCCACUAGUGUUCAGUAUCGGAAACAACCCUUCGAUCCUAUUCCCUGAACACAACUCCUCGGUUGGGAUUCUAACAUCUCCUAUGGACCUUGAUCCAAAACGGUCACUGUCUUUCAACACAAACUUAACCACCGUAGCAUGGUGAGCCACCGGUACAUAGAAAUGCUGCAUCCACACAGGAUUCUCAUCAUUGUCGAUCACAAAAGUUGUGCCAAUCUUUGCAUCUGCGAUAGAGACAGUCACGUAAGGAUCACUUGUACUGUUCUUCUUGUACCUCCGGAAACGAUCCAUGUUAGGAAGAUUUUUAGCUUCCUUCACCCAAAUUUCUAAGUUACCAUGUAACAACACUACCCUCAAAGAAGCGUUACUUGACCCUUCCAUUGACAUUGGUCUCGGUAUAAACUGAAUGAUGCACCAAAAAUUCGGAGGAAAAAAUAAAUAAGAAAAGGAUCAAAUCUCGAGUCAAACCCACAAAACAAAGAAAAAGUUCACUGAGACCUUUGAGAUACAGAUCCAGAAUAAAUCUAUGAGGACCUUUGAGAUACAGAUCCAGAAUAAAUCUAUGAGGACCUUUGAGAUACAGAUCCAGAAUAAAUCUAUGAGGUAUAAGUAGACGAAUCAAAGCAGUGAGCAGUACGUUGUUGACCUUUCAAACUUUAGCCAAUGAAAGACUUCAACAGUGGUCCAGACUCAGUAAAACAUUACUUAAAUCGUAUGAACGAUACAGUGAAUUCAAAUUAUCAGAAGAAAAAAACGAUCGAGAGGAGGUCAAGAAAAUAAUAACAACAAACGUAACUUGGAAGUUCUAAGCAAGUUUCUCUUAAUAAAAAUAUCAAAACAAAUUAAAAAGUAAGAAGGAAUAGGAAAGAUAUAGCACUGAAGAAGAGGUCUCCCGCACGAGAGAUUCAGUCUCUUCUAUGAGAAACUGUUUUAUAAGAUGUCAUCUGAUAGUUGGCUUUAUAUUAUAUAGGGGUAAACUAUCAUCAGAAUAUUAUUUUAUUAAUUAUAACAGGAAUAGUAUAACGUUUGGAGCUUAAACACUAAUUCUAAGACCAUCUCCAUCCAUUAGAAUCCAUUAGAGAUCCUAAUGAUUAUAUUAAGAAUAUUUGAUGUGAGUUGGCAAGUUUAGGACCUUAGUUAGUGGUUCUAUAGUUUUCCUCCUCCAAUGGAAGGACUCCUAUGGGGUGCUUAAAAUAUAUAUAUUUUUUUUAGUACCAAAUGCACGCGCAUCCGAGUACCAAAUGCACGCGCAUCCGAGGCAGGGACUUGAAUACUUGGUUCACGACUAACAUAGGAGAAGGAGGGAUUUGGUUGUUGACUGUUUAGGAGAUUUUGAAAGCCAUAAGGUUCACUAAAUGGAUCCAUACCGAAAGAGAAGAAAUUAAAAAAGGAGAAAGAGAGCUUCUUCUGAUGAGAGAAGAGAUAUGAAUUCCAAGGAGAUGAAAGAAAUGUGAAUUGAGAAAGGGAUAGUUGGUCGGUUUUUAAAGCAAACUUAAAGAGAGUAUGGGAUUUGUUAUGUGUAAAUGCCCAUCAAUGUAUCUACCUAAUUAUAAAAAAACCAAAACACCUCAUAAGUCAAUUUAAUUCUAACGUAAACAAUGCCAUCAAUGUAUCCACCUAGUUAUAAAUCAACCAGAACACCUCAAAAAUACAUUUAAUUCUAACGUAAACAAUUAUGAAUCAAUGUAUCUACCUAGUUAUAAAUCAACCAAAACACCUCAAAAAUAUCUUUAAUUCUAACGUUCACAAUGCCCAUCAAUGUAUCUAUUCCUAAAGACCAUUUAAUUCCAACCUAAACAAUGUCUAACACUCAUUAAAGGAUUGUCUCUACAUACCUAUGUGUGCCCUCUGUAUCUUGCUGCUCCCUGUAAGACCUUUGUCUUCUUUAUGUGUUUCUCAUUUGCUGUCUCCCAUGCUGCUCCAACUGUUUCAAAUCAAGAUUAAUACAAGAAACUUCAACCUAAGAAAAGGGAAACGAGAGACAAUUAACAAAUAAAGACAAUGAACCGAUUUAAUCAAUCAACUUGGAAAGUUUUUAAGACAAUGAACAUUUAAUCAAACACACAAGAAACUUAGAACAGAUUAAGACAAUGAAGAUUUAAUCAAUCAACUGUUUUGAAUCAAAACCAAAGUCUACUCAAACUUCUAACUCAAGACAAAGAAGGAAAACUUUGAAUCAUCAAAUAAAACAAAGUAAAAAAAUGCGAUCUCUUACACAUUGUCAUCGCUGUAACGGUGGUGGUACUGAUGGCGCCGCCGACGAUCUCCGCCGUGAAGGUCGGAGUAACCUACUCCACUCCCGACUUCAGCUCUGGAUCCGUCGAAUUUUCUCCACAAAGAAUCGUAGCAAAGAUCGAUCGUUUCUAUGGAGAUCGAGGCGGUGAGGCUUCUCGUUCCGAAUCCGGAGAUGAUUGACGCCUUCGCCUCCACGACGGUAUCUCUGUUCCUCUCUGUUCCCAGUCGACUGGUUCCGAUGCUGGCUUCAGAUCGUUCGCAUGCGUUCGAGUGGGUAAAGCUCGCCCAAUCCUUCCCUUCCACAAUCGCCCAAAGAUCUCCAUGAUAUCCGUCGGAGACGACGAACAAACGUGUUGAACAUCAUCAAGGAGAGUUCGACAGAGAGAGGAGGAAGAUAUGUCGUCGAUGACAUCGAAGAAGAAAAAAAAAUGAAACCAACCGGCCACGAGACCUUUCGUCUCAAAGGAGCCAUCCAAUCCACUGCUGCGACGUCAGGGUCCUUUAUCACUCCUUAAAUCACCAAUUCAAGGAGCGCUCCUGCCUAAUAAAACUAUUUUUGUUUUAAUUUUUGGCUUUAAUUACUUUAGUACCUCCUCUAAGAUCUACUGAUGGAGGUGCUCUAAUUGUCCACUUGUAGUAAAAGUUGUAUAUAUUGAACAACACCUCUCGUAGCUUUAAGAUUUCUUAUAUAACUAAUCAUUGGAUAACAUUAAUCUAAUCUUAUACAGGCUCAUCACUAAUACCGAGGAGCUGAGAUAUCUUCUGUUAUUGACGUUGGAGAGAAGAUCCGUAUUGAAAAUAUGUAAAAUACUUGAGCAAUAUAUAAUGGACUUGAACCAAUGUAUUUACUACCAAUUGAUUUUAGGUUAGAAGUCCAUUUAACUUUUAUCAGAGUCCAUGACUUAGCCCAACAUAUGAUUUCCCACAAAAACAGUUUCAUGCCUAUGUAGUGGUCUAUAUUGAUGUGGUAUUCUGAUGAGGCUUAUUAAAUGUCGCACAUCGCUUAGGUAAACAGUCUCAUCACUAAUACCGUAUGAGCUGAGAUAUCUUCUGUUAUUGACGUUGGAGAGAAGAUCCGUAUUGAAAAUAUGUAAAAUACUUGAGUAAUAUAUAAUGGACUUGAACCAGUGUAUUUACUACCAAUUGAUUUUAGGUUAGAAGUUCAUUUAACUUUUAUCAGAGUCCAUGACUUAGCCCAACAUAUGAUUUCCAACAAAAACAGUUUCAUACCUAUGCAGUGGUCUAUAUUGAUGUGGUAUUCUGAUGAGACUUAUUAAAUGUCGCACAUCGCUUAGGCAAACAGUCUUUGGGCAAUAUAUAAGUGUAUGAACAAUCAUCAACUCUUGAACUAGCUUUUGGGGAUGAGUUAGGUUCAUCACUAAUAUGGUAUUAGAGCCAGAUUAUGUAAUGGCCAUAGGAUUAUGGUUCAAACGAAAGACCAGUCGUAUAUGGAAUUGGUUAAAAUUUCACGGAAUAUUCCGAGGGAAUUCCGAGGAAACCCUUAUCUUCCUCGGAAUUCCGUCGGUAUUUUUAUUAAAAAAAAAUCGAUGCUAGUCUGUUUCCGAGUCAUCAUCACCAGAUGAAUCUGAAUCUGGAUCUGGAUCUUGGUGAAACUCUCCAAUCACUGGUCCAUCCUCUACGUGAACGACGGCUUCCUCUCCGAAGUCGGAUAAAUCGACUACAAGGCCAACUCCAGCUAAAUCUUCUGCUGCACUUAAGUUGCCGGAUGUGCUUGGUUGUAGUGGGUCUUCCAGCUCAGAACUUCCCUUAACUCGGCCUCUCGGGUUGAGUCUUGUAACAAUAACCCAUGGAUCAUCUCUGUUCCUUACCCGGGGGUACUUGAUAUAACAAACUUGUAACAUUUAAAAAAUUAUUAGUAAAAUUAUAAAUUAAUACACAUGAUGAUGAAUCAUUCUAAAUAAUUAACAUUUAAUUACCUGAUCGGCCUGAGAAGCAAGAAUGAAAGGAUCAUAAUAUUGCAGCUUUCGCCUCGAAUUUACUGAUGUAACACCAAAUGCAUCUGUUCUUACACCUCGAUCUAGAGCGUUGUCGUGCCAAUCACAAUAGAAAACAAUACAGCGCAAUCCAACCAUGCCCAAUUACUUGAUUUCCAAAAUCUCAUGUAUAUGUCCGUAGUAUACAUCAUCUCCUGAUGCAGAACAAACGCCAGCAUCAUAAGUCGUACUCGAACGUCUCCUCUUCUGAGUUGUGAAUGCAUAUCCUCGAGUACAAAAUCUCAGAUAUGACUUCACAACAAAUUUUGGUCCAACGACCAUCUCGCCUAUCCAAUGGUCAAAUGUUUCACCUCUGGCCAAACUAGCAGACACCUAUAUUAAUAGCACAUAUAUAUGUUAUAUCAAUAAAUGUGAAUUAGUAUAAAUAUGUGAUAAAUGAUAUUUUAAUUUGUUUAAAGCACUCACAUAAGUAAACAUCCAUCCAGAAAAUUCUCUCUGCUUCAUUUCUUCUAGUUCGUCCUCUGUGGCGUAUCUAUAUUCGAACCUCUUUUCUGCCAUGAAAAUCUUGUACAUAUGAUGACAAUAAUGUAAUUAAUUAAGAUUUAAAUUUCAACUUGUUAAAAUAAAAAUUUGUAAGCUAAUUUAUUUACCUCUCAUAUUGAAGAACAUCUUCGCAGUUGGUGAGCAAAUAUGUUUGCAAAUUACUGCGCUCCUGCUCAGUAAGUCGACGGUCUUUUGAUUUUCCGCUAAGUCGUCCAACGUCUGUGAAAAUGUCUGGAACCGUAACAUGAUAUGUUGCCCGUUCGCCUCAAUCAUCAUGCCGAUCAGGUCUUCUGUUUUUGGUCUGAACUUCUGCUGGAAAGUAGUACUCGGCAAAGUUUGAAGUUUCUUCAUUGAUCAUCUGUGCUACUAUAGAACCUUCCACCCUACUUAAAUUUUUCACCAUCUUCUUCAAAUAGAACAUAUACCGCUCAUACAGAUACAUCCAUCUAUACUGCACAGGACCACCAAGUUCCAAUUCUCUUGUCAGGUGAAUAACAAGAUGCUCCAUAACAUCAAAAAAUGAGGUAGGAAAUAUCUUCUCAAGGUUGCACUGAAUCACGGCUAUGUUAGUCUUUAAAUUUUCAAUACCUUCAAGAGUCACUGAUCUCGUGCAUAAAUCGCGGAAGAAACCACUUAUCCCUGCAAUUGCUUCAUGAACAUUUCGUGGUAAUAGUUCCUUGAAGGCAAACGGAAGGAGGCGCUGCAUCAUUACAUGGCAAUCGUGGCUUUUCAAGCCAGUAAACUUUCUUUCCUUUCUGUCGAUACAGUUACGCAAAUUAGAUGCGUAACUGUCUGGAAAUUCCACAUCGUUUGAAAUCCAAUCAAAGAACGCAUCUUUUCCCUCUGCAUCAAGUCGGUAUAUGGGAAAAGGAGCCCUACCAUUCUCAUCAACAUGAAGUUCUGAACGAGCACAUAUAUCGACUAAAUCCAGUCUUGACUUCAAAUUAUUCUUUGUUUUACCUUGAACAUUAAGGAUCGUGUUCAUGAGAUUGUCAAAAAAGUUCUUCUCAAUAUGCAUGACAUCUAAAUUAUGCCUUAGCAGAUGAUCCUCCCAGUAUGGCAGAUCCCAGAAAAUACUUUUUUGUGCCAGUUAUGUAGGUCUCCAACAGCAUCUACCGGAAAACGCUCAUGUCCACCGACGUCUGGCGUCCUUUCUGCACCAAAAUCUCUUAGUUGUGUCUUCAAAUCUUUCCCACAAAUUUCCGGAGGUGGACUGUCAAACACCCUCUUGUUCUUCGUAAACAAAUUCCUACUCCUACGAUAUGGAUGAUCAGGUGGUAGGAAUCUCCUGUGACAGUCAAACCAACACGUUUUCCUUCCGUGUUUUAGUUGGAAAGCAUCAGUGUUAUCUUGACAAUAUGGACAUGAUAGCCUUCCAUGCGUUGUCCAUCCAGAUAACAUACCAUAUGCUGGAAAAUCACUUAUUGUCCACAUUAGUACUGCCCGCAUUUGAAAGUUUUCUUUACACGAAACAUCGUAUGUUUCAGCACAUUGAGCCCAUAGUUGUUGUAACUCAUAUAUUAGUGGCUGAAGAAACACAUCAAGUGAUCUCUUAGGAUGCUCUGGUCCGGGAACGAGAAUCGAGAGAAACAAAAACUCUCGUCGCAAGCACAAGUUUGGGGGGUAGGUUGUAUGGUGUAAGAAUGACUGGCCAUAGAGAAUACUGUCUUCCACUCUUGCCAAACGGGCUGAAACCAUCAGUACAUAAUCUAAGGUGGACAUUUCUUCUCUCAUACGCAAAGUCGGGAUACUUUGAUUGGAAAUGCUUCCACGCUUUUGCAACUGAAGGAUGUCUGAUCUCACCAUCUGUUGAGUGCUCCGCAUGCCAUCUCAUUGGUUGCGCUGUGCGUUCAGACAGAUACAACCUCUGCAACCUUUCCGUCAAAGGCAAAUACCACAUCUAUUUAUAUGGCACUGGAACUCUUCCACUCGUAUCUUUAUAACGAGGCUUUCCACAAAAUUUGCAUGUAACCCGCUGUUCAUCCGCCCUCCAAUAAAUCAUGCAGUUGUCUCUGCAUACAUCUAUUACAUGAUACGAUAAACCAAGACCAGCUACGAGUUUCUGAACCUCGUAGUAUGAACCAGGAGCUACAUUAUCCUCAGGUAGAAUACCUUUUACAAAAUCAGCAAUCGCAUCCACACAGUCUUCAGCCAAAUUAUAAUCUGUUUUAAUGCCCAUCAAUCUUGUAGCAGAUGAUAAAGCUGAAUGACCAUCUCUGCAACCUUCGUACAAUGGUUGCUUUCCAGCAUCCAACAUAUCAUAAAAUCUCCUAGCUUGUGCAUUAGGUAAAUCUUCCCCUCUAAAAUGAUCAUUUACCAUCUGCUCAGUACCUACACCAUAAUCUACAUCCGUUCUAAUUGGUUCUUCUAAUCUAACCGCUGGCUGAGGUUCGCUAGUACUACCAUGUUCAUAAUCAGUUUCCCCAUGAUGAUACCAAAUUUUGUAACUUCGUGUAAACCCACUCAAAUAUAGAUGAGUCCAAACAUCUCACUCUUUAAUAACCUUUCUAUUUUUACAAUUAGAGCAAGGACAUCUUAACAUACCUAUUUUUGCUUCCGGUUGUCGGUGAACUAACCCCAUGAAUUCGGUUAUACCUCAUUGGUAUUCUUCCGUAAGCAAUCUCGUGUUCGGAUCCAAAUGAGGUCGAUCGAUCCAAGAACGAAAAUAAUUUGAAGAAGACAUGUUUUUUAUGAAUCAAAUUCGUGUGUAAAGAGAGUAAGCGGGAGGAUGAAGAUAUGGAGUGAAUGAAGAGGAAGAGGGGUGCUUGUAUUUAUAGUUGAAAUCCUGCCGACAGACCGAGGAAAUUCCGACGGAAACGGCUAGUUCGUCGGAAUUUCCUCGGAAUUUUUAAAAUCCCCCAACGGCUCUCUAACGGCUAUAAUAUAUCCUCGGAAUUCAUCGGUUUUUUUCGAGGAAUACAUUUUUCCUCGGUAUUCCAUAAGAAUAUUCCGACGGAUUAAUAUUUCCUCGGAAUUCCGUCGGUAUAUUCCGAGGAAAUUCCGAGGAAACCAAAUUUUGUGUUUCCUCGAAAUAUCCUCGGAAAUUCCUCGGGAUAUUCCGAGGAUUUCAUUUUCCGUCGGAAUGUCCGUCAGAAUACCGCUGUUUUCUUGUAGUGAUAGUUUCAUGCCUAUGUAGUGGUCUAUAUUGAUGUGGUAUUCUGUGUAGUGGUCUAUAUUGAUGUGGUAUUCUGAUGAGGCUUAUUAAAUGUCGCACAUCAAUUUUUAUGAAUUUUAAAACUUGAUGAAUGUUUUUUUUUCUAUUUAAGUUUCUAUGAAUUUAAAUUCUAUAAUAUUAUUAGUUUCAAAUUUCAGAUUUUGUGUAUAUAUUAAUUUUUAAUAUAAAAAAUAUUUAUAAAUGCAAAAUUUAUUCAUAUUUAAAAAUGGUAUAUUCUGACGAAUCUGAGUCGUCAGAAUAUACCGACAAACUGGUUCGUCGAAAUCUACUGACGAAUCAUAGUCGUCGGAAUAUACCGACGGGUAAAAGUCGUCAUAAUAUACUGACGAAUUUGUGUCAUCGGAAUAUUCUGACGAACUUGCUUGUCGCUAUAUUCCGACGACUCUGAUUCGUCAGUAUAUUCUGAUGACCUAAUUCGUCGGAAUGUAUUGUUUCCGAUGAAUUAUAUUCUUGAAAUAUGUUAUCGGAGUGUCGUCGAAAGUUCGUCAGAAUGUGGUUUAUCGGUAUUCGUCAGAAAGUCGUCGGAAACUCUGACGAAAUUCCGACGAAUUUUUUUUCUUCCGACGAAAUGAUACCGACGACCACUUUCAUCAGAAAUUCGUCAAAUUGUCUCUAUUCCAACGAACUUCUGACGAUUUUGUCUGUCAGUAUCCGCCUAUUUUCUUGUAGUGGGCAACCAUGCUUAAUAUACGAGCCACACAAAUGCGCACAUGUGGAGUACUGUUGUAUAGUAGAGUAUAGUAUAGUUUGUCACAAGUUUUCCUACCCUUGGGUAAAUGUAUAUCUGUUUCUUGCAGAGGAGAAUCCAGAAAUUUCGAACACUUUAAGUUCACUAGCUGUAUCAUGUUUUUCUUUUGCAAUCAGUGUAGAAUUUGUGUCAAACUGUACGAUACUAUAUUAUACACCAUAUAGUAUUUUCUGAGAUGUCAAUCAUGCUUAAUAAUCGAGAGCGGCGUACUUGGUUGGAAUGGGAUUCAUUGAACCCACUAAACUCGGGUACGAAUCGUCCCCGUGACCCAUUAACUAUAUUUUGACUCCUCAAAAAAAAAUUCUUGGGUUCGCCACUGGCUGCAACUUGUCUGAACGCAUGUAUUGAGGAUCUGACUUCUUUACCUAAACUAUACCAUAUAUCGUAUAUUAUAGUUUUGUUUUGGUCCUACUUAUAUAAUUGGAACCUUAUUCAACCUCACAUAAGAACGUGGAAACAAAGCGAACUUGGAGGUCUAUGGUUUUUACCAAAAUGUGGGCAUACUAAAUUGAAUAUAGAAUAGUCUCGUUUCUAUUAUACAUAAUAGAACAUGUUCGUUUAAAAGCAAUUGAGCACAUAUGUUUGUAACUUUACUCCUCUUCUCCUUCACGCACACGCGUUUACAAGGUUAUUCCUGGUAAUAUUGGAUGUAACUAGUUCCAUCAAAAACUUUCCCCUCUAAAAUGACUAUAAGCUUAAUAUUAGGGUCCAAUAUGAAUAUUCACCCAAUUCUCCCUAUUUGUUAAGCAAACAUGCUUUAGAUUUGAAAAAUGAAUCUACAGCAAAAAUAAAAUAAAAUAAAAAGGAAAUAUGUUAGUUUUGGAAAUCAAUUUUUCUAUAGCUUUUGUUGAUUUUAUACAGACUAACAUAUUUUCUCUCAUGCUUUCACUAUUGAUCGAUUUGAUUCAAUUUUUCUAUAGCUUUUGUUAAUGCUUUCAAUUGUCUUUGAAAAUAAAUCUACAACAUAGAAAAUAAAACCAAAAAACUUACAGCCUAAUUUUUAAAGUGAAAAACAUACUGCAGCACUUCCCAUUGGGUAAUUUUUGUACUUACUGUUAGUUCAUGUUGCGUAUUAACAUAAUUUCUCUGGUAUUGUCAGCAAGCACUGAAGCAAACUGAUUGAGUUAUCUGAAAAAACGUUUAAGUUUUUCAUUUCAUCAUAAACCGACUAGUCACAUUACUACGCUGGUCUAAGAUGCUCUGAGUUAUUUCUUUUGGCUAGUCUACAUGGAGCAACAAUUUUGAAAAGAUUCUUAGUUUUGAGUCAUUGAGUCAAUAAUAUUGUAUACUGUAAUUAAAAGCAUAAUCUUGACAGCUUUGGUUCAUCCUAUUCGAUCAUGACAUAUUUGAUCUUACCUUUAUACCCUUAAUCAUUUACUUAGCUAUUUACUUUAUAGAAGAUGCAGGUUAGAUAUGUCAAUACAGGUUUUGAAAUCUCAAAAACAUGAAUUAUCCUCUCGUUUAGGCUAAUGUUGUGAAGAAAGCACAAAACAUUGGUCUUUAAUUUUUUUUUAAUUGUUACAGUAUGCAGGAGCAGGACUAUAACAUUGUUAUAUAAUGUAGAACUUUUUUGGUUCAUAAGUAUUGCAGGUUUAAGGAAUGCAUGUCUUAGAAGAUGCAUGAUUUGUGUUAACCCGCAUGUCAACCAGAAAACCUGCUAGACCGUAACUUUUGCGGGUCUGGACAUAGGUUAUGGACAGGCCACUUGGACGCGGGCUCUUACAUCUAUACUUUGAUCAUAAUUAGAGUAUAUAAGUUAAAGGGUAGUUUAAUUUUCAUGUACCAAAAACUUGAAAAACCUUCAUCUCUUAACCAUUUUCACAAUUAAAACUUAAACUUACAUAUUCUUACAAUUACAAACUUAAAAGUACACAAAUCAAAAAUUGACUCUAGAUUACAUGACAAUUUUACCUGACGUAGACCUUAUUUAAUUUAAAAGGAGUCACAAUCCUACAAGAGAAAUCAACAAACCAGACGGGAAAAAAAAACAAAAGCAUACAAGCAAAAGCCAGGAACAACAUAAAAUGCGAUGCACAUAUAUUCAGAUUCCUCUGGGUUAGAGAGGUUUUACCCUUGAAUCUGUUCUUAUUAUCGCCACGAAAUAGCAAGAAAUGUUUCACAUUGGCAUUGAUAAGGUAAGUUUCAGAUGGUGAGGUUUUCUUUGAUCACAAAACCUGAGUCUAUAAUCCUGCCACCUAGAUCUGGGAAUGUCUCGCAUCCAGGAAGAGAAGUCACUUUGCCUGUCCAAUCGACAUGAACUGGAUACUUAAGAAGAUGACUUGUCAUCUCUGUGACUUCCUCUGCUGCAUACUGUCUCCAGUUAAGCUCACUCAAUCUCCUAACUCGUCUCACGCAUUCUAUGUUCUCUGGCUUUUCGAAAAUUUCCUCUAGAAACCCUAGAUGUUCUGCCCACAACGACAUUCUGUAUCCAAAGAUCUGCAAGAAAUGGGAGGUUAUGACUUGGAAAGCAAGAUUUGUAUUUUGCGGACUGUGGUGGCUACUAAGCCCGUGAAGCCGAAGGAAGAAUUCUGUAACAAUAUAUUGGUGGGUUUCUGGUUUUUAGUUAUUUGAGUGCAAACUCAGAUUGAAAAUUUGAUUACCUGACCACGAGGACGAGAACCUUUCUUAGCCCAUGAAUGGUGUGGUUGAUAUCCUCCCAUGGCAAUUUCGGUAUCUCUAGAUCCUUCCAAGGAUCUCUGGUUGAUGUUCGCAGAACCAAUUAAGACAAACUCAUCGUCCACUAUCAUACCUUUGGAAUGAACAUAUAUCAUGAAUCUUCCACUCUUCAAUGGUUGCGCCUGGAUUAUUUCGUUGUUUUAGUGAGAAAACAAUGUAAUUAAUUAAAAUAAAGAUUUCAACAUGAGUCUAUCAACAAUUUUUGUACCUGUGCGGCAUUCGGCUUUGCAUUUUUCUUAGGUUGAUUCCGAGAACUAUGUUUGCUAACUGUUUCAUCAGAAGCCUCUCGGGUUCCAAGACAGAAGAAGUUCAAAUAGUCUUGUGGCUCAUACUGACCAUCAAGUUCAGCUUCCACAAGUGCCUUGUAUAUAGUUUGAUACAUCAUUUGCAUGGUUUUAUACUACAGGGAUGAUGAAAAGAUUUCAGUAUAAAGGAUGCCAGAUUGUUGUUCAAGUCAGUUUAUAUCUAACAAACUAUGGAAAAAGUAUUUACCUGCCAGUAUAGAAUGCUCUGCAUAAACAUAUUUGUUGGAUCACCUUCUGGCCACAUUGGAAUGACAAUAUAAGCAGCAAACUUCUCCCUAGCUCUAAUCUUACUAGCAAUCUUAAGUGCGAUUUCCAUAGGGAUUAGAUUAUUAGCACCUGCAUUUCAAGAAACUCCUUGUUAUAUUAUAUUUAAUUUCCUUCACAAGCUUACAGUUUUCUUACCAACGUCGUUAUGUGAAUGCCAGUUGAAUGAUGAUCCCAAAAAAUAUUGGUUCUCGAUGUAGAUGAAAUGCUGAGCAGAUCUUAUGGCCUUAACAUAAGCCGUGUGUAUGCUCAUGUCUACGAGUAUAUUCUUUCCACAUUGAAGAUUCUGUGCACAUAUUUAUAAUUAGUAUAUUUAGAGUAGCAACAUUGUUGGUUAUAGAAGAUAUGACAAGGUUAAAAUAUAUUCAGAGUUGUGCUUAAUUACUUCUCCACUAUCUUCCUUUGAGUUCUUUGGAAACUCUUUGACGGAGGUUGAAUCAAGGGAACGAAAAACCUAAAGAUAAUUAGUUCAUGGAAAAGAAAUGAGAUUGAUCAUUUUGUCACCACCACAUAUGACUAUAGUCCCAUCAUAUUUCUGAAUUACCUGGACAUGCCAAGACUCUGGAUCAUUAUCACUAACAGAAGAGGCUUCUGAUAGUCCCAUGAUAUUUGGAAUUCUGUCAAUCUCAAGCAAAGCAUCCACAGAAGACGAUCUGUGUAUCGAAAUCCUGUGCCUUUUCUCUGAAGCCUUUAGCCAACGUUGUCCAAAAUUAGCAAGCACGUCAUACGCUGCGGGACCAUCAAUCUUGCUGUGCAGAUCAUGCCACGGUUGUCUUGGUCCAUCAUCCACAGAAGUCUAAUCCGUCAAUGAAUAUGAAUUAAAUAUUAUGUACACGAAUCAAGAACAAUAAUAUUUAAACUCCAAAAACGGAAACCAAACAUGAUAUAUUCUUUGAAUGGUUACCGCAAAGUUUGGGUUAUGGAAGUCAUCUUUAUGGAGCGUCUUCAAUGUCCUAAAGAGAGGAUGGUUAGGAGUAUCAAAACGUCCUUUGCACAUGUCUAGCCCUCCAACAAACGCUAUGAUCUUUCUUCGGCCCUGAGCUGCCUCAGCAUCUACAAUCAAAGUUUUUUGAUGAUGUGUGUAGAUAGUUCCAACUUCCUGAUCAUCACAAUGACGUUCAGAUGAUUAAACUAUACAUACAAGAGUUUAAGCAGUGACGUAGUAAUUAUUAAGCAUCUUACAGUUUUUUUAACGAAGCUGUGGUGACCUUUCCCACCAGAUCUAGGACAAAUAAUAACUUGCACGGACGAAUUCUUGAAAAAAUGGCGAAUCUCCUCAUCGCUUGUCUUCAUCAAUCCGCACUGCAUACCACAAACAUCAGUUUCGUUAAAACAGCACAAGUUUUGUGUAACAGACAUAAGUGAGACUGGCAGGGUUGGCCCUGUAAUGUAAUUUUGGAGGUUCGAAACAAAAUUAAAAAUAAGGGACAAUAUAAUACACAAGAAAUAACAAAAACAAAGUCAUAGAAAUACUUUUAAACAAAAAGUGCUAAACAGUUGAUAAAAUACAAGUUUUCUCACAAAAACAAUCUGAUAGUUCCAUAGUCCACAUCUAUUGAAUUAGGUUUUUAGUUUUAGGGACUUUUUCAAUUUACUAGGUCAUUAAAUUGGUGUAUGUUGUCUAGCCCAUUAAUUUACUUUAAGUUAAUAAAACAACAAAACCAAUGUGGGAUUUAUAUGUUCAAUAAAAAAUAUUUAAAUAAUUUAUUUGGAUUUUUGCUUCAUGAGGAUCUAUAAAAAUGGGAGCACGUAGCAAAUGUUUCAUCAAGCAUGGCCCGAGGCCGACCCUGAAGAUUGGACUAGUUUAUAAGAGAAACUAUUAAUAAAAGAGAGAAAGUUAAAAGAAACAUAAUACAUAGUUAGGCACUUACUGUUCUGUGCCCCAUAAAGUUACUUGAAGUUCGAUCAUCCCACACCAAUAGCAACACUCUAACACCUUCUUGAGAUCUUUCUUUAAGCAAAUCCCCUAAUACACCAUCAGUCGGAUCAUUAUUGCGACGAACCAGCCUAACCGGAUGGUAAACUGACCAUCCUGUGAUAUAAAUCAAGUUCUUUGCCUGUCUAAUCGCAUCAGUCAUAUCCUCCCAGCACUUUCCAUGUAUAUACUGCAUUCCACCAUCGAGAUCCACUCUCGGAAGUGUCCCGUCUUCAACAUGAGCAUCUUGAUACAAAGUAACUCUACCGCCUUUCCUCAAAGGGAAGUACGUACCGGGAACUCCUUCGCACUCAUUACUAACACCCAUUUGGUAAAUUUUCAUCAUUUCCACUGGAGUGUAUUGAAUAGCCAAACUCAACACAGCACCCUUUUUACAUGGCUUCCCACUAGUGUUCAGUAUCGGAAACAACCCUUCGAUCCUAUUCCCUGAACACAACUCCUCGGUUGGGAUUCUAACAUCUCCUAUGGACCUUGAUCCAAAACGGUCACUGUCUUUCAACACAAACUUAACCACCGUAGCAUGGUGAGCCACCGGUACAUAGAAAUGCUGCAUCCACACAGGAUUCUCAUCAUUGUCGAUCACAAAAGUUGUGCCAAUCUUUGCAUCUGCGAUAGAGACAGUCACGUAAGGAUCACUUGUACUGUUCUUCUUGUACCUCCGGAAACGAUCCAUGUUAGGAAGAUUUUUAGCUUCCUUCACCCAAAUUUCUAAGUUACCAUGUAACAACACUACCCUCAAAGAAGCGUUACUUGACCCUUCCAUUGACAUUGGUCUCGGUAUAAACUGAAUGAUGCACCAAAAAUUCGGAGGAAAAAAUAAAUAAGAAAAGGAUCAAAUCUCGAGUCAAACCCACAAAACAAAGAAAAAGUUCACUGAGACCUUUGAGAUACAGAUCCAGAAUAAAUCUAUGAGGACCUUUGAGAUACAGAUCCAGAAUAAAUCUAUGAGGUAUAAGUAGACGAAUCAAAGCAGUGAGCAGUACGUUGUUGACCUUUCAAACUUUAGCCAAUGAAAGACUUCAACAGUGGUCCAGACUCAGCAAAACAUUACUUAAAUCGUAUGAACGAUACAGUGAAUUCAAAUUAUCAGAAGAAAAAAACGAUCGAGAGGAGGUCAAGAAAAUAAUAACAACAAACGUAACUUGGAAGUUCUAAGCAAGUUUCUCUUAAUAAAAAUAUCAAAACAAAUUAAAAAGUAAGAAGGAAUAGGAAAGAUAUAGCACUGAAGAAGAGGUCUCCCGCACGAGAGAUUCAGUCUCUUCUAUGAGAAACUGUUUUAUAAGAUGUCAUCUGAUAGUUGGCUUUAUAUUAUAUAGGGGUAAACUAUCAUCAGAAUAUUAUUUUAUUAAUUAUAACAGGAAUAGUAUAACGUUUGGAGCUUAAACACUAAUUCUAAGACCAUCUCCAUCCAUUAGAAUCCAUUAGAGAUCCUAAUGAUUAUAUUAAGAAUAUUUGAUGUGAGUUGGCAAGUUUAGGACCUUAGUUAGUGGUUCUAUAGUUUUCCUCCUCCAAUGGAAGGACUCCUAUGGGGUGCUUAAAAUAUAUAUAUUUUUUUAGUACCAAAUGCACGCUCAUCCGAGUACCAAAUGCACGCGCAUCCGAGGCAGGGACUUGAAUACUUGGUUCACGACUAACAUAGGAAAAGGAGGGAUUUGGUUGUUGACUGUUUAGGAGAUUUUGAAAGCCAUAAGGUUCACUAAAUGGAUCCAUACCGAAAGAGAAGAAAUUAAAAAAGGAGAAAGAGAGCUUCUUCUGAUGAGAGAAGAGAUAUGAAUUCCAAGGAGAUGAAAGAAAUGUGAAUUGAGAAAGGGAUAGUUGGUCGGUUUUUAAAGCAAACUUAAAGAGAGUAUGGGAUUUGUUAUGUGUAAAUGCCCAUCAAUGUAUCUACCUAAUUAUAAAACAACCAAAACACCUCAUAAGUCAAUUUAAUUCUAACGUAAACAAUGCCAUCAAUGUAUCCACCUAGUUAUAAAUCAACCAGAACACCUCAAAAAUACAUUUAAUUCUAACGUAAACAAUUAUGAAUCAAUGUAUCUACCUAGUUAUAAAUCAACCAAAACACCUCAAAAAUAUCUUUAAUUCUAACGUUCACAAUGCCCAUCAAUGUAUCUAUUCCUAAAGACCAUUUAAUUCCAACCUAAACAAUGUCUAACACUCAUUAAAGGAUUGUCUCUACAUACCUAUGUGUGCCCUCUGUAUCUUGCUGCUCCCUGUAAGACCUUUGUCUUCUUUAUGUGUUUCUCAUUUGCUGUCUCCCAUGCUGCUCCAACUGUUUCAAAUCAAGAUUAAUACAAGAAACUUCAACCUAAGAAAAGGGAAACGAGAGACAAUUAACAAAUAAAGACAAUGAACCGAUUUAAUCAAUCAACUUGGAAAGUUUUUAAGACAAUGAACAUUUAAUCAAACACACAAGAAACUUAGAACAGAUUAAGACAAUGAAGAUUUAAUCAAUCAACUGUUUUGAAUCAAAACCAAAGUCUACUCAAACUUCUAACUCAAGACAAAGAAGGAAAACUUUGAAUCAUCAAAUAAAACAAAGUAAAAAAAUGCGAUCUCUUACACAUUGUCAUCGCUGUAACGGUGGUGGUACUGAUGGCGCCGCCGACGAUCUCCGCCGUGAAGGUCGGAGUAACCUACUCCACUCCCGACUUCAGCUCUGGAUCCGUCGAAUUUUCUCCACAAAGAAUCGUAGCAAAGAUCGAUCGUUUCUAUGGAGAUCGAGGCGGUGAGGCUUCUCGUUCCGAAUCCGGAGAUGAUUGACGCCUUCGCCUCCACGACGGUAUCUCUGUUCCUCUCUGUUCCCAGUCGACUGGUUCCGAUGCUGGCUUCAGAUCGUUCGCAUGCGUUCGAGUGGGUAAAGCUCGCCCAAUCCUUCCCUUCCACAAUCGCCCAAAGAUCUCCAUGAUAUCCGUCGGAGACGACGAACAAACGUGUUGAACAUCAUCAAGGAGAGUUCGACAGAGAGAGGAGGAAGAUAUGUCGUCGAUGACAUCGAAGAAGAAAAAAAAAUGAAACCAACCGGCCACGAGACCUUUCGUCUCAAAGGAGCCAUCCAAUCCACUGCUGCCACGUCAGGGUCCUUUAUCACUCCUUAAAUCACCAAUUCAAGGAGCGCUCCUGCCUAAUAAAACUAUUUUUGUUUUAAUUUUUGGCUUUAAUUACUUUAGUACCUCCUCUAAGAUCUACUGAUGGAGGUGCUCUAAUUGUCCACUUGUAGUAAAAGUUGUAUAUAUUGAACAACACCUCUCGUAGCUUUAAGAUUUCUUAUAUAACUAAUCAUUGGAUAACAUUAAUCUAAUCUUAUACAGGCUCAUCACUAAUACCGAGGAGCUGAGAUAUCUUCUGUUAUUGACGUUGGAGAGAAGAUCCGUAUUGAAAAUAUGUAAAAUACUUGAGCAAUAUAUAAUGGACUUGAACCAAUGUAUUUACUACCAAUUGAUUUUAGGUUAGAAGUCCAUUUAACUUUUAUCAGAGUCCAUGACUUAGCCCAACAUAUGAUUUCCAACAAAAACAGUUUCAUGCCUAUGUAGUGGUCUAUAUUGAUGUGGUAUUCUGAUGAGGCUUAUUAAAUGUCGCACAUCGCUUAGGCAAACAGUCUUUGGGCAAUAUAUAAGUGUAUGAACAAUCAUCAACUCUUGAACUAGCUUUUGGGGAUGAGUUAGGUUCAUCACUAAUAUGGUAUUAGAGCCAGAUUAUGUAAUGGCCAUAGGAUUAUGGUUCAAACGAAAGACCAGUCGUAUAUGGAAUUGGUUACAGUUACAUAAAUGAGUAUAUAUCACUCUUAUUAAAAAUGAAAUAUUUUCUUAGACCCAACCUUUUUUGUAGCAUUUUAAAUUAAAUAUACUCUCUCAUUAUAAAGUAAUUAUGGAAAUAAUAUUACACUAUUAUCUAUGUUUCCAAACAACAUAAUAAUUAAUCUUGUGUCCAAACAAUAUAAAACAUUUUAACUCACUAAAGCAUUCAAAUAAUUAAUGAAAAAUCAAAAUAAAUAUAACUUUUUUUGCAGGUUUAAAUAAUAUAAAAUAAUUUCAAUCAAUAUCAAACAAAUUAAAUUGAUUGAUUAUUGUAUUUAUAUUUUCAUAAAUAAAACUUACCAUGAUUUAAAUUUAAAUAAACUUGCAUAUUAAAUUAAAUAUUGUACAUAAAUAAAUUGCAAUAAAUUGACAUCAAAUAAAUUUUAUAGAUAAAAAUUUAUCAAAAUAUAUCAUAGAAUUAAUAAAAUAAGUUACGGAGAUUUAUUAAAAUUCAAAACGAAAACUUAAAUAACAAAAAAUGAAUUCAAUAAUGUUAUAUGAUUUUAUAUCUAAUAACCUCAAAAUUCAAAUACACUAAAAUAAAAAUGUUAAAACAUUUGUUAAAAAAUAUUCUAGCGCUUUAAAAGUCUAUAAAAAUAGCUUAUAUAAUUGUAACAACAUAUAAUCUGCUCGGAUCCGACAUAAACAAAAACAAAAAUUACACAAACGUUUAUUUGUUGUUCCUGGUGAAAAGCUGUAAGAUGAUGAGCUUCAAUUUAGAAAUGGAUAAUUAACAAAAUCCAUUGGGGCAAAUCUCUACUUAUAUCCAUAUCUUUUUUUGUUGGCUCAAUUCUUUUCAAACAAAUCUGAAUGAUUUCAUUAAAAAUAUAUAUACAAAAAUAAAGCUAUAUAAUAUUAUAUAGCAAAUUGAAUAAAAUUUACAUACAUUUUUAUCAAUUAAAAAUAUUAACUUUAUGUUAUAAUGGAAAUAUAUAGAGCAUAAGAGAAUUUAUUUAAAUUGUAGUUAAUAUGAUAUACUUAUACACAAAAAUAAAUAUUAUACAACUACUGUCUUCACACUAAACAACAUUCAAUUAAUUUAUAAGUUUUCUCAUCUAAAAUAAAAUCUGCGUUGUCGCACGGAUCUUGAUAUAGUUUUUCAAAUAAAAACAAAAAUGUGAAUUUAAACUUGCGUUGUUCACCAAAACAUGAAAAAUAAAAUUAUUUAAUUUUGACAAAAAAUGUGUAUUAUUUUAGUGAAAAUAUGAUUUGAUGGUUUUGACUGAAAAUUUAAUUGUGAUAAAAUAUAAUUAUGUUAUUUUAUAAUAUAAUAAGAUUUUGUGGUUUUAUCUGGAAUAUAUAUAUUUUUACGAUUUUGGCACAAAAUAUAAUUUUAUCUUGACGAGAAAAUGUGAUUUUGGGAUUGUGAAAUAAAUUUUAUAGAUUUGAAAAAAAAUGUAAUUUUAAGAUUUGUGUGAUAUGAAGUCUAAUAUGAUUAACAUAUAUAUGACAAUUAAUGAUUACGGAUAAUAUAUAUUUGAUAACAAUUUUUGUAUCAUCUCUCUUUUUUGUUUAAUUUUAUAUUAUUAAAAGAAAUUAAAAAAUCACAUUAAAAAUAUAAUAAAAAAUUAGAUUUUUUCUUAUAUGUUAUAUUUAAAAAAAUUUAAAAUAACUAUAAAUUACUAAAAAUGGUAAAAGUCCCACAUUAAAAAUUUUGUGAACAAUGGUUUAAUUUUUAUUGUUCACGCAAGAUAUAAAUGAUCAUAAAUCAUAUGAAUAUGAAGUCUUAUUAAUUAGAUAUUCAUAUUAUAUAUGUAUAUAUAUACUAACAUCAUUUAAACAAAAUUAUAUACGAUAUAAAAUAUAUAAAUAUGUUAACUUCAAAAUUUGCAUUGAAAAAUUAUUGAGAUUUUAAUAUUUUAAUUUUAAAAUGUGUAUUGAUAAGUCUCACAUUAAAAGUUUUCUGAUUACCGAUUUUAAAUUUUGUUACACCAAAUAUACAAACGUUAAUAAAAUCAUAUGAGUAGGAAGUGUUAUAAGUAAAUUUUUAUAGUAAAAUAUACGAUAUAUAUAUCUAUUUUAAUAUCAUUGAAGUUUAACUAUAUACUAUAUAAAGUAAAUAAAAUGAUUGUUUUGAUUUACUUACGAAAAACAUGAUUGUAAAUAAACCAAAGGUAUUGGUUUUGAUUUAUGUGUUUACUUUAAUAUAUAUAGUUUAUGUAUACAAAUUAUUAUUUUUUAAAUGUGGUUUCUAAUAUAUUAUUUAAUCUUGACAAUCCUAGAAAUACACUUUUUCAAAUCAAAGUGAUUUUUAAUAUUGGAAACACUAUAUAUAUAUAUAUAUAUAUAUAUAUAUAUAUUCUUUAUAUACAAAAUCACAAGUCACUUAGUCAAUCAAAUUANNNNNNNNNNNNNNNNNNNNNNNNNNNNNNNNNNNNNNNNNNNNNNNNNNNNNNNNNNNNNNNNNNNNNNNNNNNNNNNNNNNNNNNNNNNNNNNNNNNNUAUUUUUUAUUUAUUUAAGGAUCCAAAUCCGGAUCCAGAUAUCCGCCGGAUAUUACAAUUUUUAGAAAGAUAUCUGACACUCGGAAAUCCGAGAACCCUGGAUCCGGAUAAUGAUAGUAAAAUUAUAGAACCGCCGGAUAAAGAUCUGAAUCCGGAUACCUUAAAAUUGUCCGGAUAUCCAAUCUGUCCCAAGUCUAUUAUACGUGACCAUAUAUUUAAUUUUUUUGAGAUAUUUGCAGCAGUUGUCCAAAAAAGAGAGAGAAAUUUGCAGUUAUGUCAUUUUGACUAUUUUUUCCAUCUAACCUUGGAAUGAUCAAUAUAUGAUUGAUAUGUUUCUCAACUGGAUUUGAUUUAUGAUUGCAAAAUAUGAUAAAUAAGAUUGUUAGUAAUUAAAUGAGAUAUAUAUUUCCACAAAAUGAGAUAUAUGUUAGUAUAAUUUAUUUGAAUUUUUUUCAUUGAUGAUCAGGUUCUAAGAAUUUAAAGUUCUAAAUAUAAAACUUAAGCAUUUAGUAUAGUCUGGUAAAUUUAUAUAGUUAGAAUAAAGUCAAUUAAUUAAGUAUUAACAAAACAUUUAUAAUUUGCUUUUUUUUCUAAAAUUGUUUUUUUCUCAAACAAAACCAAAACAAUUAACAAAAGCAAUUUCUAACAUUUAAUUUGUUAUAAGGGCAAUUUCUAAAAGUGUUUCAAAAAAAAAAAAGGAACAUGAUAUGAUUAUUUUUACCGGUUGGAUCGGUGUGUGUUGGUGGUCACAGUCUCACAGAUAGACGUGGGCAUAUUAACCGAAAUCCGAAUUUGAAUCUGAACUGAUCCGAAAAACCCGAACCGAAAACUGAACCAAAAUUAAAAAAAACCCGAACGGGUUAAGGAUUCAACCAGUCUGGAUAUCCGUACCCGAUUGAUUAUAUCCGAUACCCAAAACAAUUACCCGAAGUACCUGAAUAUAUAUAUUAAUAACUCUAAACUUAUGAAUAGAUGGAUUUUUUUUACUAUUUUCUAUUCAAGAUAAUACAAAUAGAAAUUACACGAAGAAAAAAAGUACAGACUCGUGUUCCUCAACGUAAUAAAAAAUCGGAAAAAUCAUAAAUCUUAUAUUAGGUUGUUCAAUCUUCUAACUUCAACAAUAUUGUUUCUGGUCUCACAAAGUCAAAUCAAGGAUACAUAGAUUUUUUUUAUUAUUUGUUACACAGUUCGGUUAUACCCAAAAUAACUUGAACCUUAAAAAUCCGAACCUGAUCCGAAGUAUAAAAUAAUCCGACAUGUUCAGUACCUCUCCAUCCGAAAACUCAAAAACCCGAAACAACCGAUCCGAACCCGAUCAUGAUCCGAAUGUCCAUGCCUACUCACAGAUAUAAGAUUCCAUUAUGAUAGUAAAAUUUGCCUUUACCAUGGUCUUUGUCUACCCGGUAAUAACCGGUGAUACAUCUUCUCAGCACAUAUUUUGGAUAAAAUUAUCAUCUUUGUGCGUGUAUAUGUCAGUAUUUUGUUUUUUCUUUUUCUUUUCACACGAGUUAUCGCCAUUAAACAAAGUAACAAACAUUUAAUCGAAUUAUUUUGCUUUUAGUAUUAAUCUCAUCUUUUGUUUGAGACUUUUAAAAUAUUUCUCGAUUCUUUUCAUUUUCUAAUUGUUGACACAAUAUAAAGUCACACGGAAGCAUGUGAUGUCAAACUCUUGACACGUGGCAACUUAAUUAGUUUAAUACUACUCAUUUUGGGUGGGUACUACAUUGGAUGCUGACAAUUAAAAUAAUAAAAGAAUACAUUUUCUGCCAAUAUUAAAAUAUUUCGGUGGUAAGAAAAACAAUAAAAGAGGAAACAAUCGGUUAUUGAUGUGAGAUCUUUAAAACGGAGGGCCAAGAUGUUGUCACGCUGGCAAAAAGCGAAUCGAGACCGUUGGAUGUGUACACACCGACGGUGAAGAUUACGAGAAGAGUUACACGACAGGAGAUAUGAGCCGUGGAUUUAUUCGCUUACUGCUUUUAUUAUGAGGAGCACAAAAAAAGGAUGAGAUAAUGGGAAGCAAGUAGAGAGAGAUAGAAGAAAGAAAGAGAGAGAGAGAGAGAGAGAUGGAUAGAAAUAGAGAAGCUAGAAGAGUACCCUUGGCGGCUGCCGGAAACGGCUUGUCACGGCGGAGGCAUAGACCCGGAAGCUUCAGAGAUUCUCCAGGUUUUUUUUAAAAUUUCUUUCAUUUUCUUCAGAUCUGGGAGACACCGUUUGGAUUCUGAUGGUUUUUUUCUUUCAGAGGAGGAAGGUCCGGUGGAGUUACCGGAGGCGGCGAGGCUGAGAGAUCGUACGAAGAAGGAACGAGAUCGGGAACGUGAUAGAGAACGGGAACACAGGGAGAGAGAUCGGUUACAUAGCCGGAGCAAAAGGAGACGAGGCGAACGUUUGAUAAUGGUUCACGACGGUGGCGACGACAGCUCGGAAGAGAGUGUCAACGACGAUGAAGAAUAUGACGACGUGAAGACGAUUCCUCCGGCGAAUAAUAUCUUCUCUUCGCCUCUUUCAAAUCACCACCACCAGAGGAAGAACUUUCCUCCGCCGUCAAAAAAUUUCAGAUCGCCACCAUCUCCGGCGCUGCCGGUGCCGUCGUGGAAGGCGGCGGCGGAUGAGAUGAUCGGCGUAGCCGUUCCUAGAAAAGCACGGUCAGGUAGAGAGGUGGAAACUACGAUAAUAAGCACAUCCUCUCGCCGUGAUUCAAAUCUCUUUUUCAUUUGGUGAAUCUAAUUCUCUUCAUUUCGCAGCUUGUACAAAGAGACCUCAUGAAUCACGGACGUCAAAUGCUUCUCCAGCUAGAGUUGUAGCGUCUCCGGCUCCUACAUCUCCUUCUUCAUCCAACGUUUCGGCUAGGAAAAAGAUUGUUAGUCUUUCUCUAAAUCCUACUCGUUUCGUUCUCUUCUCCUCCGUCUUCUCUUUUACUAAAAAGAAAGUUUGCUUCUGAUUUUGAAGCCGUUGGGGACAAAACAGAAGCCUCUUCCUCAGAAGGUAUCAUCUCCCGUUGCUGUUCAAGAUGAGAUAGAGAUUGAAAUCGCGGAGGUGUUGUACGGGAUGAUGAGGAUGCCAACAUCAUCAAAACAAGAAGAGAAAACAACUGUAGAUAUCAAAGCCAGAGUAUCUUCACCAAUCUCCAUCACACUAGCUGCAAAUUCGAGCUCGACUAAUGUCUCUGCCAUUGGUAAAGUCUUCUCCGCUCACAACGAUCUGCUCUCUUGUUGUUGUUUUCUUUUGUUUGCUCAUUUCCUCUUUAUCUUUAUUUGGUCUUAGCUCCUAAGAGAAAGAAGCAGAGGCAUGUCAAAUACGAAGAGGACGAGAACAGUUCAGGUUUACCAUCACGCGUCACUAAAUUGGAAGCCGAAGCUCCAUUGAAAAGUCAAGUUCCGUUAGGUGGUGAGCUAAAGAGAUCAGGAUCCGCUGAAGAUAACAGCUCAGUUUUGGAUUCGACUAGAGAAAGCACCGCAGGGUUAGAUUCGAGAUCAGCCGAGAAGAUUGAAAAUAAAGAGGAUACGGUAUUGCCGAAAGUGGAAUCUUCUCCAGGAGUUAGAUCCGAUGGUGAUGGAGCUAAACCGUAAGCACUCAAUCUAUACAUCUUUUUGGUACUUUCUUGCCUUAAUUCUGGUGCUGAGAGAAGUUUCUUUGUAAUCAUGCAGAAGCUCGCCGGAGAUGGACAAGUUUGAGAUAGAUCUGAUGGUAAGUUUCUGCUUUUCUUUUUGUUUUAAUUGUAAGGUUUUCUUUUCCGCCAUUUUAAAAAUAUUAUCUUAAUUUUCUUUGUUUUUUUUUAUCCUUUUAAAAAAAUUAUCCCACUUCAUUGCUUUCUUCUAUUUUUUUUUUUAAAAAAUAUUAUAUUAAUUUAAUUUUUAAAACCGGUUUAGGCGCCACCGCCGGGAAGGUCUUCUUCAUCGGAGAGAGUCGGUGAGAUGGAAUGUGUGGCAGCAGAAGCGGAACCUAAAGUCACGGAAGUGGAAACGGUGAGUGGGACCUACUUUGUGUUUAGUAAUAUUGUGUCAUCCAUGAUUGCUUUCCCCUUUUCUUUUGCUCUCUUUUCUUUAUCUUGUUCCCUUUUGACCCUUUUUAAAUUAUCUCAUGAAUCAGGAACCUAAGCCUCUGCUAAAGGAAGAUGGAGGUAGUGCUGCGAUUGUUGAGUCUGAGGAGAAUAAAAAACCUAGGACGGUGGAUGAAGCCGAACCUCAUACGUCCGAGAGGAGUUGUGAACUUAAACUCGACUUGGAUAAAUCUGGUCAUGCGGGUGUAAUGAACAAUCAACAUGUUCAGAAACAGCCACCACCGCAACAACAACAACAUUUUGUUCCGGAUAAAAUUGGUAAAUAAGCUCUUUCAUAUUUCUUGAGUUCCAUUUGUCUUACUCUUGAGCAAGUUUUGGUUUCCUUAAUUCUUUUGUUUUUUUCCUCAUAUUUUCAGCUCAAGCUAACUCUUUGCCUCUACAUAUGUCAAUGCCUGGCUGGCCUGGAGGUCUUCCAACAAUGGGGUAUGCGUUUUUGUAAUUUUAUCAAGUCAAACUUUGUAAAGUCUCUUUUUGUUUCAGUUGAAUUAAUUCUGUGUGGUUAAUAAACACUAAACAGAUACAUGCCGUCUACACAAGGAGUUGUCCCUACAGAUACUAGUUCCUUAUCAUCGGCGGCAAUGCAGGUAAUUUUGAUUGCUUCCUGAUCCAUUCAAACAAUCCUCUCUUCCUUUCUUAACUGGUUUAAAAUUUUUUUUUUUCUCUUGUAGCCUCCUCCUCAUUUACUUUUUAACCAACCGAGGCCUAAGAGAUGUGCAACACACUGCUACAUCGCCCGAAAUAUUCAGUCACAUCAGCAAUUCACCAAGAUGAAUCCUUUCUGGCCUGCAGCAAUUGGCUCAGCUCCAUUGUAUGGGACCAGGGACUGCAAUCUCAGUCUCAUGCCUCCCACAGAACUGCAGGGGACUGUUUUAGGAAGAAGUUCCAAUCAAAUUCAAGAUGAAAACUCUAAAUCUACUUCCAAAAGCUCAGAUACAGCUCAGAGAAAACAAAUAUUGCUCCAACAAGCUCUGCCUCCCGGAGCAGCAGCUAAUAACAUCAUGGUUAGUUUGUUUUUUGUCGUCUGUCUAAGCAUGCUUCCCAUAUCAAGAUUUUGUCGUCCUUAUUACAAGCUGAUUGUAUGUGUUUUUUUUCUUGUUUCGUUUAUUGUAGCAUGGUCCUACAUUUAUUUUCCCGAUGGGCCAACAGCCUACAAUGGCUGCAGCAUCUGUCAGACCUCCUAAUAGUGGCAACACAGCUUCUUCUGGUGCGACAGCGUUUGCAAACUCAAUGAACGGUUCUGCAUCAGCUACUCCAGCUGGUGCUCCAACAAUGACCUUCAGUUAUCCAGGCAUGCCGGGCAAUGAAACCCAAUACCUGGCCAUCAUGCAGAACAAUGGCUAUCCGUUUCAAGUCCCAGCACAUGUUGGUGCACCACCUGCUUAUAGAGGAGCUCCCGGGCAGCCAAUACCAUUUUUCAAUGGUUCGUUCUAUUCCUCCCAAAUGAUCCAGUCUCCAUUUUCCCAGCCACAGAAGCAGCAACAGCAAUCUGGUCAAAUACUCCAGAGCCAUGCUCCGAACAACCAGAAUGGAAGUGUCUCCUCGGGUUCCUCAGCAGCACAAAAGCAUCUGCAGAACCAUCAGCUGAGACCACACGGGAACUCCGACGGAUAUCCAACUCAUAAGGUCCAAUCUCAGGUUUUGACUUUUCAGCAGAGGCAGCAACCAAGAGAGAAUGCGACUCAACAUAGCGACACUGUAGGAGAAAAUAGCCCAUCAGCCGCUGAUAGCCGGGGUUCUCGUUCCAACGUUGCCUAUGGCCAAAACUAUGGUAUGCAGAUGCAACCAACGAACUUGGGUUUGAUGAGUUCAGCAGCCCCAGGUGGUGGAGUGGUAGUAUCGUCCAGCAAUCAUGGCGAAAAGAAAUCGCAACAGCAGGUUUCAAAGGCUGGUGCGGAAUCGUUUCAGUCCCAGGGUUAUGAUAUGACCUUUGCUACAUUCAAUGGAGUGUCAUCAAUUGCUCAGAAUGGCGCUACGUUCCAGAGCCUACCAGAAGCAGCAAGGCAAGGUUAUCAAAUGAUGGCUGCGAAUGUUGCAGCCCAGCAGAAAAUGAACUACAGUGCUCCUUCAGAAGGAAAAUCCGGCUCUAAUGCUACUGCUAAGACGAUGGAAGAACAAAGAAAAACAGAAGGAGCAUCAGGGAAAGCGAGUGGUGUGAAUGGUGGACAGUCGAUUGCUUUCUCUAGCAAACACGAUUUGGGUGAUGCAUCUGUAUCUGCUGUUACGAGUGGUAGCAUCGUCGACACGUCCCGUUUGCUCAACCUAGGUUCUGCUCAGCAACAGAGUACCAGUUCUAUGCCUCAUCAUAAUCUGCAACAGAAGAUGAAGCAGCAUAUGCAACAGCAGAAUCACCACCUGCAGCAGCAUAUGCAACAGCAGAAUCAGCACGUUCAGCAGCAUAUGCAACGAAGUCAAUCUCAGCAACCUUAUACCAUGUAUCUCCAGAAGCAGCAACAGUAUGCAACUUCAGUCGCUGCUUCUGCUGCUAAAAACAAAGGGCCUGUGGUGAGUAAUGGUACUGGUGUCGCUGAUCACAGUAUCAGCAUAUCCCCAGUGGGAACCGCUAAGUUCCCAAAUGCCAAUUCAGGGUUUCCUCAAAACCUUGUCGAGUCUCCUCAGUGGAAAAGCAAUUCACCCAGGACAACAAACACUUCCCAGGCUCAGUCUCCUUCCAUACUUUCGCCAUCAUCAUCUGUUGCUGCUUCGUCAUCCCCAAGAAACGUAUCGCAUAAACAGCAAAGCCGCCCCCAGCAGUCGCAGAUAUCUUUUGCAGCAAACUCAAAGCCUACAGCAACUGCUUCACCAAUGCAGCAGGUGCAAGGAGGUACCAACAAUCAGGCUCCGUCUUCUCCAAUGUUAGUUGGGUCACCCUCUACGUCUUCGGUCUCCAAAACCACCGGCGGGAGUCCAAGAACGUCUUCCUCAGCGGUGAAUAAAGCUGGACAAGCUUCCUCUACUACUCACUCGUCAUCUCAGCCGUCCAAGAACUUGCAGCCUGCAUCCGUGGCUUCUUCUGCCGCCGUUGGAAGGAAUAACGGUCCUUCAGUUCUCGGAAACCAAACCACGAGCUCUGGAUCCAAGUCUCAACAACAACAGCAACAGUUGCCAAAGCAUGGGUUGCAGCAGCAAGCGCAGCUUUUCUUUUCCAAUCCUUAUAUGCAAUCUCAACGUCAACAGCAGCAGAUCACUAUGUCUUCUUCUGGUGGUUAUUACAUUCAAAGACAUCAGCAACAACCGGGUUCUGCAGCUUGUCCUCCAGUUGUUAGCACCACGGGAUCCGUUACGGCCACUUCAGAUCCAGCGAAAGUCAUGGUUGCAGCAGGCAAUAACAUAAAAGGAGGAGGGAAGACGCAGCAACAUCAGCUGGGGCCUCCGGGGUUCGGGCUACCGUAUGUUCAUGCGGUUCCCUCUGCAGUUCAAGUUAAACCUGUAGAUCAGAAGCAACAAUCGGGUGAGUGAAAAAGACCCCUAAAAACCAUUUAUUAACUCAAAAGAAGAAGCUCUGAAUGGUUUUGAGAAGUUCGGGUGUAUAGCUUGUGCUGGCGAGACGGAAGAGAAGAAACAGACGGAACAGAUCACUCUCUAGGGAUAGACUAGUGUUGAUAUUUUCCUGACAGGCGUUUCGAUUCCUAGAAAGAAAGAAAAGAUUUAUUCAUUCUUCUUGUGGAGGUUUGAGUGGUGUUGGUGAUGAUUUUAGUUAGUAAAAAGAAAAGAACAAGAGCUAACGAACGUUGUACUGAUGUGUUAUUGAUUGGCCUGUUUCGUCGGAUCAUCAGUUAGUUGAUUAUGUAGUUAGUUAUUUACUUUAGUUGAUUUUGUAUUUAUGAAGCAUGAAACCGUGUGAUGAAUUUAUUGAUUGUUGUUAUCUGUGUGACCCAGUAGGGCAACGUAAUUAUUACGAAUGUAACAUCUCAAAAGUUGUUAAAAUACAGGUUGAAGAAACAUUAUUUAAAAUUACUUUUUUUAAUAAGAAAGUAUCCAUCUAAACAUUAUUUAAAAUUAGACUAGUUUUCUUUAUAUGUAUGUAAAAGUAUAUUUAUGAAAAUCAGUGUUAAAUCAAGUGCAUUUAUAACUUUACAUUUAGAUGGAUACUUUCUUAUAUUUUAAAUUCUUUUGGAAAACCAAGAUAUGCAUAAGUUCUCAUAUUUAUAGUGUUGUGAGUUACAAAGCAAGUUUAACAGAUUGCGGAUGUUUUUGUUAUGAGUUUUUUUUUGAGCCGUUGUGACGAGGAGGGAUCUUCUCCGUAUUGCUUAUAUUUUCUCUCCACAAUGUAUAAAUUGUAAUUAGGAAAGUGUAUCUCGUGAACAGCAUAACAUGAUGAUUGGCUGGUUUGUGCCUGAACUGGGUACAAAAGAACACACUGAGCUGGAGGAAGACGGGAAAGUGGCGUUCUUGAGACGAUCAUGCCGCAGUUACAGACUCUGCUUGCUAAAGGGCUGGACAUGAUUAUUUAUUAAUUGGCUUGUACUCGCUUUAAAAAUAAAAUUGUCAAGUCAAUUUUUUAUUAUUUUCAAGUUUGAAUCAAGUAUAAGGUAUCAUUAUUUUUCUUAUUAUUACACAUUACUUAUUCCAGAAAAUACUUUUUUCUCGCUAGAAAAUACUUAUAAUUCGUUCAAAUGUGUUUUUUACUCAUCAAAAAUUACAUAUCACUCAUUAAGAAACGUAGAUCUUAAAAUCUACACUAAGUAUUUAAUAGUGAUCAAAAGUUUAAUCUGGCGAAGAGAUAAUGAUGUGGGCAACAAUAUCUUUAGAAGACAACGAUGUAAUCAGAUUCCAGUAGGCAAAGAUAGAUUUUAUUGAUGAAUAAGACUGAAUACAAUGAGAGAAACGAGAUCCAAUAUUACAAAGGAGAUCGAUAAGAGAAAAGACUUAAAGCAAAGUGAAAUGAGGUCGGUGUGUGUUAGGCUCUUUCUAGGGUUUUCUCCGUGUCCUUCUUUGUUUCUGACGUUCUCCUUUGAUAAUCGAUCGAUCUCGGAUUUCACUCAACUUCCCCGCGGUCUUCGGCUCUUCAAAUCGAUCCGAACUCGCCAGCAUGGAUUGGACUUUUUCGUAGGUCGCACGACCCGACUCAUUCAUGCCCAAUCAAAGUGUUGACCGAAAUUGGGUCCAACAAGAAAUACUUGUUUCUCUUCUAGUUAAGAAAUAUUUGUUUCAUGUAUUUUUAUUUCAAGUACUUGCAAGUAACUAAGUCUUUAUAGACAAAUAUUUGAUUUUGGCAAGUAAACAACAAGACAUUAAUUUUACUUUUAGUUUUUUGCUUAAAAUGUAAAUGUGAUUAGAAUGAAACUUAACCUAUGAACUUGGCUUGGCAGAAAAAAAAAGGAAUAGACUCUCAAUAUAUAUUAAGAUAAAUUCUGUAACAUCCUGAUUAUUGGUAUAGAAAGAAAGGGUAAAAAUAAUUGAUUUGACUAUCUAUGUCACCAAAGUGCAUUUACCUUUUAGGCACAUAUACGUUUAGAACUCUAGAGUUAAGUGUGCUUGAGCUGGAGCAGUGAAAAGAUAGGUGACCUAUCGGGAAGUGAAUCACGAUAUUGUGCGAAUGAGGGCAAAGCACAUGGAAAUAUCAUGUGAUGAUUGUAGGGUUAGUAAAUAAGAUUAUUGAGCCUCUGAAAAGUUAGUGUACCGUCUGUCGAAAGGGAUGGAGUCCACGGACCGAGAGAGCGGGCGUGGAUCGUCCAUUAGCCGCGGUGGGACUUUAAAAAUUCAUACAAAAAUGAAAAAUGAACCCUGGCUUUUUUGUCGGCCAUAUAUGGAUUAAACAAAGUAAAAUUAGUUAAACGUCUCUAAGGAAAAUAAAAUCUACUCGUGCUAAAAUAUUACAAAUUUACAAUAUUAAACAAGCGUAUAUGCACAAAAGGAAUGAAGCACAACAAUGAAAACUUAUAAGGUGGCAAUUUCAUUCAUACAAUGUAUAUAUAGAAGUGUGAAGAAAAAACAUGAGAGGUGAAAUGGGGUUGUUUUUCAUGCAAAAGUAAGCUUAAAAAGAUAGAGAGAGAAAAUGUUUGAUAAACGCUUAAUACCAAAGAGACCCCAUCACAAUAAAAAAUCAAGUCACAGUCAUCAUUCUUCCUCGUUAUAUACUUCAUCAAAUCUCAUGAACAGAAAUCUAAUAAGAUACUACAGUUUAUCAAGCUGGGAUCCAUGGAUUCCAUGUGUUAUGGUUAAAAGUAAUGUGCAACUUUUUUUAUAUAAAUUUGUAUAGUGAAAUAUAAAGAAAAGGAGAAAAAGAAAGGAAAGAAAGAUGGAGAUGGUGCCUUGGGCCAUACUUAAAAAAGGAACAUACAAAACACGUUGAUGUGGCUGCCUUCAGUCUCGAUUAUCCAAGGUGGAGCACUGUGGUUGGUUGGUGUCUUGAUUUGGGUCCAUAACUCCAUAUAUGCUAUUUAGUAGAUCUAACGUCUAUAUAUAAAGAUAGUGUAAUUAAUAUUUCAUAUUUGCAAGAGGCCAAGAGCCUCAGACACUGUAAGAGAAAUGGGGUGGCUCAAUUCCUUCUUCUCUCCCUUGAAGAAACUAUGGUAUCGCGUCAAUUCUGCUCAAAAGAAGAGUAUGCUCUCUCUUUCCCUCUCGCUCUAUAUACAUUAGUUCUAUAUCUAUCUUUGAGCAUCAUCUAUUUAUUAAUUUGAUAACCGAGUAGAUCACUUACUCUAUUUUUUUUUGUUUGAUAUAUAUACUCUUUCUGAAGGAAACUAUAUAUAAUAAAUAAGUUACGUUUGCGCUAUCAACAGAUGUCUAUAUGUGUGUGCGCGCGUUUUGUGUUAACGUAGAAAUAUGGAUAAUGAUGUGCAGGAAGAGGAAUAUACGUAUUAUACGAGGACGUGAAGUCAUGUCCAUGCGAAGAUGUGCAUGUUUUGUGGUCUAUACUCGUGGAGUCUCACCCACAUACUUUGCAACCCAAACAAUAAAAAUUUCAUUUCUUUUGAUGUUUAACUCUCUUUUGGUUCAGAUGGUUCAUAUAUGUAUCGACUGUAUAUGCGCAAGGACGAGACAAAGGAGAAACUUGUAAGCGACAUCAUUCAUACAUAUGUUUUCUCUCACUUGUACAUAAUAAUAUAAAUACACAGAGAUAUUAUCUUUCCCAUUGAGGUUCAUAUUCUCUCUCGCGACUCUAUAUAUGUAUGUACGGUUCUCUCUUGAGGUCGUAUGUCUAUAUACUUUAUAAAUAUCGGUAUAUAUAGAUUGCAUUAUUAGGAAAAUUAUUUAGAUAUGAGCAUGAUUGUGAAUAUGAAAAUGUUAUAUAUAUGAUAUGAUAUGUCAGCGUAACAAAAAAGGAAGUAAAUUAAAGAUGACCAUAUGUUUUUAUAAUUGAUAGACAUAAAAGUUAAAGAUUGAUGGGGAAAGGAGAGUGAACAGAAGUUGAACUGUCGUGGGGAUUGUUGGCUUGUGUCGGCUGGGUUAUGUUGACGUUAUUUGGACUUUGGAAAGUUGCGGUUGGUUUCAUUUUGCGUUUCUUAUUCAUUUAUACAUAUAAGCUGAAUGUUGAACUAGCAUUCUUUAAAGAAAAUAAUUAAGGACAAGCCCAAAAAGAAUGUUAUGAUCUAGACAUUAUAGUUUUUGUUUGUUUGGUUGAUAACCAAAUGAAACCAAACCACUCUUCUGGCAGAAAAGGCCAACAUAUUAAAUGUCGAAGGUGUGGAUUACAUCAAAACAUUCAUUCCGGUGGCUAAAAUGUCUACGGUUGGAGAAUAUCUUAAAAUUGUUAGUAGUCGCUAACACCGUUUAAUGUUUUUUCUUUAAAACAAUGCAGCGACAAAACUAGCAAGAAUUAGAUGUACUUAAGAGAGGUACAAUUUAGCAGCCGAGAGAUAAAUCCGUUUCUAAGAAAUAAACACUUAAUAUAUGUAAUUAUGUGACGAUAGAAAUUAGAUUUAGCUGAGACUUACUUUAUGGUUAGAGGCAUGCUUUGGUAAAUUAAUAUUCAAAAAAAAGUUUCUAGGAUGAGUUUUUUUACACCAAAAACGAGCAUGCUUUGGCAGGAGCGUGAAGUCGUUAAUUAAAGUUUCCGUAUUAUCCAAAACUACCCAAAAAAUUGAAACCGAACUGGACUUAUUUUUUAGAUAAUAGUCGGUUCUCAACUUUAUUACUCAAACUGAACUAAAAAACCAAAAUAACCGUACCAAACCGAACCAAUAUCUAUAAAUAUCUAAACAUUUCUCAAAUCUCUAGAAACUAAAAACUAAAGUACCCGAACUAGUACCGAACUGAAAACAGAACGCCAGAUCUAAUACAAACAUGAAGAUUCUACAAGAACAUUCGUUAGCAUGUUAAUACCAAACAUGUGAAAAUGUGAUAUAUAUAUAUAAAUCUACUCAUCCUCUUUCUGGAUAUUAGAUCUUUCUACUAGUUAUGAUGUCUCUUUCUGAUUUGAGUGUGAGUUUUUGGGAGGAUAACUCUUAUUUCUAUAUAUUUCCUUUCAUUUUUACAUCAUAUACGUUCUAAGAUUAUAACGUACUGUUAUGUGUUAAGCUUACACAUAAACGAAAGUUUAUUUUUAGGAAGAUAUAAACUUUUAACUUAAGGAAUUUUUGCUAACUAUAAAAUCUGUAAGCAUCAAGUACUUAUGAAACCAGAUGGAUUGAAAAACAUUACCAGUGUGAUAUAUAGCUUGUAUAUGGUUCUAACUUUUAAGAUAUCUUAACCUAUAUUGAUUGUUCAAUUUAAAAUUGUGUUAGUACCAAGAAAGCAAGAUUAGGUCUUAAGUUGGAAAAGAUGUAUAUCUCUAAGACUCUAACUCAGUUGUUGAAUUAAGAUUUUUUUCCUUUGGUCUUAGAAGAUCAAGUUUCCUAUAGAUUAUUUCAUUUUUCUGCCAAGAGAUCAUCCUGACCAAUUUUGUUCUUAUCGUUGUUUGACUCCGGAUGAAUUCAUAAAUUAAUAUGUAUAUUUAAAAUGUACGUAAAUACCGGUAGGCUAAUUGAUUUGUAAUUGUAAAUUAAGCUCUCUAGUAUGUCUAUGGAGUCCUCUUUUCUCACUUUCCUUUUGAAGAAUAUGGACGAUCUUGGUCUGUGAAGUUAUUAUCUUCAAUCGACUGUAUUUCACUUUUUAUAUAUUCUUUUUACCAAAGAACUUUAUGAAUCUAAAUUAACGUCCCUUAUAAAUUACUAUGAUAAAAGAAAAUUUUAGAAGAAACAAUAGUUAAAAUGACUCGCGGGGGACCAAACUCCAAUCUCUUUUAGCGACUAUCUUAAUGUUAUUAUUAUACUAGCUUUCUUUUUGUUUGUCGGGAACGCACCUCGAUGUACUGUUAUAACUUUGAAUCGACCUAGUUUUUUUUUAAUUACUUUCUUAUUUAAGGAUGAUGUACCGUUUGUUUGUCCAUGUAAUAUAUGACUGGCGUGACUCACACCGCGAGUUGUAUUCAUAUUUAAGCAGCAUUUCAUUUACUUGCUGAGGCUCUGUUUCAUAAUUAGUCAAACGCUUGGUCAAAAAGUGUUUGGUGAAUCAGUAUGGAAUUUGAUAGAUUUGAAAAAGGCAAGAAAAAGAGAAGCAUUCCCAAAGUGUUUUGAAAUUCUCCAAAAGAUGAAUCUGGUUGGAAGAACAGAUCCGAACCAAAUUUUUUUGGUGAGACAUAUAUGAAGAAAAAUGUUGCCUCCAGCAUAAGGCCGGAUCAUCUACUUUGCGUGAGACGUACUGAGUAUACUCAUGCAUGAGUCAUUCAUCAUCCAUGUUCAAAUCUAUAAGAGAACCCUUCACUGGAUGCAAUGAAGGGGUUGAAGCAGAGUCGUACAAACUUAAAAACAAUAUCUGCUAGGAUGUAGUUAACUUCGCCAAAAACACAACAAAAAAUAUAUGCAAACCUAGCUCUCGUGGACUAAAGAACAACAAAUGCACCCGUCCAGAAUUUGUGCAAUGAGAUGCAGUCUAUAAUAUGUUUGACACUGGUAGAAUUGGUAGUUUGGUACGUAGUAGCACAUGUAUUUCUCCGCUAGACAUAUAGCCGUACCUAAUCUUGAUUACUUAUUUACUUGGUACGAACACAAUUUUAAAAGACUAUUGAACAAGCAAUACAGAUUACAACGUCUUCAAAGUUUGAACAAUCUAGCUACAACUAACAAGUCAUAUAAUCGUUAAGCUUUUCAAUCCAUCCGGUUUCAUAAGUUGAUGAUUACAAAGUUCUAUAUAUGCAAAAGAAAAUUUCUUUAUCAACUCUUUGACGAAAAAUGUUUUUAUCUUUCUUAAAAGCAUUGUUUUAAUCAUCGGUACUCGUUUAUCUUUUCUUCUUAGUUUUAACUAGAAAAACUAAAAAUCGUUCUUAAAUAAAGACUUUAAAAACGAUUUUUAGUUUUUCUAGUUAAAACUAAGAAGAAAAGAUAAACGAGUACCGAUGAUUAAAACAAUGCUUUUUUUUACUUAAAGUCUUUAUUUAAGAACCGAUUCUUAGUUUUUUUAGUUAAAAAUUUUUGCUAAGAACUUUAUCAUAAGAACCCAGGUUAAUAAUGCUUUCACUUUAAAAACAAUAUAUUAGGAGCAUGUUACGUGAAUGUGAAAAAUUAAUACAAAAAGUAAGUGUUAUCAUUGGUCCAAAUGUAUUGUCUUAUAAACCAUCACAAAAAAAGGAGACUUGUUUGGGUUGCCGUGAUUCACUCCCAUGUGCUUCUCUUUCCCCUUUCUCAUAAUCCGUGACAUUAACUGCUCUACUAUACGACAGAAUCCCUUUACACACAACACAAGGUGUCGAUAAACCAACGACUUUAUGUUUUUGGCAAUUUACUUCCGGUUAUUGACCUACCGGUCCGGUUCGUCUAUUUUGGAAUCAUCCGGUUCUUUAAAUUUAGCUUAUGUGGUCUUAAAUUCUCUGUUUAGAUUCUUUUUCGUUCACACCUCUCAGGUUGAAUAAUCUUCCCAAGUUCAAACAAGUUUGAAUUUUUUGUUUCUUUCUUUCAACUAGCUGACCAAAAAAACAUUAAAGUUCGCCAAAUAUUUGGAUUGAAUUGACGAAUAUUGUAUGGUUCGUACUAACGGCUGAGUGCCGUUUUCAUAAUAUUUUCUAACAGUAGUACGAUUUGGUACUUGUUAGUUUGUUAAACCGAUUUGGAAACUGGAUAAAACCGGUUUACUAAAACGUAAACCGAGUCGUGGUGUUGGUAAAAGGUGAUUGGGCAAGAAGCCUAACCUGUUGUCUCGGCUCUGUCACUAGGUGGGCAAAAAAAACCACUUGUUUCAUUAUAUUCUUCUUUUAAAAAUCAAAAUCUUUUCUUCUUCUACCAUCUCCACAAACUUCAAUAUCUCUCGCUCAAGAAUAAAUAAAACCCACAAAACUAAAUUAAAUUUGCAGAAAAAAAUAAGAAGAAGAAGAGGCAUGAAUGGUGAAGAAAGCUUCGUUGAAGAUUGCUCUGAGUAUGUUGAAAUUGAUCCUUCUGGAAGAUAUGGAAGAGUAUGAUUCUUCUGAACUCAAAAUGUUCUUUCUUUGUUUGUUUCGAUCUUGAUUUUGUUUCUUUUUGUUUUUGGUAUGGACAGUACGAUGAAGUACUUGGCAAAGGUGCUUCGAAGACAGUGUAAUCUCAUUCAUCUUCACUCUUUGUCUUUUCUAACGUCACAACUAUUUUAAAAAGUCGUUUUUAAUUGUUUAAUUAAUUAUUAUUUGUGGUGUUUAUUCAGGUACAGAGCGUUUGAUGAGUACGAAGGUAUAGAAGUGGCAUGGAACCAAGUCAAGCUUAGGAACUUCACUAGGAAUCCUGAGGAACUAGAGAAAUUCUUCAGAGAGAUUCAUCUGCUCAAGACUUUAAAUCAUCAAAAUAUCAUGAAGUUCUACACUUCUUGGGUCGAUACCAACAAUCUUGCAAUCAACUUUGUAACUGAACUCUUCACCUCUGGUACUCUCAGACAGUAAGCAACAUCUCCCACUAUAAUUUCACAAAUGGUUGAAACUUUAAAUUUCAAAUCUUUAAAACAUAUGAUGAUGUUUUUUGUAAUAGGUAUAGGUUGAGACAUAGGAGAGUGAAUAUUAAAGCAGUGAAGCAAUGGUGCAAACAGAUUCUAAAAGGGCUUCUCUAUCUCCACAGCUGUUCUCCUCCAAUCAUCCAUAGAGAUCUCAAAUGUGACAACAUCUUCAUCAAUGGUAACCAAGGUGAAGUCAAGAUAGGUGACCUUGGACUCGCUGCCAUUCUUCGUAAAUCACAUGCCGUUCGCUGUGUUGGUUGGUUCCCUCUUUUUAAAAACUUUAUUAACAACUUAAUAAUAAUAAUAAUGUUUUGAAACACUUUGGACCUACACAUGUGGUUGUAUGUUUAUAGGAACCCCUGAGUUCAUGGCUCCUGAAGUGUACGAUGAAGAAUAUAAUGAGCUGGUUGAUGUAUAUGCUUUUGGAAUGUGUGUACUAGAGAUGGUCACAUUUGAUUACCCUUACAGUGAAUGCACUCACCCUGCUCAAAUCUACAAGAAAGUUACCUCGGUAAAUUAUUUUGACUCGAUAUCUUUUGUGAAGUCAUGUUUUGUUUUUUUAUUAACGUUGGUUACUAUACAGGGGAAGAAGCCUGAAGGGUUUUACUUAGUGAAAGACCCUGAGGUACGCGAGUUUGUUGAGAAGUGUUUAGCUACUGUGACGUCUAGACUCACUGCUUUAGAGCUCUUACAAGACCCUUUCUUACAAGAUGAUGUGGAUGAGUUCUACAUGAGACCAACUGAUUACUACAAUGGUUAUGAUGAGUUCCUUAGACAGCCUCUCAUCGACCACCCUCCUCUUUACCAUGAUGAGUCACAGAUAUGUGAGAUCGAUCUUUUCGCUCAAGAUGAUGAGGAAGAGUCCGACCAUGUUGACAUUUCGAUUAAAGGGAAGAGAAACGGUAGUGAUGGGAUCUUCUUGAGGCUAAGAAUCUCUGAUGCAGAAGGUAAUAAACGUUCCAUGUUUUCGAAUAGUUCUAGCUUGUAAGGUCUUGAAAGGGUUUGAACUUUGAUGUUGUUCCAGGAAGGGUGAGGAACAUUUACUUCCCGUUUGAGACAGAUACCGACACUGCGUGGAGUGUAGCAGCUGAGAUGGUGUCUGAACUCGACAUAACGAAUCAAGAUGUUGCGAAAAUCGCGGAGACGAUCGAUGCGGAGAUUGCUGCAUUGGUUCCUGACUGGAAAGUUAAUAACAACGUGCGCAACAGCAACAACGAGGCAGGAGAGAAGUCUCACCAUUACCAUCAUCAGUUCGAAUGUUCUGACGACAGAAGCUGUUCUUCGGUUCACGGUAGGUUCGAGGAGAUAAGUUACCAAGCGGAAGGACAAGAACAAGGAAGUGGUGAUGUUGUUGUUGUCUCUGGAGAAGGUAAUAACAACAGGAUUCAUUGCGCGGAUAUAUGGGGUCUGAGAGAUUCACGUUCUGAUGGUGGAGGAGAAGAAGAGAGCUCGUUGAAGCCAAGGAGGAAGGUGGAAGGGGAGUGGUGGCCGGAGAAUGAAAUAAGGAGAGAGUUGAGAUGGCUUAAGGCAAGGCAUAAGAGGGUUAGAGAUCAUCAAACCAUCUGUGAGAAACCAAGUUCAGCUUCGCCGCCUCUUCUUUAUAGGGCGUUCUCACUUCCCGUUGACGCCGUGGAUAUAUGAGAUUGUAAAUUCUAGUUACUAUAUUUUUAUCUUGUAACACUUUUAAAUUUUGUUAUUAAUCUUUGGUUAAAUAUCCUUCAAACAUUGCCUGAACUGGAGGCAGAUCAGGAGUCUCUUCAUGUUAUUAAAUCUUCGUUAAUAUGUGUGGUUUGGGGAAAAUCCGGUUCGAAAACCAUAUUAUAUAAAACCGGUUCACUGAUUGUCCUAAAACCGGAUCAAUUUUAUGUUGUUAAACCCAACCUUGGCUUCUUCUUCCUCACUCUCUGCGCCGCGGUCUCUCUCGAGAAAUCCAUCUUCGUCUUUAGAUCUUUUCCUCCCCCAAGCAAAGCUUCUUCGAUCUUCCUCGUGUCUCUAAAAAAGUAAGUUUCCUGUUUUUUUUUUUUUGGUAAUUAUCUAUCCAGUGUCGACAAGUUCUGUGUCUGAAUAUCGAUCUCAAAAGUAAAACAUGAUCUAUAGUUCUAGAUUUGUCGGAAAAAUUCCAAAUCGAACACCUUUUGUCCGGAUCAAGCUUCUUCGAUGUUCUUUCAGAAAAUCAAAGUAGAUCAUAGUCGACGAAACAUCUCAUAGUUAUUGAAUCGUUUCACCUCGGAGUUGAAAUCAGUAACAUCGAAAACCCUAAUUACAUCUGCGUUUUGAUUUGAUUCAUUCCAGAAGCAAUGGCGAGCUUGAGAGAACCGCCGAACGAGCAAGCCAUCCUCAACAUCUACGAAUCCAUGAGAUCAGAGCUGAGCCAAAUCUACUCCAACAUAACCGACCUCGAGAUGCAAGUCAGCGAGCACUCUCUCGUCGUCAACGCCAUCCAGCCUCUCGACCAGUCCAGGAAAUGCUUCCGCAUGAUCGGAGGCGUUCUGGUGGAGAGAACCAUCAAAGAGGUGCUCCCAGCUGUCCACCGCAACAAGGAAGGUCUCGAAGAGGUCGUCAGGAAGCUGUACGAGACGUUGGAGAAGAAGAAGAAAGAUAUGACGGAGUUUGAAGGUAAGUAUAAGAUCAGGCUUAGGAAACAGGACGAGUCCAAGGAUGAAGGUAGUAAUAAAAAGGAAGGUAAUGCUCAAGGUGUUCUCGUUGGAGCUGCUAGUGCGAGCCAGUAAACACUCAUUCUUCUCCUAUCGUUGUGCUUUGCAUGAUGGUGUUACAAUAUCAGUAGAUUGGAGAACCAAAACAUUAUCUUUAUAUUCAACAUGAGAGUCUUACAUCUUUUGCAUCUUUUAACAUUAUCUUUAUACUAAACAAGAAGAAAAUAAAACUUAGACGAUUGAUUCCACAUCAUAAGUUCCAUAGCUUGCAGGAUUUGUUUUAUAUAUCCCCUUUAGCGUUAAGCCUAGCUGCGGCGGUAACAGAAUCCGCCACACCACCUGGAUAAGUUGACAGAUUAGGGUUGUUCCUCAGCUCGGCGCUCACCACACCCUCUGCGUCCUGCUUUGUCACGGCUUUAUCCUCCUGUAAGCGAGCUUGAUUUUAUUCUCGUCAAACUCUAUAGGAGCGUUGUAAUCAGCUGCGGACUGAGCUGAAGCGGCUACUCCACCAGGAGCGAUGACGUUGUUGCUAGAAGCUCUAACUUCCGCCGCUUGAAUCGCUGCUGCGUCGCUCUGAUCCACUGGCUUCUUUCCAGCGGUGUGUACAGUUGCCUCCAACGCUUGUCCUAUUGUUAUCUUACUUUGCACACUCACCCCCGUUGCCGCUGUCGACACUGGCCUAGGUUCAACAUAUUGUCCAACGUCCUACACCAUAAACAAUCUUCAUCGUUACAAAAAAAAAAGAUGAUUAUAUUGGGGAAAUAAAUUAUGUUGGAAAUGACUUGUAACCUGUACACCGAUGGUUUCUUUAGUGACGCGUGCACCGGCGACGUCGGUUUGCUCCACAGAGACGCCUCGGUCCGGGUCGAGGUAGGUUGCGACACCUGGUUCGACGAAGCCAGCGCGUCUGUUGGCAGUGGCUGCAGACUGCAUAGUGGCGGCUAUACCGCCUUUUUGAGUGUGUCCCAAGACACUUGUCUCCUUUGCUUGCAUCAUCCUAGCAUCCUCAGGCGCUAUGGGCCUAUCGGCGAGUUCGCCGGAUACCUCAAAAACGUCGCCGUAUUUGACCGGCUCUUGUGGCCUCUUUGGUUGCUCUUGUUGGCUCAUAUCUCUGUGUUAUGGACUGUAGUGUGUGGAGAGAUCGAAGUAUAAAGAGAGGGACAAGGACUGUGGGACCAACGUUGUGAGAUUAUGACAGUUGUCAGUGAGAGUGACAGUGACACACGUGGUAGUUUCUAAGUUUAGAGCACGAUGAGAAAGCUCGAAGAAUGCGACCGACUGAGAUGGAUCUAAUUUUAUCCAUUUAUAAAUUUGGUUGCUGUUCUCAUGAGUUUUGCCAAGUGUGCCGUGGCAGCACAGGACAUGUUUUAAGUUAAAGACGAAAAAAAAAAAAAUAUAUAUAUAUAUAUAUAAACUUUGGUUGCUGUUCUCAUGAGUUUUGCGAUGGGUCGUGCUUCAGGUGGCCGUGAAGAAUCAGUGGGGAGGCCACGAUUCUCUCAAAAAUCUCGAGAACUUGCUCAUCUUCUUUUUCAUCUCGUCUCUCAGUCAAAUGGUUCGGUUUGCCUUGAUUUCCCUUGAGAACUUCUUUAGGAUCCGGAGAAACUAAUAUGAUAUCAGUUAAUGUUACAUAGUAGUGAUCACGGUGGAGGAGAUCUUCUACAUGAAAGCUUGCCUCUUUCUUUCAACACAUAGAUUGAAGAUUGGCAGCAUGGAAGAGGCACUAGUUCAUAUUCACUAUAUAUGAAAUAUAGAUGGGUUUCUUGUAACCUAAGCUUUGAUAAUUGGGUAAUUUGUUAGGUAGCUGAACGUUUGAUGAUUGUCCACGAAGAACAUUUGCGUGUUUUACCAAAAAGAAAAACAUUGUUUGUGUGCUAGUCAUUUUCAUUUGUCUUUUUCUAAAGAAAUGGUAUCCAUGUACUUGUACCAAGUGCUAACCCAGACUGACCCAUAUUCAGUAAAAAGUGUUUUUAUUUUAUUUUCAGUGAAGCUUUAAAGUUAUUUUUGUUAUGAACAUGUCAAAAUUUGCCGAAUUUGACAUGUUACGUAAAUAUAAAUCAUGUGGAGCCUACUGUUACUAUGCAUGCACAAUAACUUUACUUUUUCAUUUUUAUAUAAAUGGUUUGUAACACACCAUCUCUUCUCCUUCUAAUAACACAUUCUCUCUUGUUAUCAGUGUUAUCUUUUCUCUACGGGUAUAAAAUUUAGUCUUAUUUAAAUUCAUGCGAUACCAUAAAAUUCCGGUUUUUUUUAUAACACGUUAUCAGCACAAUCGUUCUUCAAUUUGAAAUACAAAUGGCAAACAUCGAGAAACUCCAGUUCCCGGCCCUGAAAAUAACUAGCGAAAAUUACGUCGGAUAGGUCACAAACGUGAAACCAUAUCUGGUGAUGAAAAAGAUAACCGAAACAAUUGUAAUCGGUAACAAAUCACCACCCGAACAUAUAGCCGAAGCGAUAAUCUUCUUGAAGAAACAUUUAGAUGAAAAUCUAACGCACGACUAUGCAAGCAUAGAAGACCCAGCUGAAUUGUGGCAAGCUUUAAAAGAAAGGUUUGAUAACCAGAGACAAGUCAACCUCCCUUACGCUCUAGAAGAGUGGAAAAAUCUGAGGUUCCAAGAUUUUCAAAAGGUUGAGGAUCACAAUUCCGCUGUCCUGGGGAUAGUUUCACUCCUGAAAUAUUGUGGUAAUCUUAUCUCUGAGGCAUAAAUGAUGAAUAAAACAUACAACACUUUUCACAAACAGCUUCACUUCUUGCCCGAAAUUUACAGAAAAUGUAGGUACACGAGAUUUUCUGAAUUGAUGGUUGCGCUCAUGUUGGCUGAAAAGAACAAUGAGCUCUUAAUUAAAAACCACAAUUCCCAACCUACGGGAGCCAAAGCAUUUCCUGAAGUGAAUGCUACUGCGGUAAAAAAUUCAGAAAGAAGGAACCAGACCAACCGAGGUUAUGGUCGCCGUUUCAAUAAUAAACGUGGAAAAACUUACAAUCCCAAAUGGAAGGGAUCUAACAAGUGGGUUAGAUCCGAACAAGUUUCUAAGGGUAAAGAAACUCAAGAGGAUACCACCCAGAAGCGUGGGACAGUGUGUUUCAGAUGUGGAUGUAAAAGACAUUGGUCCCGUACCUGUCGUACUCCUCCACAUCUCUGUAAGUUAUAUCAAGAGUCCACGAAAGGCAAAGCUAAAGAAGUGAACCUCACUGAAAACUUUGAAGGGACAUCGUACCUCGAUGCCUCCGACUUCGCUAAUGAGCUGGACUAGAUUACUCCUGAAGAGAGCCGAAAUGCUUAUAAUAAGANNNNNNNNNNNNNNNNNNNNNNNNNNNNNNNNNNNNNNNNNNNNNNNNNNNNNNNNNNNNNNNNNNNNNNNNNNNNNNNNNNNNNNNNNNNNNNNNNNNNNNNNNNNNNNNNNNNNNNNNNNNNNNNNNNNNNNNNNNNNNNNNNNNNNNNNNNNNNNNNNNNNNNNNNNNNNNNNNNNNNNNNNNNNNNNNNNNNNNNNNNNNNNNNNNNNNNNNNNNNNNNNNNNNNNNNNNNNNNNNNNNNNNNNNNNNNNNNNNNNNNNNNNNNNNNNNNNNNNNNNNNNNNNNNNNNNNNNNNNNNNNNNNNNNNNNNNNNNNNNNNNNNNNNNNNNNNNNNNNNNNNNNNNNNNNNNNNNNNNNNNNNNNNNNNNNNNNNNNNNNNNNNNNNNNNNNNNNNNNNNNNNNNNNNNNNNNNNNNNNNNNNNNNNNNNNNNNNNNNNNNNNNNNNNNNNNNNNNNNNNNNNNNNNNNNNNNNNNNNNNNNNNNNNNNNNNNNNNNNNNNNNNNNNNNNNNNNNNNNNNNNNNNNNNNNNNNNNNNNNNNNNNNNNNNNNNNNNNNNNNNNNNNNNNNNNNNNNNNNNNNNNNNNNNNNNNNNNNNNNNNNNNNNNNNNNNNNNNNNNNNNNNNNNNNNNNNNNNNNNNNNNNNNNNNNNNNNNNNNNNNNNNNNNNNNNNNNNNNNNNNNNNNNNNNNNNNNNNNNNNNNNNNNNNNNNNNNNNNNNNNNNNNNNNNNNNNNNNNNNNNNNNNNNNNNNNNNNNNNNNNNNNNNNNNNNNNNNNNNNNNNNNNNNNNNNNNNNNNNNNNNNNNNNNNNNNNNNNNNNNNNNNNNNNNNNNNNNNNNNNNNNNNNNNNNNNNNNNNNNNNNNNNNNNNNNNNNNNNNNNNNNNNNNNNNNNNNNNNNNNNNNNNNNNNNNNNNNNNNNNNNNNNNNNNNNNNNNNNNNNNNNNNNNNNNNNNNNNNNNNNNNNNNNNNNNNNNNNNNNNNNNNNNNNNNNNNNNNNNNNNNNNNNNNNNNNNNNNNNNNNNNNNNNNNNNNNNNNNNNNNNNNNNNNNNNNNNNNNNNNNNNNNNNNNNNNNNNNNNNNNNNNNNNNNNNNNNNNNNNNNNNNNNNNNNNNNNNNNNNNNNNNNNNNNNNNNNNNNNNNNNNNNNNNNNNNNNNNNNNNNNNNNNNNNNNNNNNNNNNNNNNNNNNNNNNNNNNNNNNNNNNNNNNNNNNNNNNNNNNNNNNNNNNNNNNNNNNNNNNNNNNNNNNNNNNNNNNNNNNNNNNNNNNNNNNNNNNNNNNNNNNNNNNNNNNNNNNNNNNNNNNNNNNNNNNNNNNNNNNNNNNNNNNNNNNNNNNNNNNNNNNNNNNNNNNNNNNNNNNNNNNNNNNNNNNNNNNNNNNNNNNNNNNNNNNNNNNNNNNNNNNNNNNNNNNNNNNNNNNNNNNNNNNNNNNNNNNNNNNNNNNNNNNNNNNNNNNNNNNNNNNNNNNNNNNNNNNNNNNNNNNNNNNNNNNNNNNNNNNNNNNNNNNNNNNNNNNNNNNNNNNNNNNNNNNNNNNNNNNNNNNNNNNNNNNNNNNNNNNNNNNNNNNNNNNNNNNNNNNNNNNNNNNNNNNNNNNNNNNNNNNNNNNNNNNNNNNNNNNNNNNNNNNNNNNNNNNNNNNNNNNNNNNNNNNNNNNNNNNNNNNNNNNNNNNNNNNNNNNNNNNNNNNNNNNNNNNNNNNNNNNNNNNNNNNNNNNNNNNNNNNNNNNNNNNNNNNNNNNNNNNNNNNNNNNNNNNNNNNNNNNNNNNNNNNNNNNNNNNNNNNNNNNNNNNNNNNNNNNNNNNNNNNNNNNNNNNNNNNNNNNNNNNNNNNNNNNNNNNNNNNNNNNNNNNNNNNNNNNNNNNNNNNNNNNNNNNNNNNNNNNNNNNNNNNNNNNNNNNNNNNNNNNNNNNNNNNNNNNNNNNNNNNNNNNNNNNNNNNNNNNNNNNNNNNNNNNNNNNNNNNNNNNNNNNNNNNNNNNNNNNNNNNNNNNNNNNNNNNNNNNNNNNNNNNNNNNNNNNNNNNNNNNNNNNNNNNNNNNNNNNNNNNNNNNNNNNNNNNNNNNNNNNNNNNNNNNNNNNNNNNNNNNNNNNNNNNNNNNNNNNNNNNNNNNNNNNNNNNNNNNNNNNNNNNNNNNNNNNNNNNNNNNNNNNNNNNNNNNNNNNNNNNNNNNNNNNNNNNNNNNNNNNNNNNNNNNNNNNNNNNNNNNNNNNNNNNNNNNNNNNNNNNNNNNNNNNNNNNNNNNNNNNNNNNNNNCACCGGGCUCGACGAAGCCACCGCGUCUGUUGGCAGUGGCUGCUGACUGCAUAGUGGCGGCUAUACCACCUUUUUGAGUGUGUCCCAAGGCACUUGUUUCUUUAGCUUGCAUCAUCCUAGCAUCCUCAGGCGCUAUGCGCCUGUCGGCCAGUUCGCCGGAGACUUCGAAAACGUCGCCGUAUUUGACCGGCUCUUGUGGCCUCUUUGGUUGCUCUUGUUGGCUCAUAUCUCUGUGUUAUGGAUUGUAGUGUGUUGAGAGAUCGAAGUAUAAAGAGAGGGACAAGGACUGUGGGACCAACGUUGUGAGAUUAUGACAGUUGUCAGUGAGAGUGACAGUGACACACGUGGUAGUUUCUAAGUUUAGAGCACGAUGAGAAAGCUCGAAGAAUGCGACCGACUGAGAUGGAUGUAGUUUUAUCCAUUUAUAAAUUUGGUUGCUGUUCUCAUGAGUUUUGCCAAGUGUGCCGUGGCAGCACAGGACAUGUUUUAAGUUAAAGACGAAAAAAAAAAAAAUAUAUAUAUAUAUAUAUAAACUUUGGUUGCUGUUCUCAUGAGUUUUGCGAUGGGUCGUGCUUCAGGUGGCCGUGAAGAAUCAGUGGGGAGGCCACGAUUCUCUCAAAAAUCUCGAGAACUUGCUCAUCUUCUUUUUCAUCUCGUCUCUCAGUCAAAUGGUUCGGUUUGCCUUGAUUUCCCUUGAGAACUUCUUUAGGAUCCGGAGAAACUAAUAUGAUAUCAGUUAAUGUUACAUAGUAGUGAUCACGGUGGAGGAGAUCUUCUACAUGAAAGCUUGCCUCUUUCUUUCAACACAUAGAUUGAAGAUUGGCAGCAUGGAAGAGGCACUAGUUCAUAUUCACUAUAUAUGAAAUAUAGAUGGGUUUCUUGUAACCUAAGCUUUGAUAAUUGGGUAAUUUGUUAGGUAGCUGAACGUUUGAUGAUUGUCCACGAAGAACAUUUGCGUGUUUUACCAAAAAGAAAAACAUUGUUUGUGUGCUAGUCAUUUUCAUUUGUCUUUUUCUAAAGAAAUGGUAUCCAUGUACUUGUACCAAGUGCUAACCCAGACUGACCCAUAUUCAGUAAAAAGUGUUUUUAUUUUAUUUUCAGUGAAGCUUUAAAGUUAUUUUUGUUAUGAACAUGUCAAAAUUUGCCGAAUUUGACAUGUUACGUAAAUAUAAAUCAUGUGGAGCCUACUGUUACUAUGCAUGCACAAUAACUUUACUUUUUCAUUUUUAUAUAAAUGGUUUGUAACACACCAUCUCUUCUCCUUCUAAUAACACAUUCUCUCUUGUUAUCAGUGUUAUCUUUUCUCUACGGGUAUAAAAUUUAGUCUUAUUUAAAUUCAUGCGAUACCAUAAAAUUCCGGUUUUUUUUAUAACACGUUAUCAGCACAAUCGUUCUUCAAUUUGAAAUACAAAUGGCAAACAUCGAGAAACUCCAGUUCCCGGCCCUGAAAAUAACUAGCGAAAAUUACGUCGGAUAGGUCACAAACGUGAAACCAUAUCUGGUGAUGAAAAAGAUAACCGAAACAAUUGUAAUCGGUAACAAAUCACCACCCGAACAUAUAGCCGAAGCGAUAAUCUUCUUGAAGAAACAUUUAGAUGAAAAUCUAACGCACGACUAUGCAAGCAUAGAAGACCCAGCUGAAUUGUGGCAAGCUUUAAAAGAAAGGUUUGAUAACCAGAGACAAGUCAACCUCCCUUACGCUCUAGAAGAGUGGAAAAAUCUGAGGUUCCAAGAUUUUCAAAAGGUUGAGGAUCACAAUUCCGCUGUCCUGGGGAUAGUUUCACUCCUGAAAUAUUGUGGUAAUCUUAUCUCUGAGGCAUAAAUGAUGAAUAAAACAUACAACACUUUUCACAAACAGCUUCACUUCUUGCCCGAAAUUUACAGAAAAUGUAGGUACACGAGAUUUUCUGAAUUGAUGGUUGCGCUCAUGUUGGCUGAAAAGAACAAUGAGCUCUUAAUUAAAAACCACAAUUCCCAACCUACGGGAGCCAAAGCAUUUCCUGAAGUGAAUGCUACUGCGGUAAAAAAUUCAGAAAGAAGGAACCAGACCAACCGAGGUUAUGGUCGCCGUUUCAAUAAUAAACGUGGAAAAACUUACAAUCCCAAAUGGAAGGGAUCUAACAAGUGGGUUAGAUCCGAACAAGUUUCUAAGGGUAAAGAAACUCAAGAGGAUACCACCCAGAAGCGUGGGACAGUGUGUUACAGAUGUGGAUGUAAAAGACAUUGGUCCCGUACCUGUCGUACUCCUCCACAUCUCUGUAAGUUAUAUCAAGAGUCCACGAAAGGCAAAGCUAAAGAAGUGAACCUCACUGAAAACUUUGAAGGGACAUCGUACUUCGAUGCCUCCGACUUCGCAAAUGAGCUGGACUAGAUUACUCCUGAAGAGAGCCAAAAUGUGUAUAAUAAGUAGGGCUGUUCAAUAUGGCAAAACCGAACCGUACCGAACCGAACCAAACCGAAAUAGAUAAUAUGGUUUAGAUUUGGUAUAUACCAUACAAACCGAAUGGAUAUGAUUUUUAAAAAACCGUAGGAUUUGGAUAUGGUUCGGUAUAUAACCGAUAAAACCGAAUAAACCGAAUAAAACCGAUCAAAAAAUAGAAACAUGUAAAUAUGUAUAUAUUUUAUAACAACGUAUGAAAAUCAUAAGUUAAUUUUUUUGCUAAUAACUAUUACCAUUUUUUUUACAGUAAUAAAAUAGUCCUGAUUUGUAAAACACUUGAACUAUAAUUAAAUAACAAUUCAUCGCAAACAUGCUUCUUAUUUUCUUAGUCUUCUUUUGAUCUUUUUGCUUUAAUUUAGCAUUGACUAAAUUGAAAUAAAGAUUAUAAAUUUGAUGAUAACAAUUAGUGGAAAUUCUUCACAAUUUUUUUUAUCUAUAAACGAAUAGAGUUUCGUGUUUAAUAGAAGAAACAUGACUUUGAUGAACGCUAAAUAUGAAAGAAUAUAAUAACUUAUUUUUUGUGCUUCGUGCUUCUGUUUUAUUUUUUGUUUUUUUUUUUAUUUUUAUUAUCAAAAUUUUGAGCUUUGAUUUUAAUUAUAGAUUUGAUUAUUUUAUUAGAUGAUAGAAAUAUUUUUUAUUUUUGUUAUUUUAUUUAAACUUAUAAUAUUUUUUAAUAAAUGAAUGUAUUGACAACAAGACUCUAAAAUUCAUAUAAUAUGAUCCCAAAAUAAAGAAUUAUGUUUUUUUGGUAUAAAACUGAAUAAACCGAAAACCGAUGGUAUAUAAACCGAACCGAACCGAAGUAAAUAUGGAUUUAGAAUGGUAGUUAUAUUUUACUAACCGAAAAACCGAAAAACCGAAAAAACCGAACCGAAACCGAACCGAUAUCCGGAUUGAACACCCCUAAUAAUAAGACUAUUGGAUAGUUUUCAGUAUUGUCAUGUAUAAUUAUUACAUUUCCUGUUUUAAACAAGUAAUGAUGUUUUUAACGUCACCUUAAUGUAUACUUAUUGUGUGUUUCCUUAUAUGAUUAUUAUAUGAAUGAAUUUUAUGUUUUUCUUUUAUUAAUAUUUACGACAAUUUCAGAAAUGGAUCAGAAUGCUAAUGAAGCAAAAUUCAAGAAACUGAUUCGUGAAAUAUGCAUACCAGAUAGUGGAACAACGCACAUUAUUCUGAGACAAAAGAUAUAUUUCUCCGAUAUAAAACCGACAAGAAUUAUCGUCAAUACAAUAUCAGGUCCUGCAGACGUGAUUGAAGAAACUGGUAAAGCAAACUUUACGUUGCCGAAUAGAACAAAAUUUUCUAUAAAUAAUGCUCUAUAUUCUCUGAGUUCUAAAAGGAAUUUGUUGAGUUUUAAAGACAUAUAUCUUCACGGAUAUGAUACUCAGUCUGCAACUGAGGAUGAAAAGAA